rnacentral:lncRNA from 1 species
GAUUGCAGAGUGCAGUUAAUUUGAAAAUCAUCAAUCUCAGCAACUCAAUAAACCUGUCCAAGACUCCAGAUCUUACUGGAAUUCCAAAUCUUGAGAGUCUGAUUCUUGAAGGUUGUACAAGUUUGUCUGAGGUCCAUCCAUCACUUGGAUGUCACAAGAAGCUUCAAUAUGUGAAUCUUGUGAACUGCAAAAGUAUUAGGAUUCUCCCAAACAAUCUAGAAAUGGAAUCACUUAAAGUUUUCACUCUUGAUGGCUGCUCAAAACUUGAGAAGUUCCCAGAUAUAGUAGGAAACAUGAACAAAUUGAUGGUACUUCGUUUGGAUGAGACUGGUAUUACAAAACUAUCUUCAUCGAUUCAUCAUUUGAUUGGCUUAGGUCUAUUGAGCAUGAACAGCUGCAAGAACCUUGAAAGCAUUCCAAGUAGCAUAGGUUGUUUGAAAUCCCUUAAAAAACUCGAUCUGUCUGGCUGCUCUGAACUUAAAUAUUUAACAGAGAAUUUGGGGAAAGUUGAAAGUUUGGAGGAGUUUGAUGUAAGUGGAACUUUAAUAAGACAACUGCCAGCAUCCGUUUUUCUUUUAAAGAAUCUUAAAGUAUUAUCUUUGGAUGGAUGCAAAAGAAUAGCUGUGCUGCCUUCUUUGUCUGGUCUGUGUUCUUUAGAAGUACUGGGUUUACGUGCUUGCAAUCUAAGAGAAGGAGCACUUCUUGAAGAUAUUGGCUGCUUAUCUUCAUUGAGGUCUUUAGAUCUGAGCCAGAAUAACUUUGUUAGCCUGCCUAAAAGCAUAAAUAAGCUUUCUGAACUGGAAAUGCUUGUCUUGGAGGGUUGCACGAUGCUUCAAUCUUUGCUUGAGGUUCCAUCUAAAGUUCAAAUAGUAAAUUUGAAUGGUUGUAUAAGCCUAAAAACAAUUCCAGAUCCGAUAACGCUAAGCAGUUCCAAAAGAUCAGAGUUCAUAUGUCUUAACUGCUGGGAAUUGUACUAUCAUAAUGGCCAAGACAACAUGGGGUUGAUGAUGCUUGAAAGAUACCUCCAGGUCUUCUCUUAAUCAAACCCCAACCUUUUUCUAUCUCUCUCACUCUCCCUCUAUCUGUCUAACGUUUUGGUUCUUUAUGGUACAGGGUUUGUCUAAUCCAAGACCUGGAUUUGGUAUCGUUGUUCCAGGAAAUGAAAUUCCAGGGUGGUUUAACCAUCAAAGUAAGGGAUCUUCAAUUAGUGUGCAAGUGCCUAGUUGGAGCAUCGGGUUUGUUGCCUGUGUUGCAUUCUGUGCAAAUGGUGAAAGGCCUUCUGUUUUUUGUGAUUUCAAAGCCAAUGGAAGAGAGAAUUUUCCUUCGCCGAUGUGUAUUAGUUGUAACUCUAUCCAGGUUCUGUCAGAUCAUAUUUGGCUAUUCUAUCUAUCUUUUGAUCAUCUUAAAGAGCUUAAAGAAUGGAAGCAUGAAUCCUUUAGCAACAUUGAGUUGUCAUUUCAUUCUCUCGAGCAACGAGUAAAGGUGAAGAACUGUGGUGUCUGUUUUUUAUCUUCUCUAUAUAUUACAUCACAACCAUCUGCCCAUUUUAUUGUUACAAGCAAAGAAACAGCUUCUUCAUAUAAAGCUUCUUUAGCUCUUUCUUCAUCUUACCAUCAAUGGAAGGCCAGUGUUUUCCCUGGCAUCAGAGUCGCAGAUCGGGCCCAGAGAUUCAUUGUCCCAGUCGGGAAGGAACCAGGGAAAGUAAUGGCAAUUAGAUCAAGACUCUUUGAAGCCAUUGAAGAAUCAGGGCUGUCAAUUGUUAUAUUUGUAGGAGAUUGUGCUUCUUUACCUUGGUGCUUUGAAGAACUUGUCAAGAUUGUCGGAUUCAUGGAUGAGAUGAGAUCGGACACUGUUUUUCCAGUUUCUUAUGAUGUCGAACAAUCAGAGAUGGAUGAUCAAACAAAGAGUUACACAAUUGUCUUCGAUAAGAGUGAAGAAAAUUUCAGGGAAAACGAGGAGAAGGUGCCAAGGUGGAUGAAUAUUCUCAGUGCAGUUGAGAUUUCAUCUGUAACGAGAUCAUUGAAAAGGUAAUAAUUACUUCUUUUUUGUGCCAAGGUAUUACUACAAGUAAAUGAAACUGGGAAUGCUGAAAUAUGUUAAUAAAUCUAAUCUAUUUUUUAUGACAAUUAGGAAAUGUAUUCUUGAAAGUUAUGAAUUGUUAAAUACUUACAUGAGUUUUAAAUUAUAUAGUAAAUUAUUCGUUUAAUAAUUGAAAAUUUUAAACUUUAUAGCAUUUGAAUUUUAAAAUAACAAUAAUUGAUUCCAUGUAUAGUUUAAUGGGAAAAAGAAUGUUUAGUUUUCACGUCAUUUUUAUCUAAUCUAUUUUUUUAUGAUAAUUUUACCUGAACCGAAAGAUAGAACACAACACUUCUGACUUCUCCUUCUCACUCUUAGCAGCAUAGGAGCUCCAGCAACGCAGCAGCAGCAGCAGAUCCAGAUCUACCUCCACCAGCAGCAGAUCCAGCUCUACCUCCACCAGCAGCAGAUCCAGCUCUACCUCCACCAGCAGCAGCAGCGAAUCCAGCAUCUCCAGCUGCUCGAGCGGCGGCAGGGUUGGCUCCAACUGCUCGAGGAUCGGCUCCAGCUGCUCGAGGAACGGCUGCGGCAGCCCCAGCUGCUCGAGGAGCGGCGGCUGCAGCGCCAGCUGCUCAAGCAGUGGCUGCAGCGCCAGCUGCUCGAGCGGCGAGGGGAGCUCGAGCGGCGGGGGGAGCUCGAGUGGCGGGUGCUGGAGUGGGAGCGGCGGCAGCGGGAGCAGCGGGAGCAGCGGGAGCAGCGGAAGCAGCGGGGGCUGCUGGAGCAGCGGAAGCAGCGGGGGCUGCUGGAGCAGCGGCUGCUGGAGCAGCGGCUGCUGGAGCUGGAGCAGCGGCUGCUGGAGCGGGAGCUGGAGCGGGAGCGGGAGCGGGAGCAGCGGCUGCUGGAGCUGGAGGGGCGGCUGCAUGAGUGGCGGCUGCAUGAGUGGCAGCUGCUGGAGCGGGAGUUGGAGCAGCUGCGGGAGCAGCUGCGGGAGCGGCCGGAGCGGCCGGAGCGGCAGCUGGAGCGGGAGCAGCGGCUGCUGGAGCUGGAGGGGCGGCUGCAUGAGCGGCGGCUGCUGGAGCGGGAGUUGGAGCAGCUGCGGGAGCGGCCGGAGCGGCUGGAGCGGGAGCAGCGGCUGCUGGAGCAGCGGCUGCUGGAGCGGGAGCGGCGGCUGCUGGAGCGGGAGCAGCUGGAGCAGCGGCUGCUGGAGCAGCGGCAGCUGGAGCUGCAGCAGCUGCUUGAGCAGCAGCAUGAGUUUUGGUUACGAAUCUAACUUGCUUUAGCUUGAAGAUCUUCGUCAGUUUUCCAUGGAUCUAAUUUCUUAUUAGCUCUUGAUUUUUUUUCCUUGUUAAUUACCAUCAAAGUACAGUGAGCAGUGAUUGCAAGACAUCAUAUGAUCUUCCUUGUUGUUUGCAUGUUCAUCAAAGCAGCCAACACGAGGGAAAAAACAUAGCAAUGAUUUUCAUCAUGAUAGGACAGGGCCUUGUUUUUGCACAUGGUUUUGGUUUGGGGUAAUUAGAUUUACAUUUUGCAAUCAUAAGAUUGAUAUUUUUUUUUUAAAAGUUUUAUUAUUUAAUAUUUAAUUUAAUUAGAGAUUGAGUUUUAUUAAUUUUUUAUUUUUUGAUUUUUAUAAAAAUUUUAAAUAAUUUUAAAAAUAUUUUUUUUAGUUUUAUUAUUUAAUAUUUAAUUUAAUUAGAGAUUGAGCGUUAUUAAUUUUUUUUAUUUGUUAUUUAUAAAUUUUUUAAAUAAUUUUAAAAAUAACAGGGGUUAUUUUAAGUCUUUUUAUUUCUCAUUCUCUGUUAAAUUUAGCUACUAUUUUUUUAAGAAAUUAUUUUUUAAUUAAAUAAAAUUUUUUAUUUUUGACUUUUAAUAUUUGAUUGAUUGAAAUUGGAUUCUUUAUUUUAUUUAGAUAUGGGUUUCUUGGGGUUUUUUCAGAUUGUGAGUCUCACAUGUUAAUCAUAGUUUUUUUUUAUAGAGCAGAAUUAUCAUAACUAGCAGAGAUAAAAAAAGUGGUAACUGGAAAUUAAUAAUACUAAUAGAAUUUAUGAUGAUGAGAAAUUGAAUGAUGAUGAUGCUUUUAUGUUGUUUAGCCAGAAAGUUUUCAAAAAUGACCAGCCUGCUAAAGAUUUCGUGGAACUAUCCAAGCAAGUUGUGGGUUAUGUUAAUGGCCUUCCACUGGCUCUUGAAGUUAUAGAUUCGUUUUUGUAUUAAAAAAGUAUCCCUGAAUGAAGAGGUGAGCUUAAUAGAAUGAAUGAGAUUCCUGAUGGCAAAAUUAUUGAUGUGCUUUGCAUUAGUUUUGAUGGUCUCCGUGAAUCAGAUAAGAAUAUAUUUUUAGACAUUGCCUGUUUCCUGAAGGGGUUUAAAAAAGAUCGAAUAACAAGAAUACUUGAAAGCCGAGGAUUCCAUGCAGGUAUUGGAUUACCAAUUCUUAUUGAGAGAUCUCUCAUAAGCAUCUCUCGGGAUCAAGUCUGGAUGCAUAAUUUAUUACAGAUAAUGGGUAAGGAAAUUGUUCGUUGUGAAUCCCCUGAAGAGCCUGGAAGGCGUAGUAGAUUGUGGACAUACGAGGAUGUCUGCCUUGCACUAAUGAACAACACAGUGAGUAGUUGAUAGAGAACAUUAUCUAUUAGAUUUCAUAAAGUUUAUUUUAAUUUACACUCCAUCUCUACAAAUCUUUACUUUGUGAUUGUUUUUUACUUGUAUUCCCUUUUGGUUGACAUGGAAAAGAAAAAAUAGAAGCCAUAUUCUUGGACAUGCCUGGAAUAAAAGACGCACAAUGGAACAUGGAAGCCUUCUCUAAAAUGAGCAAACUAAGAUUGCUCAAAAUCGACAACGUGCAGCUUUCUGAAGGUCCUGAAGAUCUUUCCAAUAAGUUACGAUUUUGUAUUCCUUCAAAAUUUUCAGGAAUAUAAAUAUGCAUCAAUAAAAACCUGUCAGGUCUGACGCUAGCUAGAUCUAGGUAUAUUGGGCUCGACAAUCUGUCAAGUCCCGGACAUGCUGGGUCUGACAGUGUGGAAUGGCUUUCAUUUCUUGAGCAUGCCCAAGAGAAUGAUCAUUGGGUCUAACUUAUGGGAAUAACUCAAUCUCUACGAGCAUUAACUACAUUUGAUGUCCUAAACUCUAAUUUCCUUACAUCUUUUAGGUGUAUAAAAGUCUUCCAAGAACUCAUCAUAUUUCCAUCAAAUAUUAAUAUAGAUGUAAGAUAUAUUUAUCCUUUAUUAAAUGCUAUCGAGUCUCUUUAUAGAAGAACAAGACUCAUAUGCUAUAAAUACACAAUAAGACAUUCAGAACAGAGGUUCACAAUCUUUAUUUUCUACUACAUAUAUAAUUUCAGAGUAUUUUUUUCUAGAAUAUUUUUAUAUUUUUUUUUUAUAAAAAAAACAUACUUAUUUAAACAUCAGAUUUCAUCAUAAAUAUGUUCAUAGCAAAAAAUGAAAAAGAAAAAAAAAGCUGAUUCAGCAAAGCAAAUUAUUAAGGGUCUGUAUUUGCUUUCAUUAACUAAAAUAGCCAGAGAAACACAAUCCAUAUAUACAUGCCUGGAAUAAAAGAGGCACAAUGGAACAUGAAAGCCUUCUCUAAAAUGAGCAAACUAAGAUUGCUCAAAAUCGACAACGUGCAUCUUUCUGAAGGACCUGAAGAUCUUUCCAAUAAGCUACGAUUUCUUGAAUGGCAUUCUUACCCUUCAAAAUCAUUGCCAGCUGGUUUACAGGUGGAUGAGCUAGUUGAACUUCACAUGGCUAACAGUAGCAUUGAGCAAUUAUGGUAUGGGUGUAAGGUGAGAUCAACUAAUUUAAGGCCCUUUGUAUUUCUUUUUAUCGUUUUCCUAUAUAUAUAUGAUUGGCUAACAGUAUCCAUAUUUCUUCUCCCCUGCCUGAUUGCAGAGUGCAGUUAAUUUGAAAAUCAUUGUACUAACCCAAUUCUGGGUUAUUCCCUAAAAUUCAUUUUUUUUAAAAUAAAAACAAAAAAAAUAAAAUAAAAAAUAAAAGCUGGCAAUGUGGAGAAAGCUGAUCAAGAAAAAUAGGCAAAAUAGGCAAAAAUCAAUCUGCAAUUUUCAGAGGAAAUUCAAGGCCUUUCGGCGCCCCAUUGUGCCCAAAAUCAGAGAAAAAAAUGCAAAUUCAAGAUCAAAUUAAAUGAUUAUUGGACAAAUUUGCAUAAAAAUUAAGUCCAAUAACAUAAUUAAAUUUUUAAUAGGCCAAUUUGAUUUAAUCAUGGGUCAAAUUAAAUUUUAGUUAUGUUUAAGAAUUAAUUUAGGUCCAAAUGAAGGAUUUAAUUAAGUGCAAGUACUUAAUUAUACUUUAAAUGGGUCAAAUUAAUUUUAUUUGGGGCUUAAUUGGUGAAAAAUUAAGUUUGGGAGCCUAAUUUGGGCUUAAUGGAGAAGAUUGGAAUUUUAAGAGACCAAAUUUAAUUUUUACCAAGUUAAUUGAUUGAAAUCAGGGGUCAAAUUGCAAGAAAAUUGAAGUUUUGGGGCCAAUUAGGGGUUAAAUUGACAAAAUCCAAAGCCAAGGGCCAAUCUGCAAAAGGCGCCAAACUAUAGGGGUCUAAUUGACAAAAGCCGGGGGUCAAAUUGAAGAAAUUGAAAGCUGGAGGACUCAAUUGAAAAUCGGCAAAAAUCCCUAGCUUUUGAUCCAAAACGGCGCCGUUUUUGGUGUUUAAGAAAAAACAAAGAGGGGGAAGGGACCAGGCGACGCGUCACCUGGUCACUGUUCAUCUUCUUCCCCACAAAACUGCCCGAGUAGCAGCUCUCCAGGCGCAUUUUCUACCUCGUUUGGCCUCCAAAUCCGACAACGCAUGCACCAAAAUGUCCACCUGAAACCCCUUUAUCCUUGAGAAUGGUCCGGUCGGGUAGAAAAACUUUGAAAUGGCUUCGUUUAUUGGCCCAAAGUGGCCACCUCGUUCAGUCUGCAGCCUUGGAUUGCCAAAUUUGGCAAUUCGAGGUGCACACUUUGAACCAACGGAUUGGAUUCCUCGAGUCGAAUCAAGGGCUGAGACUUUUUCCCGUUGAAGACAAGAUUACCCUCUUUCCAGCCCUAUAAAUAGGAGCCAAUGUCAUGCUCAGGGGGAGGGGAAAAUUGAGCUCAAAAUUGGCAAAACAUCAGCUUUUCCUGCCCGGUUUUCCUGCAACCAGCCUUCUCUUUUCUUUUUCUCUCCGCCGUGGCCUCCAGCCGCCACCACUGAUCUCGCCACCGUCCUUCCCAAGAAACACCACAUCCCAUCCAUCACCCAGCAACCUCACCACAGUCACAGUACCUCUCUUUCUCUCCCUCUCUUCUCUGCAAAAAUCUUAUCCUCUGCCACCGUGACUCCAACAGCGGCGGCGACAGCAGAGGUAGCAACCAUCUUGCCCAAAAGCUCUCUUCCACUCCUACCAGCAGCAGCCGGAGUAGCAGCUCCUUCCUCAGUCACACCAACAGCUCCAGCCGUGAGCUUUCCUUCUCCUCUGCAGGAAUCUGCUCCUUCUUCUUCCAGCCGGGACCAGUGCACGCCGCCGUCCUCGCCGCCUCCAGUCGCACCGCGCACCACCAGCUAGGCCGCCGACUCUCUCCACGCCAGGUAAUUCUCUCCUCCCCGCUCCACCCUUUUCAAAAACCUUUUUCCAACUAUUUUUUUUUUCAGGAUGCAGAUGUAGACUUUAAUAUUUGUGGGGUGUAAAAUUACACGAUAAAGUACACCCUCGGGUAUUAAACAUACAAGGUGUAAAUAAAUGCCAUCCUAAAAUUCAGACUUUAGAACGGUUAGGAUUUAACCCAAUAAGGUAGAGACUCCCUCACGAAGGGAGAUCUGCCUUGAACCUUAGAAAAGACCAACGAAUAGAAACUCGACCUAGAAAAACAAUCAAACAACAAUGCAGCUUACCUUAGGUAGGGUGCACUGGGGGUGAUGCAUCUUCCCCUUGCACAACCAGUCCCUUACUCAGACUCUCGCAGACCAUAGGUUCCUAGUGACCAUAAUACUAGGUGGCGACUCCAACGAACCAAGCAAAACACAAAUAAAAGAAAAAUCGCCAGCAGACGCCGCGCGGAUUUUCCGACGUGCGACAGAAUGGCGACUCCACUAGGGACGCCUUGUUUGGUCGGACUAAGCUUUGUUUGUUUGUUUAAUUAUCUGUUUUGGUCUGUUUAAAUGUAUUGUUUCAGCACUUUUAUUUCUUGCUCAUACAUAAAUAAUGUGUUCAUGCUUUUUUAAAUUCUUGCAAGAUAACCCAACACUAGGAUAGGAGGGGAGUAGCGGUCUGCCCCAUGACUUUCAGUCGGGGUUCAGAUUCACGAAACAUCCAACUAUGAGCUGCGUGUUUACUUGGUGAUAGCGGACACAUAGUGCCCGAACCUUCCCUUGUAAACCCCUAUACUGCCUUUACGUGAGGUGGUCACUGGGCAGUUCAUAUACCUUUUUGAGACCAGCUAGAAAACAUAUCCUCAUUUUUGGGAUCCACAAAUCGAAUCCCAACCGUACAUACAUGACUUUCUUGAGAAGCUUUCCUCAUUUUUGGGAUUUACAAAUCAGAUCUCAACCGUACAUACAAGACUUUCUUGAGAAGCUUUCCUUAUUUUUGGGAUCCACAAAUCGAAUCCCAACCAUACAUACAUGACUUCCUUGAGAAGCUUUCCUCAUUUUUGGGAUCCACAAAUCAAAUCCCAACCGUACAUACAGUACUUCCUUGAGAAGCUUUCCUCAUUUUUUGGGAUACAAAUCAAAUCCCAGCCGUACAUACAAGACUUUCUUGAGAAGAUUUCAUCAUCUCUGAGAUCGAUUUACAAAUCAGAUCUCAACCAUACAGGUAUGACUUCCUUCAGAAUAUUUCAUCAACCCUGAAGCUGAUUGUUGAAAUCACUUUCAUGUAUUUCACAAAAAUGUUGAAAUCACUUUCAUGUAUUUCACAGACGGGUCGGUUCACAAAAACAUUGUUGAAAUCACUUUCAUGUAUUUCACAAUGCUAAUCUGAAAUCACUUUCAUGUGUUUCAUAAAACAAAUGUUGAAAUCACUUUCAUGUAUUUCACAAAAAAAAAAAAAACCAAUGUUGAAAUCACUUUCAUGUAUUUCACAAAACCAUUGUUGAAAUCACUUUCAUGUAUUUCACAAUGCUAAUCUGAAAUCACUUUCAUGUAUUUCACAAGACUAAGAUUGAAAUCACUUUCAUGUAUUUCACAAAAAAAAACCAAUGUUGAAAUCACUUUCAUGUAUUUCACAACAUUAAUCUGAAAUCACUUUCAUGUAUUUCACAAGAUCAAUAUUGAAAACACUUUCAUGUUUUUCAUUUGGGCAGGUCGCCCAUAAGAAUUAGUCCAACUGAAAAAUCUGUGUAUUUUUUCAACACUUCCAUCAUUUUUCUUUACAAAACUUACUAUGCAAAGUCAAAAGAAAAUGAAUUUUCCAAUGCCUUUGCACCGUAAGCAUUGUAAAGAGGGGGCAACUGUUGUAACCCAAUUUUGGAUCCACCAAGAUUUUCUCAAAUGUUAUUUUAUUUCUAUUAUUAUUUAUAAAAAUCCAAAAAAAUUAAGAAAAAGAAAAAUUCAAAAAUAUAUUUUUCUCGAGUCAACCGCAUCUUUCCGUCAAAACCGAGUCCACCAGGUCAAUACGGGUCAAACCAUGUCGACCAGGGUAAAAAAUGAGUUUCGGGCCGUUUCGGGUCAAAGCCGUCAUUUUUGACCAAAACCGAGUUCACCGAGUCAAUACGGGUCAAACCAUGUCGACCAGGGUAAAAAAUGAGUUUCGGGCCGUUUCGGGUCAAAACCAUUAUUUUUGACCAAAACCGAGUUCCCCAGGUCAAUACGGGUCAAACCAUGUCGACCAGGGUAAAAAAUGAGUUUCGGGCCGUUUCGGGUCAAAACCGUUAUUUUUGACCAAAACCGAGUUCACCAGGUCAGUACGGGUCAAACCAUGUCGACCAGGGUAAAAAAUGAGUUUCGGGCCGUUUCGGGUCAAAACCAUUAUUUUUGACCAAAACCGAGUUCACCAGGUCAGUACGGGUCAAACCAUGUCGACCAGGGUAAAAAAUGAGUUUCAUGCCGUUUUGGGUCAAACCUGUUAUUUUUUGGUCAAAACCCGGUCCACCGGGUUUAUAUCCAUUGAAAGUUUUUUUUUAUGUUUCAACAUAAUUUUCGGUAAUUUAAAAUUGAUUUUUAGCGGUUGAAUCGGGCUUUUUCUAAUACUGAUUUAAGUUUUAAUUUUACCUGUAUAAAUAUAUAUUAUUAUAUAUAAUAAAACAAAAUUAAUAAUACAGAAUUGUCGCGGGGCAGUUACAUUUAUUGUAGGCGAGCAGUUGGAUGGAUAUAUUUUUUUAUUUAAACAAGAUGCUUGCUGUCCCCUCUCAUUGGCUAUAAAUAGCCAGUGAGGAAAAACAAAAAAGAGGGAAGAAAAAGAAAAGAAAAGAGUAUCACUAUUCAAGUUUUUUUUUACUAUUUCUUCACAAGAGUAGGAUAUUGAUUUAAAAAAAAAACAAUAUGGAAAAUACCAAAUAUAUCCUAACCGUUAGAUCUAAUAGUGUUUAGAUCUGAACCGUUGAUUUAAGAGGAUACAAUAGGGCUUACCACACCAGAUUAAAACCCAAACACAUCUCAGCCCUUGAAAUAAUCUAAGCUUUGAUCCCGUUGCGCCACGUCACCCGGUGUACCGAGAUUUCGGUGUACCGCGUCACACCCGAUCCUACCUCUGUUCAUCCGGACCGUCCGAUCAACCUGCAGAUCGGGCCAAUCCCAGCCGCACGAUCUUUCCAGCCGAGAUCCAACGGUGCACAGUGUUCAGCAGUACCGGUGUACCAUACACGCGUUCAUACCAUAGCAUAAUCUCGGACUCUCUCUCUCCUCUCGUCGGCGACGCUCUCUCUCUCAUCCGAUCUCCACUUUCCGGCCGUCUCCAGCCUCCGAACCACCACAGAAAGGUUUCUCCCCUGCUGUAAAGAAAAACCCUGGUGGUUGUCAUCGUUAUCUCGGCCUCAUCUGGCCGGAAAAGGACCGCGAUCGUCGGCUGCCACCGAAGCUUCAAGUUGACGAUUCUCCCUCUUCAGCCAUCAACGACCGUCGAGACCACCGCCAUCAGAACCCUCGACAUCAGAUCUACCAGGAUCGACCAUCGGUUGGCCAGAAAUCUCGCCGGAAAAUCUCACCGCCUCCAACAGUAGCCGCGCGUGUGCCACACGCGCCGCCAGUGGCAUUUUCGUAAUUUUCGGAGAAAUUCGAGGGUAUUUCAGUAUUUUGCCUAUACAGUGGCACUCAGGUAAUGUUUCGGGGUUUCUACUGGUAUUUUUGAUAUUUUUUAUAUAUAAAUGCUUGUAAAUUUUCUUGCAUGUUGUAAAAAAUACAAAAAUCAAAGUCGACACGUCUCUUUUUUAAAAAAGGACCGAUGUCAAAAAUGCAAAUACCAAAUAUGGAUUAUGUCCAUUAUUUCUUUUGGUAACCCAGACGUAAUUCUCCGUUUUUAGGGAUAAACGUCAAUAUUUUAGACGAGUCUCCUAAUUUUUAGGGACUGAUGUUAUUUUUAACGUGUCUCCUAUUUUUAGGGACCGACGUUAACCAUUUGAAAAAAAAAACAAAUUACCAAUAAACCCAAAAUAUAAUGGAUUAUAUCCAUUAUUUCUUUUGGUAACCCAGACGUAAUUCUCUUUUUUAGGGUUGAAACGUCAUAUUUUAGACGAGUCUCCUAAUUUUUAGGGACUGAUGUCAUUUUUAACGUGUCUCCUAUUUUUAGGGACCGACGUUAAUCAUUUACAAAAAAUUACAAAUAAGCCCAAAAUAUAAUCGCAUUUGAAUCAAAUAAAAAACACACAAGUAAGGGUAACCUUUCUUUUGAAAGGAUGUUUUAAGGGUGGUGUCUACCUUCCCUUAAUCAUAACUAACCCCGUACCCGAAUCUCUGGGACCAGUGUCUAAUUUGGGAUUUCUAGUUCCCUCAAAUUACUAGAUGGCGACUCCAAUAAAAUCUUUGUUUCCCCCAAUUGAGAAAAAACCCUUUUUGUUAAAUAAACAAAAAAAGCGGGAGCCGUCGCCUGACGUCGUGUAUCGACAUAUGUUGUCCCACUGAGAAGACCUUUUUUGUUCUUUUGUGUGAAAAAAAAAACUAAAUAAACUAAUUAGAAAAUAAAAAAAAUUUGGGUCUGGUUCAAUUUCAGUUUUAAAAUUUUAAAACCGAUUGAACCAGAUGAAGUCAUAGAGUAGUCAUUAUUAUUAUAUUCCCAUUAUUAUUUAUUAUUCUAUAGAUUUUUCGAAGCUUUUGAAAAGAAAAAUUAACAUUGAUCAUUCAUUCACUUUUGAAAAAAAAUUCUUUUGCUUUUUUAUGUUGUUCCACUAAGAUGGCCUUUUUUUUUUCUUUUGUGAAUUAUGAUUUGACGUCAAACCAGGUGGAUUAUCAGUUGCAGCCACAAUUCACAAUUAUUUGAUGCAUAGCAAAAUAAUUAUUCAGAAUCACAGUACCUUGGCACUCCUUUCCAGCCAAUUUGAUAUAUUUUAAUAUAUUUCUAAAUAAAAAAGCUUUGAAUCUAUUAUAAUCUCAAUCAGGUCGAAAUCGAGAUGAAGGUUUACAAGGUCAAAGACAGCGAUCAAACACUCAUAAAUGCAAUGAACAGCUUGUUUUGGACUUCCCACGUAUACACCUGUUUUCUACCAUUAUAUCUGAAAAUGUCUUCAACAAAGCAUAUUCUCCUUCUUCUUCAUUUUUUAAAUGUUUUGAUAUGCAUAUUAAUUCAACAUUACAUAAGGCUUUUAUGAAUAAAAAGCCAUAAACAAAUGUGCAGCAGACAUCCAUCAAUGCAAGAAAUGCCCAUUUUCAAGAACUCUAAGCAACUCCUAUAUCAUUAUAAGAAGCACUGUCCAGUUGUUCUCAUGAAAUUAUUUUCCUCUAACCUCAUUAACAAUUCAUUGAGAAUCCCAAUAACUGAUUCAGUCACUUAAAAACCAGAACAAAACCCUCAAAUAUCAAAUCUUUAUAUGUUUCAAUAUCUAAAAAGAAGAAAAAGCAACAAUUUUCAAACUUUUUUCCUCUAUUUAAAAAAGGGGUAAAAAAGCAAUAUAGGUCAUGGAUUUCUUUUUCUUUUUUUGUUACAUGGAGAGUAGUUAGAUCUCAUUAACGCAAAUAAUUCAUCAAUCAUAAUCAAAACUCAAAACAAAGCAUGCAAGUAAACCAUGAAUAAUGUUGAUGGUAAAAAAAAAUGAUGUGUAAAUUGAGAUGGAGAGCUAAAUAUAUAAAAAGACCAAAAAAAACGGAGGAUGCUAUAUUCAUACAUCAAUCAAAGAAUGUGUGGAAACAAGUAAAAUAAUGGACAUCCAAAAGUGAAGUUUGAAAGUUAUGAAUUAAGAUUUUAUUUGUAUGUUUUUAUAAAAAUUCAAGAGAGAUCUAUAAGUUUAAAUUUUCAGGAAUAUAAAUAUGCAUCAAUAAAAACCUGUCAGGUCUGACGCUAGCUAGAUCUAGGUAUAUUGGGCUCGACAAUCUGUCAAGUCCCGGACAUGCUGGGUCUGACAGUGUGGAAUGGCUUUCAUUUCUUGAGCAUGCCCAAGAGAAUGAUCAUUGGGUCUAACUUAUGGGAAUAACUCAAUCUCUAUGAGCAUUAACUACAUUUGAUGUCCUAAACUCUAAUUUCCUUACAUCUUUUAGGUGUAUAAAAGUCUUCCAAGAACUCAUCAUAUUUCCAUCAAAUAUUAAUAUAGAUGUAAGAUAUAUUUAUCCUUUAUUAAAUGCUAUCGAGUCUCUUUAUAGAAGAACAAGACUCAUAUGCUAUAAAUACACAAUAAGACAUUCAGAACAGAGGUUCACAAUCUUUAUUUUCUACUACAUAUAUAAUUUCAGAGUAUUUUUUUCUAGAAUAUUUUUAUAUUUUUUUUUUAUAAAAAAAACAUACUUAUUUAAACAUCAGAUUUCAUCAUAAAUAUGUUCAUAGCAAAAAAUGAAAAAGAAAAAAAAAGCUGAUUCAGCAAAGCAAAUUAUUAAGGGUCUGUAUUUGCUUUCAUUAACUAAAAUAGCCAGAGAAACACAAUCCAUAUAUACAUGCCUGGAAUAAAAGAGGCACAAUGGAACAUGAAAGCCUUCUCUAAAAUGAGCAAACUAAGAUUGCUCAAAAUCGACAACGUGCAUCUUUCUGAAGGACCUAAAGAUCUUUCCAAUAAGCUACGAUUUCUUGAAUGGCAUUCUUACCCUUCAAAAUCAUUGCCAGCUGGUUUACAGGUGGAUGAGCUAGUUGAACUUCACAUGGCUAACAGUAGCAUUGAGCAAUUAUGGUAUGGGUGUAAGGUGAGAUCAACUAAUUUAAGGCCCUUUGUAUUUCUUUUUAUCGUUUUCCUAUAUAUAUAUGAUUGGCUAACAGUAUCCAUAUUUCUUCUCCCCUGCCUGAUUGCAGAGUGCAGUUAAUUUGAAAAUCAUUGUACUAACCCAAUUCUGGGUUAUUCCCUAAAAUUCAUUUUUUUUAAAAUAAAAACAAAAAAAAUAAAAUAAAAAAUAAAAGCUGGCAAUGUGGAGAAAGCUGAUCAAGAAAAAUAGGCAAAAUAGGCAAAAAUCAAUCUGCAAUUUUCAGAGGAAAUUCAAGGCCUUUCGGCGCCCCAUUGUGCCCAAAAUCGGAGAAAAAAAUGCAAAUUCAAGAUCAAAUUAAAUGAUUAUUGGACAAAUUUGCAUAAAAAUUAAGUCCAAUAACAUAAUUAAAUUUUUAAUAGGCCAAUUUGAUUUAAUCAUGGGUCAAAUUAAAUUUUAGUUAUGUUUAAGAAUUAAUUUAGGUCCAAAUGAAGGAUUUAAUUAAGUGCAAGUACUUAAUUAUACUUUAAAUGGGUCAAAUUAAUUUUAUUUGGGGCUUAAUUGGUGAAAAAUUAAGUUUGGGAGCCUAAUUUGGGCUUAAUGGAGAAGAUUGGAAUUUUAAGAGACCAAAUUUAAUUUUUACCAAGUUAAUUGAUUGAAAUCAGGGGUCAAAUUGCAAGAAAAUUGAAGUUUUGGGGCCAAUUAGGGGUUAAAUUGACAAAAUCCAAAGCCAAGGGCCAAUCUGCAAAAGGCGCCAAACUAUAGGGGUCUAAUUGACAAAAGCCAGGGGUCAAAUUGAAGAAAUUGAAAGCUGGAGGACUCAAUUGAAAAUCGGCAAAAAUCCCUAGCUUUUGAUCCAAAACGGCGCCGUUUUUGGUGUUUAAGAAAAAACAAAGAGGAGGAAGGGACCAGGCGACGCGUCGCCUGGUCACUGUUCAUCUUCUUCCCCACAAAACUGCCAGAGUAGCAGCUUUCCAGGCGCAUUUUCUACCUCGUUUGGCCUCCAAAUCCGACAACGCAUGCUCCAAAAUGUCCACCUCAAACCCCUUUAUCCUCGAGAAUGGUCCGGUCGGGUAGAAAAACUUUGAAACGGCUUCGUUUAUUGGCCCAAAGUGGCCACCUCGUUCAGUCUGCAGCCUUGGAUUGCCAAAUUUGGCAAUUCGAGGUGCACACUUUGAACCAACGGAUUGGAUUCCUCGAGUCGAAUCAAGGGCUGAGAAUUUUUCCCGUUGAAGACAAGAUUACCCUCUUUCCAGCCCUAUAAAUAGGAGCCAAUUUCAUGCUCAGGGGGAGGGGAAAAUUGAGCUCAAAAUUGGCAAAAAAUCAGCUUUUCCUGCCCGGUUUUCCUGCAACCAGCCUUCUCUUUUCUUUUUCUCUCCGCCGUGGCCUCCAGCCGCCACCACUGAUCUCGCCACCGUCCUUCCCAAGAAACACCACAUCCCAUCCAUCACCCAGCAACCUCACCACAGUCACAGUACCUCUCUUUCUCUCCCUCUCUUCUCUGCAAAAAUCUUAUCCUCUGCCACCGUGACUCCAACAGCGGCGGCGACAGCAGAGGUAGCAACCAUCUUGCCCAAAAGCUCUCUUCCACUCCUACCAGCAGCAGCCGGAGUAGCAGCUCCUUCCUCAGUCACACCAACAGCUCCAGCCGUGAGCUUUCCUUCUCCUCUGCAAGAAUCUGCUCCUUCUUCUUCCAGCCGGGACCAGUGCACGCCGUCGUCCUCGCCGCCUCCAGUCGCACCGCGCACCACCAGCUAGGCCGCCGACUCUCUCCACGCCAGGUAAUUCUCUCCUCCCCGCUCCACCCUUUUCAAAAACCUUUUUCCAACUAUUUUUUUUUUCAGGAUGCAGAUGUAGACUUUAAUAUUUGUGGGGUGUAAAAUUACACGAUAAAGUACACCCUCGGGUAUUAAACAUACAAGGUGUAAAUAAAUGCCAUCCUAAAAUUCAGACUUUAGAACGGUUAGGAUUUAACCCAAUAAGGUAGAGACUCCCUCACGAAGGGAGAUCUGCCUUGAACCUUAGAAAAGACCAACGAAUAGAAACUCGACCUAGAAAAACAAUCAAACAACAAUGCAGCUUACCUUAGGUAGGGUGCACUGGGGGUGAUGCAUCUUCCCCUUGCACAACCAGUCCCUUACUCAGACUCUCGCAGACCAUAGGUUCCUAGUGACCAUAAUACUAGGUGGCGACUCCAACGAACCAAGCAAAACACAAAUAAAAGAAAAAUCGCCAGCAGACGCCGCGCGGAUUUUCCGACGUGCGACAGAAUGGCGACUCCACUAGGGACGCCUUGUUUGGUCGGACUAAGCUUUGUUUGUUUGUUUAAUUAUCUGUUUUGGUCUGUUUAAAUGUACUGUUUCAGCACUUUUAUUUCUUGCUCAUACAUAAAUAAUGUGUUCAUGCUUUUUUAAAUUCUUGCAAGAUAACCCAACACUAGGAUAGGAGGGGAGUAGCGGUCUGCCCCAUGACUUUCAGUCGGGGUUCAGAUUCGCGAAACAUCCAACUAUGAGCUGAGUGUUUACUUGGUGAUAGCGGACACAUAGUGCCCGAACCUUCCCUUGUAAACCCCUAUACUGCCUUUACGUGAGGUGGUCACUGGGCAGUUCAUAUACCUUUUUGAGACCAGCUAGAAAACAUAUCCCUCGUAUAAUAACCUAGAUUUUUUUCUAAACUUUACAGGAUUUUUAUUGCUAAGACCAUGACUUCCCUUACCUUUUCGGAAUAUGGGGAAAGAUCUGAGAUGAUACAAGUAAUUGAAGGGGAUUGCCCAAGAACCAAGGUUGAGGAAUUACCACACAUAACCAAAGUGCAUUAUUCCGUAGACACCAUAAAGAAGUUGGCCUCUCUUCUGGGAUAUAUUGAUGAGAAUCUGUUUGAGAAGAAGUAUGGAAGAAUUGCUCAUCUAAUAAGAAUGCCUGUUCAGAUUUCAGCGGUCAAAGCCUUGAUGCAUUUCUGGGAUCCAAGCUACAGAUGUUUCACCUUUGGGGAUAUUGAUAUGACUCCUACUCUUGAGGAGUAUGCUCAGAUCUUAAGUUUUCCUAAUAGCCCCUACAAAGUAUACUUCAGACAAAGAAUUGAGAAUACAGUUACAGCAGUUGCCAAACUUCUACAUUUGGAUCAAGUUGAUCGGUACAGGAUACCCAAUGGAGGUUUCAAGUGGAAGAUGAUCGAGAAUAAAUUAAAGACAGAUAAGGAAGAAGGGAAGUUAGGAGAAGAAAGAUAUCAGAUAAUUGCUUUUGCCAUAUUUGGGUUGGUUCUGCUUCUUUCAGAAGCCGCCAGAAUUAUUAGCAUUGAAGUUGCUAAUGCCUUCCUCGAAUUUGAAGAGGUAAAGAAUAACCCUACUUCAGCUAUCUUAGCUGAAACCUUCCUAUCUCUAAACCAUUGCAGAUUACAUGGGAAAGGGGCGAUGCAAUGCUGUAUCCCUCUCUUAUUCAUGUGGAUAGUAAUCCAUUUGGAAGCAUCAAAAGAAGUCUUCAAUAAUUCUUGGUGGUUUAACAUGAGGCCUCUUGAGUUGGUGCUAGCUGAAGAAUGGAAUGAUUUGGAUGAAAAGGAAUGGGUAGAAAAAUACCGAGAACUUCCCAAAACUAAUUUCAGAUGGAAAGCUCCUUGGGUAAGUGGUUCAUCUUACCUCAUGAGUUGUGGCGACAAGGCAUGGGUUCCUUUGAUUGGCUUAACUGGAUAUAUCAGCUACUCACCCUCAUUAGUAGCUAGACAGUUUGGAGGAGUACAACACGUGCCAAGAACUUGGGCGGUGGCCGAAUAUACCGGUCUGUUUAAAGAAGCUAGCUCUUUGGAUAUGUUAGACGCCAUCAGAAAUGACUGGAAGCAGCCUGUUUUGGUCUCUAAGGAAGAGCAUAAAAAAGAGUUCUCUGUUAGCCCUGCAUAUUCAAUAUGGGGGAGUGGCAGUUCAUCUAAGAUACUUCAAAAAGCAAAAAAGCAAAGAAAAGCCUAAGAUAAGUCGUCUGUGACGUUCGAGCUGAAAAGAAAAAGGGUCAACAAUGAGGAAGACCUCCGAGAAGAGUUGGAUAAGCUGAGGAUUGAGCUCGGUAAUAGUAAAAAUCAUCAAAGAUUCCUGGAAGACCAACUUUUGAAAGAAGAAGAGAUGAAGGCCUCUCUGGAUCAACAGUUGAAGGAAAGAGAUGAGCAGAUUGUUAAGCUAAAGAAGAGCCAGCAUGAAGCAAAUCAGCAACUGAAUGAGGGGAAGGCCAAGAAUGACGAGUUGGUAAAAAAGAAUGACGAGUUGGUAAAAAAGCAUGUAAUGGUGGAGCAUGAAUUGGCGAGUCUAAAAAAGGCCUCGGAAAGUAGAAAGUCUGCCGACAAAGAAACAAUAGCUUUUCUGAAGAAAGAAAGGGACCGGUAUAAAUUAAAAUGGGAGGCUGAAAAAGAGAAGAAUAGAUUGGCUGAUCUCGCCAUUGAAGAAGAAAAAAGGGUAAGGACUCGAUAUCAGAUGCAGGCUGAAGAUGAGAGAGAAGCAAGAAGGGUAGCUGAGAUAGAGAUGAAGGGAUACCUGGAUAAGAUAAAUGGUAUGAGAAACCGAGUGUCUGUGAUACAAGCCGAGCUUGAGUCCCGAGAGGAAGAAGCAAAGGAAAUCAAGACUAGAUCAUCAGUUUUGAUGCACAACUAAACACUAAGGUAGCCGAGCUUGAUGUAGAGAAGGAAGAAUUGCAAAGGGCCAGAAAUCAGAUUCAACAGUUGGAAAAGGUGGUUCGAAUUUUGGAGACAAACAAUGAAACAUUAGCCGCCAGCAAUGGAACAUUGCUUCAAGAUAACACCGUGUUCCAUUACAAGAUUGAACAAACUGACAAGUUAAUCGACAUGGUGGCUAGAAAGGCAAAUGAGCUACGAGCAAAGGCUACCAGGAUUGCCAACAACCGCCAUAGAUACGAGGAAUAUUUGAAUGAAGUUUCCUCUUUCAUCAGGAUUGUGGCCAAUAGAGGGAUAUCAUUUGAAUGAAGACACUUUGUAUGAACCACUUUGUACUAUGUCUACUUUUGGAACUUUCAUAAUGUGUACGAAAUUUAAUCAAUCAAUGGAAUUGGGUAAAACCUCUUUGUGAGUAUCAGAUUUCGGAUGUUACCUGUAUUUGGCGAAGGAAGUCAUGGAUUAGCUCUUUAAAUCCAUAUACAUGCAUUUGCAUUCAUGUUUAUACAUUCAUUCAUUAUAACACACAUGCAUACACCAGGUCAAAAUAUAGGUCCCCAAAGAACUUACCACACCCGACUUCGAGCAAGGAACAUGGAAGAUGAAGCACGUGCUUACCGUGAGGCUCAUUUCCAAGAAGAGUUGGACUCUUUAAAGGACAGUGUGGCUCGCCUCACCGGCUUACUCGAGCAAGUACUAAGGAAUACCUCGGGUGAAGGUCCUUCAACUAGGCCUGCUCCUCUCCCAACAAACCAACCUGAAGAGGUAAUGGGAGAACAUGUGCAGGAACCCCAACACAAUCCAGUUUUCAUGCAGUCGCCAACACCCGUACCACCUGUACCAACACCAGUACUGUUGUAACCCAUUUUUGGGUCCCCACAAAAUAUAUAUAUAAAUAUGUAUAUAGCCAAAGGAGGUUAAGAAAAAAUAACAGGAGGCAGAAGCGCUCAGAAAAUGGUUGGAAAAUCGAUCAAUAAGGUUAAAAAUACAAAGAUUGGAUUUUUGACAGUAUAUUCUUGAAGGAGGAGAGCCCUGUUGAGAAGGAAAAUUUGAAAUUUGAGGAGAAAAGCCCAAAUUUGGAUGUUUAUGGACUUAAUUUGAUUUUUAAAUGAAUUUAUAGAGGAUUUGAUUGCAAGAAAAAUUGAUUUUUAAGUCAAUUUGGGCUUUAAUUAGAAGAAAUUUAAGUUCUGGGGCCAAAAUAUAUUUUUUAGGAAUUUAUUAGGUCAAAUCAGGGGCCUAAUUGCAUAAAUAUUGAAGUUUAAGGGCCAAUUAGGGACUUAAUUGAGAAAAUCCGAAACCAGGGACCAAAUUGGAAGAGGCGCGUAAAUGGAGGGGCUGGAAUUAAUUGAUUCAGGGGCCUAAUUGAAGAAAUUAGAAGUUUUUUGAUCAAUUAAGGGCUCAAUUGCAUAAAUCAGACACCAAGGACUAAAGUGAAAAACGCGGCCAACAAGAGGGACGAAGACCGAAAUUGGCAGGGAUGCAAUUGAAGAAAGAGAAGAUGAUUGAGGGCUGAUUUGAAAUUUGGCGCGUUUUGGCGCCACAUUUAAAUGAAACGGCGCGUUUUCUCCAAAACGACGCCGUUUCAUACAUUCAAAAAAAAAAAAAAAAAAAAGAGCAGAACGGUGUCGUUUUGAAACGACACUGUUCAUCUUCUUCCCCCGAUCACGCAGCGGGGAAGAAGGAGAAAGGGAAGCUUUAAUUUGAAUUUUGCCGGCCACUCUCUCGCCUGGAGCCCACCGACCGGACACAAUGGCCGACCAUCCACCGCGCACCACCCACCGAACCUCGGCAGCCGCGCCCAAUGGCCGACCAGCCGGUUGCUCCCCCAUGAGAGCUGUAAAAAACAGCGUCCUUGGCCUCUAUAAAUAGAGGCCAAGAACGCUGAGAGNNNNNNNNNNNNNNNNNNNNNNNNNNNNNNNNNNNNNNNNNNNNNNNNNNNNNNNNNNNNNNNNNNNNNNNNNNNNNNNNNNNNNNNNNNNNNNNNNNNNNNNNNNNNNNNNNNNNNNNNNNNNNNNNNNNNNNNNNNNNNNNNNNNNNNNNNNNNNNNNNNNNNNNNNNNNNNNNNNNNNNNNNNNNNNNNNNNNNNNNNNNNNNNNNNNNNNNNNNNNNNNNNNNNNNNNNNNNNNNNNNNNNNNNNNNNNNNNNNNNNNNNNNNNNNNNNNNNNNNNNNNNNNNNNNNNNNNNNNNNNNNNNNNNNNNNNNNNNNNNNNNNNNNNNNNNNNNNNNNNNNNNNNNNNNNNNNNNNNNNNNNNNNNNNNNNNNNNNNNNNNNNNNNNNNNNNNNNNNNNNNNNNNNNNNNNNNNNNNNNNNNNNNNNNNNNNNNNNNNNNNNNNNNNNNNNNNNNNNNNNNNNNNNNNNNNNNNNNNNNNNNNNNNNNNNNNNNNNNNNNNNNNNNNNNNNNNNNNNNNNNNNNNNNNNNNNNNNNNNNNNNNNNNNNNNNNNNNNNNNNNNNCAUGCAGAACGAAUAGCGUUCUGCAUGCAGGGGCGGGGGAGAAAUUAAUUCUCCCCCCGCCCGUUUUGUUGCUGGGCCAGGCGGGUCCUGGCCCAGCCCAGUCUUCUGGGCCGGGUUUGGCCCAGAAGAGAAUUUUUUUUUGGGCCGAGAUCGGCCCAAUAUUUUUUGGGCCGACCUCGGCCCAUCAUUGUCUAGACCAGUCUUCUGGGCCGGGCCUGGCCCAGAAAAGAUUUUUUGGGCCGAGAUCGGCCCAAUACAUUUUUGGGCCGACCUCGGCCCAUCAUGGUUUUGGGCUGAGUCCGGCCCAGUGGUUUGGGCCGGCCCAGCCCGAUUUAAUAUUUAUUAUAUAUAUAUAUAUUAUAUUUUGUAUUAUUUAUAUAUAUAUAUUUAUAUAUAUGAAAAACAUUAUAAAAAAUUGCAAAAAUUAUAGAAAAAUAUAUGUGAUUUUGUUGUAAUUUUAUUAUUAUAUUUUGAUUAAUAUUGGUUGGUAUUUUAUUUUGUAAAGAUACAAAACUCGGUAUUAAAAUACCCGGUUUUCAUCAAAACAUCAAAGAUUUUCAAAACAAAAAAUGUCUUUUGCUUUCAAAAAUUUUCUAAAAAAUAUCUUUGAAAAUAUUGUUGAUUUUUCGGCAUUUAUUUUAUCAAAGUGGAUUAAUAUUUGGUUGUAUUUUUUACAAACCCAGUAUUAAAAUACCCGAUUUGCGUCAAAGCGUACAAAAAUACAUAUUUUUUUUUUUAAAAAAAAAUGUUUUGUUUUAAAAUACGGCCUAGUCUCUCCAAUAUAUAUAUAUAAAUAUUAUAACAUCAUAUUUUCACAACAAAAGAAAUUUCAAAACAAUAUAUGUAUUAGCAUGCAUUUUGGCUUUAAUAACCAGUUUAUUCAAGUCAUGAGAACUAGGCCAAUAUUUCAAAAAUUCUAAAAAAAAUCUUUUUGUCCUUGGGAUUACUAAUUUUUACAUAAAACGUUUUCCUGAUAUUAAAAAUGUUUUUUUUUACAUAGACAUUAGAACGGUUAGGUUUUACCCGAUAAGAUAAGGACCUCCUUAUUGAGGAGGACUUUUCUUGAACCAUAGACGGACCAACAACUAGGAAACACAACGAAACCUUAAAUUUUAUCAGACAAUAAAAUGAUGCAGCUUACCUUAGGUAGGGCGUAUUUGGGGUGCUAAUACCUUCCCUUUACGCAACCAGUCCCCGUACCCGAUCUCUGAGACCAGUUAGGGUUCCUAGUGACCAAAAUACUAGGUGGCGACUCCCACACCAUUUUUCACUGCUAAGAGACAACGAAUUCCUUGUCUCCCCACAUUGACCAGAUAUAUAUAUCCCCCAUCCCUUUUAUUUUAUUUUUUGUGGGUGGACGAUCGCCGCGACGUCGCUCACGUGCGACAGAAUGGCGACUCCACUGGGGACCUUGUGGAUUAAGCUUUGUUUUUGUCUGAUUUGUUUUUGUUUUCGUGUGUUCAUUGUUAAUAUGCCUUUCCUUUUGUUACCUGCUUAUACGCUUUAAAUAUUUUUACACAUAUUAUUCAUGCAUGUAUAGAACUGUCUCAUACAUCUUAUAGAACUGUCACAUGCAUCACAUACUUUGAUGAUUGAGAGCACACACAAACUUUAAGUUAAGUGGGGGACUAGCAGCUUACCUUACGACUGUUAGUCAAGGUUUAAGUUUGUGUAAACCCCAACUCUUCGCUGAGUGCUUAGACUGGUAAUAGUUGGUACAUGUGACCAUCUCAUUGCCUACAAGCCCCCAUAUUGCCUCCACGAGGGCAAUCACUGGGACAGCAAGAGACCCUUUUUAGAGACUGAAUAGCCAACCUACCCUCGUCAAACACAAAAGAUUUAGAACCAGGCUAUAGGGUGUAUGCCCCCACAAAAUACAUUCUUGCAUAACACAACCUAAACCAUAAAGUAUUUGGUUUUCAGGUCAUUUUGAAACGAUAAGAUGGCCAUCAUUACCAAAUUUACUACUGUGGAAUAUGGGCAGAAUUCUGAAUUGUCACAACUAUCAGAGGGAGAUUGCUCUAGAUAUGAUGCAAGGAAGCUUCCAGUAGUCAAAGACCUGAAUUGCGUAGUAUACGAGAUGAAGAGAAUAUUGGGCCAUAGUCAGAAUAUUGAUGAGGCAGCAUUUUUUGGGAAGUAUGGGCGAUUAUUGGAAAUUGCAAAGAUAGGAGUAUUGAAUCCAGCAAUUAAAGCUUUGAUUAACUUUUGGGAUCCCGAUUACAGAUGCUUUUCUUUCGGAAAUGUGGAUUUGUGUCCCACUAUAGAGGAAUAUGGAAUGUUGAUGGAGUUUCCCAAACACCUGCACCAAGUUUAUUUUCCUUUGAGAAAUGACAAGGUGAUUCCUGAGUUGUCGAAAUUAUUGAAGAUUCCACAUCUGAGCAGAUUUUUGGAGAAGAAUGGCAGCGGUUUAAAGUGGAAAUUUUUGGAGGUUGAACUAGAAAAGAAAAAGGAGCAAUACGCCUCAGUGGUAGAAAGAGACAGGUUAAUCGCUCUAGGGAUCUAUGGUCUCGUGUUAUUUCCAAGCUUAAAAGGGGUUAUAAGUCUAGAAGCUGCUGCUGCAUUCGUGGAAUAUGAAAGUACUCAUGUCAACCCUACAACUGCCAUAUUAGCUGAGACCUUGCUGACCCUCAACCAUUUUAGAAAAACAGGGAAAGGCGCAGUAAGAUGUUGUACUCAGUUAUUAUACAUCUGGAUGGUAAGCCAUGUUGAAACCAAGAAGCCGAUCUUUAAUAAUUUUUGGUGGUUUAACCAAAAACCUUUGAAGAUAGUAGAGGAAGAAGAAUGGGGAAUCCUAGGUGAUCAGGGUUGGAUGAAAAAACUCCAAGAGUUACCUAGUAGCAACUUUAGUUGGAAGGCCCCUUGGGUUAAAUCAGUUGAUGUCAUAGUAAGUUGUGGACAAAAAUGCUGGGUACCUUUAAUUGGGAUCACAGGUUAUGUCAGCUACGCUCCGGCUUUGGUGAUAAGACAAUUAUGUGGCAUACAACACAUCCCAAGAACUGUGGGACUUGCUGAAUUUUCCGGAUUUUUCAAGGAUCAAUCCGCGCGAGAAGUUCUUGAAACCAUCAAACAAGAUUGGAGCCAGUUGACUCUAAUUCAAAAGGAGUCAGAAAGUUUGAGAGACCCUAGCUCAAGUGAAGGAUAUGAAAAGUGGAGGAAUUUGACCCCGAUUGCCAUUCCGAAAAAGCCAUGUUCUGCAGAUGGGCCUUCACGAAUUGAAGAAGGGUCUUUGAAAAGAAAAAAGGUCAGUAAUGAAGAAGACCUUAUGGAGCAAAUAGAAAGGCUACAAAUAGAAUUGGGAAAGAGUAAGGGAGAUAAAGCAGCAUUAGAAAGGAUGAUGAUGGAAGGAGAUAAAAGCAGAGUGUUUCUAAACGAACAGCUCGAAUCCAAAGAUGCGAAAAUCGGGAUGUUGGAGCUGCAAUUGAGCAAAGGAAAGGCUGUAAUAGAGGAGUCUGAGAAAGAAAGAGGAAGACUGAUUUUGGAUUUUAUGCAAAGCAGCUCUGAGUUGGAAGCAUUGAAAGCCGACUUCGAUGGCUAUCAAGAGAAUGUUGAGUACAAUCAGGACAAAUUCUUGCAUGUUAAAGCAGAGUUGUUAGACCGAAUUGAGAAGUAUGAUGAGUUAAACAAGAAAUAUAUGAUGAUAGAAAGUCGGCUAACUGAAUUACAAGAGUUCGAAAGAAAGGGGAAUGAAGAGGAGGUUUUGAAGGCAGAUUUGGCAGUUAAGAAAAUUGAAAUUAGAAUGUUGAAGGUGAAGUUUGACAAAGAACGAGAAAAGGUGAAACAGUUGACCAACAGGUUGGAAGUUUCAGAAAAACAUAAAGAACAGAUCGACACCAACAACAAUACUUUGAAUCGGAACAACAUGGUGCUUAUAGAGAAGAUGGCCAAGGUAGAUGAGCAAAUGGAUGAAGCUGCCAUUCACGCACGAAUUAUUAGAGCCAAUGCUCGAAGGGUGGGAAGGGACAUCCUUCGUUAUCGACAAAGCUUGGCUGAGACAGAUGCCUUUUUAGAGAAAAUUGAGAAUCGAGGCCUCGCUUUCCUACCAGUGGCUAGAGAUAUGGAUGAAGAAGAAGAUUGAUGUAUUUAUCUUUUUAUUAUUUUGUACCCUCUCUUCAAGAGAUGUAUUAGCCAAUAUUAAUGAAAAGGGGCUUUGACCCAUCUUUUAUAAAUAUAAGCCUACCAAAGCAGCAGCUUGAGCACAACUACUCCUGAUAAGGAACGUGACAAAAAGAGUCCAUGCCCAUUACACAAGAGGAAUGUUGGCCAUCGAUCGUUUUUUUUAAAAAAAAAACAAGUUUCUAAGAGUAUUCAUGCAUUGUUUAUUUAUCACACAUUCAUUUACAUUUUUUUCAUGCAUCCCAGACCGUGAAACAUAGGUCCCACAUCCAAAAUCCACAACACCCGGUCUCGAGCGAGAAUGGAGAACGAAGAAAGAGCUCACUUAGAGUCACAUUAUCAGACCGAGUUGGAGUCUGUAAAGAAUGAAGUUUCUCGGCUAACCGACUUACUUGAGCAGCUUCUAAGGGCUAAGAAUGGGGAGGGAACAUCAGCACGACAGCUUGAAGGAGCGCCAGCAGUUCACAUUCCUCAAGCAUCUCAAAACCAGGGGGCAAACUCGGCCAAUGAACAACAGUUUGUGCCUAUUACUCCUAGCCUACCACCUCAUACUCCAGUCACUGUUGACCUAACAACGGAGGGAGUCCCGGAUAAUAGGUCUCCCAGUUUGAUAGACCAAGACAAGCUGUUUGCUCUGGAAGAAAGAUUAAGGGCAGUUGAGGGUAAUGACUGGUUUGACCCUAUGCGAGCAGCCGAAGUAUGUUUGGUACCAAACAUCGUGGUACCAAAAGAUUUUCGCAUACCAGAGUUCAUUAAGUAUACCGGUUUGGAAUGCCCAAACACUCACCUUCGAUCCUACUGCAACAAAAUGGCGGAAGUAAUCCGUGAUGAUAAAAUGCUAAUCUAUUUCUUUCAAGAUAGCCUAGCAGGAUCCGCUUUAAGCUGGUACAUGAGGUUAGACAGCAUCAGGAUCAAGAGCUGGAGAGACUUGGUGGAGGCUUUCCUCAAACAGUACAAGUUUAACAUGGAAAUCGCUCCUGAUCGAACAAGUUUAAUGGCAAUGGAGAAAAGAAGCCAGGAGUCAGUAAGGGCUUAUGCGCAAAGAUGGAGGGAUGAGGCAAUGCAUGUCCAACCCCCUUUGAUAGAAACGGAGAUGGUGAGCUUGUUUGCCAAUACCUUCAAAGCACCUUAUUAUGAGCACCUAAUGGGUAGCUCCUCUCAACAUUUCUAUGAUGCGGUACGCAUAGCUGAGAGGAUAGAACAGGGGAUCAAAGCUGGGCGAAUAGCAAUGCCAGUGGAAAAGAAGGGCUUUAUUGGAAGAAAGAGAGAAGGCGAUGUUAACAAUUUGGAGGACGGGUAUAAGGGCAAGAAAGUAGAUUCCCACAAUCCACAAGUACCUACCUCUCAAUUCUCACGCAUAAACUUUAACCAAUCUUUUUCGCCUAAUCGAACAAAUAACCAAUCAAACUACCAAAAUCACUACCAAAGACCCCAUACGAGAUACCCUUCGGAACAACUACCACCGCUACCCAUGCCUUUGAAGGACAUGUAUGCCAAACUGUUGAGCAUUGGGCACAUAGCUCCUAUCCCUACACUACCAUUACAACCACCAUUCCCAAUUUGGUACAAGCCCGAGUUAACUUGUGAGUACCAUGCGGGUAAUCCUGGGCAUGGGAUUGAAACCUGUUACGCUUUCAAGAAAAGAUUGAUGGAGCUUAUUAAGAUAGGAUGGGUAUCCUUUGAAGACAAGCCCAAUGUUAAUUCAAACCCGUUGCCUAAACAUGCCUCAAGUAGUAGUGGAAUAGGCAUGAUAGAAGUUGGAAAUCAAUGCAAGGUGUUGAAGGUGUCUAUGGAAAAGAUGUACUACAUGUUAGUACGAUCAGGAUUUCUAGAGGCAAAUAUGGAAGGCCAUUCGGAGGGAGGUAGUUAUUGUGAGUUCCAUGGCAGAGAUGGACACUAUAUUGAGGAUUGCAUCGAGUUUUGCGAAAAGAUUGCAAAAAUGUUAAAAAUGAGGCAAUUAAGAAUUGAACCCAUGGAGAACAGGGGUGAGGUGAGUAUGAUAGAAGAUCAGAUGGAGAUGACAGGAGUAUGCAGGGUCCAACAAACAGCUAAUGGUCCCCCAAGGCUAAUCUUGGUUAAACCAUCCUACACAAAAGGGAAUCACAAUGCCAUGCCUUAUAAUUAUGGUUAUGCCUCCAACGUUCAAGCUCCUCUUCCUUUGUCCCAGACUGAGAUAAGUGGGUUGACCAGGAGUGGUCGUUGCUUUACUUCCGAGGAGUUGAGGAAGGAAAAGGGUAAAGAAGUGGUAGAUCUUGACAAAGCACUAGAAGUUAAUAAGCCGGUAACAGAAGAAGAGUCGAAUGAAUUCCUGAAGUUGAUCAAGCAUAGUGAAUAUUGCAUAGUUGAUCAACUAAAGAAGACUCCAGCUAGGAUCUCCCUUAUGUCCUUGAUACUCAGCUCUGAGCCGCAUCGAAACGCCUUGCAAAAGGUAUUGAAUGAGGCAUAUGUACCCCAAGACAUUGAGCAUAAAACCAUGGAGCAUCUAGUGGGGAGGAUCCAUGCAACUAAUUACCUAUACUUCACAGCAGAUGAGCUCGAUACUGAAGGUACCGGACAUAACAAGCCCUUAUACAUUACGGUUACGUGCAAGGACUGCCUCAUAGGAAAAGUACUCAUUGAUAACGGCUCGGCCUUUAAUGUGUUGCCAAAGCACAUGUUGGAAGAAAUGCCGAUCGAUGAAUCCCAUAUAAAGCCAAGUACUAUGAUGGCCAGAGCGUAUGAUGGCUCACCUAGGCCAAUAAUUGGGACUCUAGAAGUGGAGCUAUAUGUGGGACCACAAAUGUUCCUAGUAACACUUCAAGUUAUGGAUAUUCAUCCUUCCUAUAGUAUGUUGUUAGGAAGACCUUGGAUUCAUGCAGCGGGGGCAGUAGCUUCAUCAUUGCACCAAUGCCUGAAGUAUAUCAUGAAUGGGAUGUUGGUAACUGUCAAGGCUGAGGAGACAGUAUCCAUGAUAAAGAAUGUAGCUGUGCCUUUUAUCGAAGCGAAUGAUUGCAAGGAUAACAAUAUCCAUGCCUUUGAAAUUGUGAACACUGACUGGGUGCCGGAGAACACAGUGCUAAGAAGGCCAAGGAUCUCAGAAGCAGCAAGGAUGGCAAGUCUAUGCCUUUUGAACCGCGGGAUCCCAUUUCAGUAUAACUUUAUUAUCAGGAUACCGAAGGGGUUAAUCUGGCAAGGAUGAAAAGUGUUGCUCAAAGAUUUGGGUUAGGAUACCAACCUAACCAAGAAGAUUAUCGGUGGGCUGCUGGUCGGAGAAGGGCAAGAAGGAUGGCUAGAAUUAAAGGAAGAGAGCCUGAUGAAGAAAAGCUAGAAAUCCCUCCCCUUAGCAUGUCAUUCCCAAAAGCUGCAUACAUAAUGCAAAAUGAUAAAGAAGCCGAAAGCCUUAAUCAAGAGCUGUCAAACAUGAGCAUAAAUACCUUGGGGGAAAACAAGGUGGAAGAAGAUGACAUGAAGACAGUAGCAAGAAAGGGAGAUGAAGCACUCCCACAACUGACGGUCUACACCAUAGAAGAGGUCUCCGCCAAGACCUUUGUGCGCAAGUUGGCUCAAGACGAGAAGUUUCAGAAUUGGGUGACCCAAGAAGCUCCAGUGGUUUUCAAAAUGUAAACCAAUUUUGUUUAUCUUAACAUGCUUUUGUCAUUGCUUUGUUUGGUUUUCAUUUAUUUUCGCUAGUCGACAAUCAAGGCUCAAUUGUCGGUUAGACUUUAUGUUUGUCAUGGAGCCCACUUUUUCUUUAAAUAAUUGUGAGAUCAUGCACUUUCCACAAAUUGCUUUCUUUUUUAUGCAUUUACACCAAACACUUCCCGCUUUCAGGAAUCCUGAAAGCGGAUCUCCAACAACAUCACAUAUAUUUAGCAUCAAGAAUAAAUGGCCAAACUUGAACGAGCAUGUGAUAGCUAUGGAAGAAGAAGAAUGGGAUGAAAGCAAUAUUAGUGAAUUCACCAGGCUAGUAGAACAACAGGAACAGACUUGGAAGCCUAUCGCCGAGGAACUCGAAACCAUCAAUGUGGGUAGUGAUCAGCUCAAGAAAGAGUUGAAAAUAGGUACCUUAGUUACUUCUGAACAAAGGACAAAAAUGAUCGCCCUGUUACAAGAAUAUGCAGAUGUCUUUGCUUGGUCUUAUGAAGAUAUGCCUGGUUUGGAUACAAAUAUUGUAGUACACAAGAUACCGUUGGAAGAAGGCUGUAAGCCAAUCAAGCAGAAGCUGAGGAGGGCCCACCCGGAUGUCUGGAUCAAGGUCAAGGCAGAACUCGAGAAGCAAUGGGAUGCUGGCUUUCUAGAAGUAGUUAGAUAUCCACAAUGGGUAUCUAACAUUGUUGUGGUACCUAAGAAGGAGGGGAAGAUUAGAGUAUGCGUGGAUUUUCGGAAUUUGAAUAAAGCUAGCCCCAAGGAUGAUUUUCCUCUACCACACAUAGAUGUUUUAGUGGACAAUGCUGCCCGGAGUUCCACAUAUUCCUUUAUGGAUGGUUUUUCAGGAUACAACCAGAUAAAAAUGGCUCCGGAGGAUAAGACGAAAACAACUUUUGUUACACCGUGGGGGACAUUCUGCUAUAAGGUCAUGCCAUUUGGAUUGAAGAAUGCAGGAGCAACCUAUCAAAGAGCAAUGGUGACUUUGUUCCACGACAUGAUGCACAAGGAAAUUGAGGUGUAUGUAGACGACAUGAUUGCCAAGUCUAAAAGAGGAGAGGAUCAUGUUGAAGUUUUGAGGAAGUUGUUUGAGAGAUUGAGGAAGUAUGAAUUAAGGCUCAAUCCUGCCAAAUGUUCAUUUGGAGUUAAAUCGGGUAAGCUGUUAGGUUUUGUGGUAAGUGAUAGAGGUAUAGAGGUGGAUCCAGAUAAAGUAAGGGCCAUCCAAGCUAUGUCAUCCCCUAAGACGGAGAAGGAAGUAAGAGGAUUCUUGGGAAGGAUAAACUACAUUGCUCGGUUCAUAGCUCAGUUAACAACGACGUGUGAACCAAUAUUCCGACUACUAAGGAAAAAGAAUCCUGGAACCUGGAAUGAGGAGUGUGAGGAGGCAUUCAAUAAAAUCAAGCAUUAUUUGCAAAAUCCACCUUUACUGGUCCCUCCGGUAUCGGGAAAACCUCUAGUAUUGUAUCUAACAGUGACUGAAGCAGCUAUGGGAUGUGUAUUGGGUCAGCAUGAUGAAACCGGAAGGAAGGAAAGAGCUAUUUAUUACUUAAGUAAGAAAUUCACUGAAUGUGAGUCUAGAUACACGGAGAUAGAAAGGCUUUGUUGUGCGUUGGUGUGGGCAGCAAAGAGGUUGCGGCAUUAUAUGUUAUACUAUACCACUUGGUUGAUUUCAAAAGUGGAUCCUCUGAGGUAUAUUUGUAACAAGCCAUUUCUCUCAAGUCGAAUUGCAAGGUGGCAAGUUCUAUUGGCAGAAUAUGACAUAGUAUACAUGACAAGGAAAGCCAUAAAAGGAAGUGCAAUCGCGGACCAUCUGGCUGAUAAUGCUGUUGAAGAUUACGAACCCUUGGAUUUUGACUUCCCUGAUGAAGAUAUAUUGUCAAUAGAGAAAGAAGAAGAGCAGACAGAUUGGUGGACAAUGUUUUUUGAUGGUGCAGUGAACGUAUAUGGUAACGAGGCCGGCGCGGUAAUAAUCUCUCCUGAUAAGAAACAGUAUCCAGUUUCGGUUAAACUACAUUUCGAGUGCACCAACAAUACAGCUGAGUAUGAAGCUUGUAUCCUUGGUCUAGAAGCGGCAUUAGAGCUGAAGAUAAAGAAGUUAGAUGUGUACGGAGAUUCAAUGUUGAUUAUCUGUCAGGUUAAGGGGGAAUGGCAGACCAAAGAGGAAAAGUUGAGGCCGUACCAGGAAUACCUGUCCACGCUAGCGAAGGAAUUUGAAGAAAUUAGAUUCACCCACCUGGGAAGAGAAGGGAACCAUUUUGCAGAUGCUUUGGCCACGCUAGCAGCUAUGACUACCAUUGAUCUCAAGUGCAAGGUACAACCGGUACACAUUGACAUUAGAAAUGACCCAGCUCACUGUUGUUUAGUUGAAGGAGAGAUAGACGGACAGCCUUGGUAUUAUGAUAUCAAGAACCUUGUGCAAAAUCAGGAAUAUCCAGUGGGAGCCUCCAAAACGGAUAAGAAAACCUUGAGAAGGUUGGCUACAGAUUUUUAUUUAGAUGGAGAGAUUCUGUACAAAAGAUCAUUUGAUGGAACCUUGCUAAGGUGUUUGAAUGAGGCAGAUGCUAGAAAGGCAUUACGGGAGGUCCAUGAGGGGAUUUGCUCAACCCAUGCUAGCGGGCAUAUGAUAGCAAGGAAAAUCCAAAGGGCUGGUUAUUUUUGGAUGACACUAGAGAAAGACUGCAUCGACUAUGUCAGGAAAUGUCACAAGUGUCAAGUUUACAGUGAUAAGGUCAAUAUGCCACCAGCUCCUCUAUUUAAUCUGAUAUCUCCUUGGCCAUUUGCAAUGUGGGGAAUCGAUGUAAUUGGUCCGGUUAACCCAAAAGCUAGCAAUGGGCAUAGAUUCAUCCUUGUGGCUAUUGACUACUUCACCAAAUGGGUGGAAGCUAAUUCGUAUGCCCAUGUAACACAGAACGUAGUNNNNNNNNNNNNNNNNNNNNNNNNNNNNNNNNNNNNNNNNNNNNNNNNNNNNNNNNNNNNNNNNNNNNNNNNNNNNNNNNNNNNNNNNNNNNNNNNNNNNUGACCGAUAAUGCACACAAAUUCAAUGCCAAAAUGAUAGUGGAGCUGUGUACUAAAUGGAAAAUCAAGCAUUCGAAUUCCUCACCAUACCGACCAAAAAUGAAUGGCGCAGUAGAAGCCGCCAACAAGAACAUCAAAAAGAUUAUUCAGAAAAUGGUAGUCACAUAUAGAGAUUGGCAUGAGAUGUUGUCAUUCGCUCUUCACGCAUACCGCACUACAGUGAGGACCUCGACAGGAACUACUCCAUAUUCUUUGGUGUACGGUAUGGAAGCAGUGAUGCCUUUGGAAGUAGAAAUCCCGUCGUUAAGAGUAUUGAUGGACUCCGAAUUAGAAGAGGCCGAGUGGGCCAAAGUGAGAUAUGAGCAACUGAACCUGAUCAGUGAAAAGAGGAUGGCCGCAAUAUGUCAUCACCAACUGUACCAGAAACGAAUGGCCAAGGCAUAUGAUAAGAAGGUUAGACCGCGGUUGUUUCAAGAAGGGGAUCUAGUAUUGAAGAAAAUAUUGUCACUACCUGGAGACGAUCAAAGCAAAUGGGCACCGAAUUAUGAAGGUCCUUACAUAGUAAAGAAGGCAUUCUCAGGAGGAGCACUGAAGUUGGCUAGAAUGGAUGGAGAAGACCUAGCUCGACCUGUGAAUUCUGACUCUGUAAAAAGAUAUUAUGCUUGAUGUAGGCUCCUAAAUCAAUAAAGCAAAGUUUGGCCAUUGACUUCUUUCUCUUUUGCAUUGAUCUCACAACAGUCAUUUUUACAUUAAUCCCAACAGUGCAUGUUUUGUUUUAUCUCAUUUAAAAAGUGUAGCGUCGGCUGAACGAAUUUCUUCUCUCUAUAAAAGCCUAGACUAGAAUCACACCCCUACACUGGGGGCAAUAAGAGAUAUUUUCAUGUACGAAAGCCUAUAGAUUUUGAAAACCAAGCUAAAACAUUUGACAAAAGCAUGACAAAGAGGCAAUGACAAGUCAUAUAUUUUGGAAAAAGGACUAUUUGAAGAAAGUCAGAGAUUUCUUCUCCAAGAAUAUGAUCGGAGGCAACACGAGAGAGGAAUCCAGCAUACGACUUCAAAAGCAAGCUCAUGAUAAGAUGGAAUCUCAUGAACUCGAAGAAGAGGAUGGGGCCUAUGUUUCAAAACCAGGUACGAAUGCAUGCAUGGCAUUUAAUCAUAAAUCAUUGCAUAUAUGUUUUUUUGGGAUCGUUACAGGAGGAGACCUUAAUACAUUCCAACAAAAUUGAAGACGAAGAAAAAAUCAUUGAGUUGAUUCUAAAACAACAAGAAGAGAAAAUAAUAAUGUUCAAACCCUGCCAUCAGGAAGAGCGACAUCGAGCAAGCGGUAAAAGGGAAUCGCCAGAGGGGACUCCAGGUUAACCGAUUUACAAGAUAGAUUUUUUGGUUUUUGAUUAAAGGAGAUCGCCAGAAGGGAUCUCAUUAUUUCAGCUUCGAAUAAAAGGGAAUCGCCAGAUGGGAUUCCAAGUUGUCUUAGAUCGCAAGAGGGGAUCUUGUAUUUCGAUAUUGGUCAAAGAAGGUCGCCAGAAGGGACCUCGCGUAUCGCUUUGAAUAAAAGGAAUCGCCAGAUGGGAUUCCAAGUUAAAGGAGACCGCCAGAAGGGAUCUCGUGUUUCGCUAUUUGAAGGUCGCCAGAUGGGACCUCGUAUUACCUGUUUUAAAAAAAAAGGAAUCGCCAGAUGGGAUUCCAAGUUGAUUAAAGGAGAUCGCCAGAAGGGAUCUCGUGUUUCAUUAUUUGGAGGUCGCCAGAUGGGACCUCGUUUUUCAUGAAUAAAAGGAAUCGCCAGAUGGGAUUCCAAGUUGAUUAAAGGAGAUCGCCAGAAGGGAUCUCGUGUUUCACUAUUUGGAGGUCGCCAGAUGGGACCUCGGUUUUCAUGAAUAAAAGGAAUCGCCAGAAGGGAUUCCAAGUUGAUUUAAGGAGAUCGCCAGAAGGGAUCUCGUGUUUCAUUAUUUGGAGGUCGCCAGAUGGGACCUCGUUUUUCAUUAAAUAAAAGGAAUCGCCAGAUGGGAUUCCAAGUUGACUAAAGGAGAUCGCCAGAAGGGAUCUCGUGUUUUGAUAUUUGGAGGUCGCCACAUGGGACCUCAUAUUUCGUUUGAAUAAAAGGAAUCGCCAGAUGGGAUUCCAGGACGAUUAAAGGAGAUCGCCAGAAGGGAUCUCGUAUUUCGCUAUUUGGAUGUCGUCAGAAGGGACCUCAUAUUUCAACAUUGGUUACAAGGAAUCGCCAGAUGGGAUUCUAAGAUUUUUUGUUGAAGGAGAUCGUUAGAAGGGAUCUCGUAUUUCAAUAUUGGUUAAAAGGGAAUUGCCAGACGGGAUUCCAAGUUGAGUAAGCAAUAAUUAUAGAUUUUGGUUUAGAGAGAUCGCCAGAAGGGAUCUCAAGAUGAUAAAUUUUGAUCAUAGUUUUUGAAGUUAAGGAGGAUUGCUGUAAAAGACAAGUUUCAGGUCAAUCAAGCUUCAACCAGAUCAGUUUUGGGAGUUCCGUUUAGGGUUUAUCUUUAUAAAACUUACUGCGCAAAACCUCUGCUCCGUAAGCAUUAUGCUGUAAAAGACAAGUUUCAGGUCAAUCAAGCUUCAACCAGAUCAGUUUUCGGAGUUCCGUUUAGGGUUUAUCUUUAUAAAACUUACUGCGCAAAACCUCUGCUCCGUAAGCAUUAUAAAGAGGGGGCAUCUGUUGUAACCCAUUUUUGGGUCCCCACAAAAUAUAUAUAUAAAUAUGUAUAUAGCCAAAGGAGGUUAAGAAAAAAUAACAGGAGGCAGAAGCGCUCAGAAAAUGGUUGGAAAAUCGAUCAAUAAGGUUAAAAAUACAAAGAUUGGAUUUUUGACAGUAUAUUCUUGAAGGAGGAGAGCCCUGUUGAGAAGGAAAAUUUGAAAUUUGAGGAGAAAAGCCCAAAUUUGGAUGUUUAUGGACUUAAUUUGAUUUUUAAAUGAAUUUAUAGAGGAUUUGAUUGCAAGAAAAAUUGAUUUUUAAGUCAAUUUGGGCUUUAAUUAGAAGAAAUUUAAGUUCUGGGGCCAAAAUAUAUUUUUUAGGAAUUUAUUAGGUCAAAUCAGGGGCCUAAUUGCAUAAAUAUUGAAGUUUAAGGGCCAAUUAGGGACUUAAUUGAGAAAAUCCGAAACCAGGGACCAAAUUGGAAGAGGCGCGUAAAUGGAGGGGCUGGAAUUAAUUGAUUCAGGGGCCUAAUUGAAGAAAUUAGAAGUUUUUUGAUCAAUUAAGGGCUCAAUUGCAUAAAUCAGACACCAAGGACUAAAGUGAAAAACGCGGCCAACAAGAGGGACGAAGACCGAAAUUGGCAGGGAUGCAAUUGAAGAAAGAGAAGAUGAUUGAGGGCUGAUUUGAAAUUUGGCGCGUUUUGGCGCCACAUUUAAAUGAAACGGCGCGUUUUCUCCAAAACGACGCCGUUUCAUACAUUCAAAAAAAAAAAAAAAAAGAGCAGAACGGUGUCGUUUUGAAACGACACUGUUCAUCUUCUUCCCCCGAUCACGCAGCGGGGAAGAAGGAGAAAGGGAAGCUUUAAUUUGAAUUUUGCCGGCCACUCUCUCGCCUGGAGCCCACCGACCGGACACAAUGGCCGACCAUCCACCGCGCACCACCCACCGAACCUCGGCAGCCGCGCCCAAUGGCCGACCAGCCGGUUGCUCCCCCAUGAGAGCUGUAAAAAACAGCGUCCUUGGCCUCUAUAAAUAGAGGCCAAGAACGCUGAGAGUGGGAGGAGGAAAAACAGAAAAAGAAAGAAGAAAAUGAGAAGACCGAAACAUAGAAAAAAAAGAGGAAACGGAGGAGAGAGNNNNNNNNNNNNNNNNNNNNNNNNNNNNNNNNNNNNNNNNNNNNNNNNNNNNNNNNNNNNNNNNNNNNNNNNNNNNNNNNNNNNNNNNNNNNNNNNNNNNNNNNNNNNNNNNNNNNNNNNNNNNNNNNNNNNNNNNNNNNNNNNNNNNNNNNNNNNNNNNNNNNNNNNNNNNNNNNNNNNNNNNNNNNNNNNNNNNNNNNNNNNNNNNNNNNNNNNNNNNNNNNNNNNNNNNNNNNNNNNNNNNNNNNNNNNNNNNNNNNNNNNNNNNNNNNNNNNNNNNNNNNNNNNNNNNNNNNNNNNNNNNNNNNNNNNNNNNNNNNNNNNNNNNNNNNNNNNNNNNNNNNNNNNNNNNNNNNNNNNNNNNNNNNNNNNNNNNNNNNNNNNNNNNNNNNNNNNNNNNNNNNNNNNNNNNNNNNNNNNNNNNNNNNNNNNNNNNNNNNNNNNNNNNNNNNNNNNNNNNNNNNNNNNNNNNNNNNNNNNNNNNNNNNNNNNNNNNNNNNNNNNNNNNNNNNNNNNNNNNNNNNNNNNNNNNNNNNNNNNNNNNNNNNNNNNNNNNNNNNNNNNNNNNNNNNNNNNNNNNNNNNNNNNNNNNNNNNNNNNNNNNNNNNNNNNNNNNNNNNNNNNNNNNNNNNNNNNNNNNNNNNAAUUUUAUUAUUAUAUUUUGAUUAAUAUGGGUUGGUAUUUUAUUUUGUAAAGAUACAAAACUCGGUAUUAAAAUACCCGGUUUUCAUCAAAACAUCAAAGAUUUUCAAAACAAAAAAUGUCUUUUGCUUUCAAAAAUUUUCUAAAAAAUAUCUUUGAACAUAUUGUUGAUUUUUCGGCAAUUAUUUUAUCAAAGUGGAUUAAUAUUUGGUUGUAUUUUUUACAAACCCAGUAUUAAAAUACCCGAUUUGCGUCAAAGCGUACAAAAAUACAUAUUUUUUUUUUUAAAAAAAAAUGUUUUGUUUUAAAAUACGGCCUAGUCUCUCCAAUAUAUAUAUAUAAAUAUUAUAACAUCAUAUUUUCACAACAAAAGAAAUUUCAAAACAAUAUAUGUAUUAGCAUGCAUUUUGGCUUUAAUAACCAGUUUAUUCAAGUCAUGAGAACUAGGCCAAUAUUUCAAAAAUUCUAAAAAAAAUCUUUUUGUCCUUGGGAUUACUAAUUUUUACAUAAAACGUUUUCCUGAUAUUAAAAAUGUUUUUUUUUACAUAGACAUUAGAACGGUUAGGUUUUACCCGAUAAGAUAAGGACCUCCUUAUUGAGGAGGACUUUUCUUGAACCAUAGACGGACCAACAACUAGGAAACACAACGAAACCUUAAAUUUUAUCAGACAAUAAAACGAUGCAGCUUACCUUAGGUAGGGCGUAUUUGGGGUGCUAAUACCUUCCCUUUACGCAACCAGUCCCCGUACCCGAUCUCUGAGACCAGUUAGGGUUCCUAGUGACCAAAAUACUAGGUGGCGACUCCCACACCAUUUUUCAUUGCUAAGAGACAACGAAUUCCUUGUCUCCCCACAUUGACCAGAUAUAUAUAUCCUCCAUCCCUUUUAUUUUAUUUUUUGUGGGUGGACGAUCGCCGCGACGUCGCUCACGUGCGACAAGUACCAAUUGUCAUGGAUGCAUUCGUUAAUGAGUCGCACAAAACUAAGCCAUCUGAGGAUGUUGAUCAAGACAAGAUGGCAGCACUAGAGGCCAGGAUUAGGGCCAUUGAGGGAAUAGACUUAUAUGACCCUGUGCGAGCUGUAGAAAUGUGUCUAGUCCCUAAUGUGGUGGUACCAAAGAAAUUUCGAGUUCCGGAAUUUAUCAAAUACACCGGCACUCAAUGCCCUGUUACCCAUCUCAAAUCUUAUUGCAACAAAAUGGCAGAAGUAGUUCACGAUGAAAAACUACUAAUGCAUUUCUUCCAAGACAGCUUGAGUGGAGCGACAUUGAGUUGGUAUAUGAGGUUAAAUAAUACCAGGAUCCAUACAUGGAAGGACCUCGUGGAUGCUUUCAUCAAGCAAUAUAAAUACAACAUGGAUAUUGCUCCUGACAGAACCAGUUUGUCUAACUUGGAGAAAGGAGAUAAAGAAAGCAUAAGAGAGUAUGCUCAAAGAUGGAGAGAUUUGGCAGCACAAGUCCACCCCCCUCUCUUGGAAAAGGAAAUGGUUGCUCUGUUUGCUAACACACUAAAAGCGUCAUACUAUGAACACGUGAUGGGUAGUUCGGCCCAACAAUUCACGGAUUCUAUGGUCGUGGCUGAACGAAUAGAAAAAGGAGUAAAGAGUGGAAGAAUCUCUGCACCUGUGGAGAAAAGAGGUUUUGGAGUGAAGAAGAGAGAGAUCGACCAUGUCGAAAGUAGUUACAGAAGCAAGAAAGGCCCUUUCCAAACAUAUAACCCUCAAUCCUCUUCACCCCAAGUUGCCAACACCAACUUCAACUUUCCAAGUCCAGCCAGAAAACUUGAACCCCAAAGCCACCAAGUAAAAAACCAAGCUGAAAGUUUCCCCAAAAGAAACUACCAAAGAACCUCAGAACAAUUGCCUCCAUUACCGUUACCCCUAAAUGAGAUGUACCAAAAGCUGCUAAGUAUUGGGCAAGUAGUCCCUGUGCCUUUGAUACCCCUCCAACCACCUUACCCCAGCUGGUAUAAGCUGGAUCUCACUUGCGAAUACCAUGCCGGUAUAGCUGGACACAACAUCCAUACUUGCAAUGCCUUCAGGAGAAAACUUCUGCAACUGAUCAAAGCAGGAUGGAUAGCAUUUGAAGAUGCCCCUAAUGUCAAUGCAAACCCUCUACCCAAUCAUGCUUCGGGUAGUGGGUCUGUAAACAUGUUAGAAGAGGGACACUCAAAAAUCUUAAAGGUGUCAAUGAAUAGGAUCUACCAAAUGAUGGUAGAUGCAAGGUAUGAAGAGGGUAGCGAGAAAUGUUGUGAACUUCAUAAUGAAAAAGGCCACGUGAUCAGCCAUUGCGAGGGCUUUCAUAAAAAAGUGAUGCAAAUGAUGAGUCGAGGGAUGCUGCGAAUUGAGAAAGCAACAAAUGAAGAGGUGUUCAUGAUGGAGGCACCAAAGAAAGAGGUGUGUCGAGUGCAUUUCACUACCGGAAAGCCAUCCAGAUUGGUCUUGUCCAAACCAGUAGUGGAACAUAAAGGGAACUAUAGUGCUUUACCUCACGACUAUGGGUACUCUUUCAAAAGCACUCCACAACCGCCUAUCUUUCAAGCAGAAAUUAGGGGUUUAACCCGUAGUGGCAGAUGUUUCACCCCAGAAGAGUUGGAAAAACAAAGAAAAGUUAAGGGAAAAGAAGGGGCUGAUGUAACUGAAGAAAUAAACAAACCUGCCACGGAAGAGGAAACCAACGAAUUCCUAAAGCUGGUGAAACACAAUGAAUAUAGUGUUGUUGAACAGCUCAAGAAAACACCAGCCAGAAUAUCGUUAUUUUCUCUGAUUCUAAGCUCUGAGCCACAUAGAAAGGCUUUACAAAAAGUACUGAAUGAAGCAUAUGUUCCUCAAGACAUCAAUCAAGAAACCAUGGAACAUUUAGUGGGAAGAAUCCAGGCCUCAAAUUAUAUAUACUUCACUGAAGAUGAAUUGAGUCCUGAUGGUACUGGGCACAACAAGCCGUUAUACAUUACGGUGCGUUGCAAGGAAAUUCUAAUCGGAAAGGUGCUCAUUGACAAUGGUUCUGCAUUGAACGUCCUACCAAUGCAUAUGUUGAAAGAAAUGCCUGUCGAUGAGUCACACAUGAAGCCUAGCACCUUGAUGGCGAGAGCAUAUGAUGGUUCACCAAGGCCGAUCAUUGGGACCCUAGAAAUAGAGCUAUAUGUGGGGCCACAAAUGUUCUUGAUAACAUUACAAGUAAUGGACAUUCAUCCAUCUUACAGCAUACUAUUAGGAAGGCCAUGGAUUCAUGCAGCUGGAGCAGUGGCUUCUUCAUUGCACCAAUGCUUGAAGUAUAUCAUGAACGGAAUGCUUAUAACUGUCAAAGCCGAAGAGACAGUUUCCAUGAUAAGAAAUGUGGCCAUACCUUUUAUUGAAGCAGAAGAUUGUAGAGAUGGGAAUAUUCAUGCUUUUGAAAUUGUGAAUGCAGAAUGGGUUCCUGAAGGCACAGUGCUGAGAAAGCCUAAAAUCCCAGAAACGGCGAAGAUGGCUGCCAAAUGCUUUUUAAAGCAUGGGGCUCCUUUUCAAUGUAAUCCUGAGACCAGAAUGCCUAGCCUGAUCAAGCCAAACUGUGCAAAUCAAAGAUUUAGGCUUGGAUAUAAGCCCAAGAAAGACGAUUACAAGCGGGUCACUCAGGUUAAAAGAGAAGCAAGAAUGGCGAGGAUUGAAGGAAGAGAGCCAGAAGAAGAGGGACUUGUCAUCCCACCACUCCGAGUGUCUUUCCCAAAGGCUGCAGAAGUGAUUAGAUCUGGCAUAGUGGAUCUUCACAUCAAUACCUUGGAGAGCCAAGAAGAAAAACGAAUAGAGGAAGCGGAUCUGGAGAUAAAGGAUGAGGUUUUGCCACAACUCUCCAUUCACACCAUUGAUCAACCUCCUGCCAGAUUUUUCGUGCGAAGAUUGGCUGAAGGAGAGGUGUACCAGAACUGGAAGAUGGAGCCUGCUCCUAUUGUGUUUAAAAAGUAAUUGUUCUUGUUUGAUAAUGCUCGGACUUGUUUGCCUUGUUUUGACUUGUGCUGAUCUUGCCGGUAUUUUUAGCUCAUGAUACCGCAAGAAUUUUCUAUGUUAACCAAGCACUUUUGUUUUAAUGAGAUCAUGCAUUUUCUUGUGUCCAAUCGCGUGCUUGCAUUUUUUUAUCUUUUCACAAAUCACUCUUACACGAGCACGCCUUACACUUUCAGGAAUUCUGAAAGUUCCAUCGAUCCACAAAAUCAUUGCACUAAGAAUAAUUGGCCAAACUUUGAUAAUAUGAUUGCAAUGGAUGAUGAAGAAUGGGAAGAGGAAGAUCUAAAAGAGUUUACUAGGCUGGUAGAAAAUUCAGAAAAAGCCUGGGAACCGGCCAGUGAGAAACUAGAAGUCAUUAACGUCGGAGAUGAACAAGAUAAUAAGGAAUUAAAGAUUGGCACUCUUGUCACAACUGAAGAAAGAAAUAGACUAGUCUCUCUAUUACACGAGUAUGUAGAUAUUUUUGCCUGGACUUAUGCCGACAUGCCUGGUCUAGAUACUGACAUAGUUGUACAUAAGAUUCCUUUAAUCGAAGGGAGCAAGCCAAUUAAGCAGAAAACCAGACGAAUGCGCCCGGACAUGUUACUCAAGGUAAAGUCCGAGAUACGAAAACAGUGGGAUGCAGGGUUUCUAGAUGUAGUCCAAUAUCCACAAUGGGUAGCUAAUGUGGUCGUAGUCCCAAAAAAGGAUGGGAAGAUUCGGGUGUGUGUGGACUAUAGAGAUUUGAACAAGGCGAGCCCAAAAGAUGAUUUUCCUUUGCCCCAUAUAGACAUUCUCGUUGAUAAUGCUGCAAGAAAUGCUACAUAUUCUUUUAUGGAUGGAUUCUCUGGUUAUAAUCAAAUUAGAAUGGCUGAAGAAGAUAAAGAGAAGACCACUUUUGUCACACCAUGGGGAACGUUUUGCUAUAAAGUAAUGCCAUUCGGAUUGAAGAAUGCUGGAGCCACAUAUCAAAGAGCAAUGGUUACCCUAUUCCAUGAUUUGAUGCACCAAGAAGUGGAAGUUUAUGUGGAUGACAUACUUGCAAAAUCAAAAAAAGAGGAAGAUCACGUGCAAGUGUUAAGAAGACUAUUUGAAAGGCUUCGAAAAUUCCAGCUAAAGUUGAACCCUGCAAAAUGCUCAUUCGGGGUGAAGACAGGAAAAUUAUUGGGCUUCAUUGUGAGUGGUCGAGGAAUAGAAGUUGAUCCUGAUAAAGCUAAAGCUAUCCAGGAGAUGCCUGCUCCUAGAACAGAAAAGGAAGUACGAAGUUUUCUCGGGCGCCUGAAUUACAUAGCUCGAUUUAUAUCCCAGUUGACGGUGACUUGUGAACCAAUCUUUCGUUUGCUCAGAAAGAAAAAUCCUGGAGUAUGGGAUGACGAUUGUCAAGAAGCCUUCGAUAAAAUAAAGAGGUACUUGCAAAAUCCACCAUUACUAGUACCGCCAACACCGGGGAGGCCUUUGAUCCUGUACUUGACAGUAACAGAAACAGCUAUGGGCUGUGUGUUGGGACAACAUGAUGAGUCAGGAAGGAAAGAGCAAGCUAUCUACUACUUGAGUAAAAAAUUCAAUGAUUGUGAGUCGAGAUAUACAACAAUUGAGAGGUUGUGUUGUGCUUGGGUUUGGAGUGCAAAAAGACUCCGGCAGUAUAUGCUAUACUACACAACCUGGUUGAUUUCAAAAUUAGAUCCGCUCAAGUAUAUUUGUGAAAAGCCUUACCUGUCAAGUAGAAUAGCAAGGUGGCAAGUGUUGUUGGCAGAAUAUGACAUUGUCUUUAUGACAAGAAAAGCUGUAAAAGGAAGCAUAAUUGCCGAUCAUCUUGCAGAUCAUGCCAUGGAGAACUACGAGCCGCUAAACUUUGACCUCCUAGAUGAAGAUGUGAUAGUAGUAGAGAGUGAAAGUGGGGAAAGCGAUCAGUGGACCCUCUACUUUGAUGGGGCAGUAAAUGUAUCGGGGAAUGGAGCCGGAGCUGUGGUGAUUUCCCCAGAAAAUAAGCAGUAUCCCGUUUCAACAAGGUUACUGUUUGAAUGUACCAAUAAUACUGCCGAGUAUGAAGCCUGCAUCAUUGGCUUGGAGGCUGCUCUAGAACUUGAAGCCAAGAAGCUUGAGGUCUUUGGAGAUUCCUUACUAAUCAUCUGCCAAGUCAAAGGUGAGUGGCAAACCAAGGAUGAGAAGUUGAAGUUGUAUCAAAGUUAUCUCUUGAAGUUAGCCGAUGAAUUUGAAGAAAUCAAAUUCACCCAUGUAAGCAGAGAUAAGAAUCAGUUUGCUGAUGCCUUAGCAACCUUAGCUUCGAUGACACAAGUUGAUGCUAAAAGCAGGAUACAACCAAUAAAUAUCGAGGCCAGAAGCUUUCAAGCCCAUUGUUACUUCAUUGAAGAAUCUCCAGAUGGGAAACCAUGGUACAAUGAUAUCAAAGAGUUUCUCCAUAUCGAGAAUAUCCUGAAGGGAUUUCCAAAAUAGAUGAAAAGACUUUGAGAAGAAUGACUGUGGGUUUUUACUUGGAUGGGGAAAUCUUAUAUAAAAGGUCAUUUGAUGGGACUCUGCUCAGAUGUUUGAAUGAAAAUGAGAUUGAACAAGCAUUAAAAGAAGUCCAUGAGGGGAUCUGUGCUACACAUGCUAAUGGGCAUACAAUGGCGAAACAAAUUCAAAGGGCUGGAUACUUAUGGUUGACCAUGGAGAGAGAUUGUGUAGACUACGUGAGAAAAUGCCAUAAGUGUCAAAUAUAUGGCGACAAGAUAAAUGCGCCUCCGGCACCUCUAUUCAAUAUGAUCUCGCCUUGGCCUUUUGAUAUGUGGGGUUUGGAUGUUAUAGGGCCAAUCAACCCCAAAGCAAGCAAUGGGCAUAGAUUCAUUUUGGUGGCCAUCGACUACUUCACCAAAUGGGUAGAAGCCAACUCUUAUGCCCAUGUAACACAGAAAGUAGUCAAGAGAUUUAUUGAAAAGGACUUGGUCUGUCAUUAUGGUCUGCCGGCAAGAUUGGUAACCGACAACGCCCAGAACUUUAAUGGGAAGCUGAUUGACGAAUUGUGCACCAAAUGGAAGAUUAAGCACCUCAACUCUUCCCCUUAUAGACCAAAGAUGAAUGGGGCAGUCGAAGCAGCUAACAAGAAUCUCAAGAAGAUUAUCCAGAAAAUGGUGAUCACCUACAAAGAUUGGCAUGAGAUGCUCCCAUAUGCACUUCAUGCGUACCGUACCACUGUUAGAACUUCGACAAAUGCCACCCCAUACUCUUUAGUAUAUGGAAUGGAGGCGGUUGUGCCCUUGGAAAUAGAAAUCCCAUCACUGCGGAUCCUGAAGGAUGCAGGACUGGACGAAUCAGAAUGGGCAAGGUCAAGAUUUGAGCAGCUAAACUUGAUCGAUGAGAGAAGACUAGCAACUAUUUGCCAUCACCAGUUAUACCAAAGCAGGAUAGCCAAAGCUUACAACAAGAAGGUCAAACCAAGGGUGUUCGAGGAAGGAGAUCUGGUGUUAAGGAAGAUCUCACUAGCGUCAGGAGAAGAUCAAAGUAAGUGGGCACCAAACUACGAAGGGUCAUAUGUGGUGAAAAAGGCCUUUUAUGGAGGGGCUUUAAUUCUGACCAAUAUGGAUGGAAGGGAUCUACCAAGGCCUGUAAACUCAGAUGUUGUAAAGAAGUACUAUGCCUGAUGUACUUACCUAUAUCAAUCAAUAAAAUUGAAGUUUGGCCAAGAUUUCUUUAGUGUGUUCCCCCUAAAAAAUUUAUGCAUGAUCUCAUGUUUCAAUAAAGAUUUUUGGGAAUUCAAAGUGUUAGUACAAAACUAGAGUCAAAUUGAUGUUUGUUCAAACAAAUAAGUUCUGAGAAUUCAAAUGACAUCCUGACACUCGAAAAAACCUGAAAGACAACCCAAGCACCAUGAAGUGACUCUAAAGCUGAGUUUUAUUUGCAUGAAUAAUGAGAAAUCACUCUGCAUACUUGCAUGAACGCAAGGCUUACCGAUCCUAAUUACAUGCAUUUGAGAUGAAGAAAGGCCAUCUUUGAUAACUCUUUCACAAAUUCUAAAAAAAUCCCUUGCAGUCCCCUUUUGAGCCUGGUAGUGUUUUUUGGAAAUAACCUUGACUAGGAUCACACCCUACACUGGGGGCAAGUGCCAAAAAAAAUCCUUAAUGAUUGAAAGUGCCCAAACAAUACUGGGGGGCAUAAAAAGUCUUCAACGAUGAAAGUGCCCAAACAAUACUGGGGGGCAUAAAAGAAAAUUCUCAAUCAUCGAAGGUGCCCAUACAAAGCUGGGGGGCAUAAAAAAAAAUCCAAAAAAAUUUGAGCAAAAAAAAAAAAAAGAAAGAAGCCAAGGCAAUGAUGCUCAAAAUCAAACGAAAAAAACAAAAACAAAGAGAAAGAGCCCAAGCCCAACAUUGGGGGGCACCGUGGACCAUUUUACAAAUCAAUUCCAAGGUCUAGAAAUGUAUGAACAAAAGAGUUUGGGAUAUAAGCACUAGUGAUCCUUAGUCUUAAAGUCCCUUAAACACCUUUUGAGCCUACAAAUAUCAUUUUCUUCAUAGUCAAUGGCCCAAGCCUACAUUACGUGCCUAAUCAAGCCCUUUCUGAUCAAAGGCAAGCAAUUUGGAUCGGUAGGCAGUGCUUUCUCAUGCGAAACAAAUCAUUUAUCAUGCAAAUAGAAAUGAAUGCUUUGAAAAACANNNNNNNNNNNNNNNNNNNNNNNNNNNNNNNNNNNNNNNNNNNNNNNNNNNNNNNNNNNNNNNNNNNNNNNNNNNNNNNNNNNNNNNNNNNNNNNNNNNNNNNNNNNNNNNNNNNNNNNNNNNNNNNNNNNNNNNNNNNNNNNNNNNNNNNNNNNNNNNNNNNNNNNNNNNNNNNNNNNNNNNNNNNNNNNNNNNNNNNNNNNNNNNNNNNNNNNNNNNNNNNNNNNNNNNNNNNNNNNNNNNNNNNNNNNNNNNNNNNNNNNNNNNUUGGCAUGAUCAAGCUAGAGAGCAAUUCACCAAAACACAUAGGGUUGGCUCCAUGAUUCCCCUUCUAAGAAAAUAGGAAAUGUUGGGUUAAGCUGGAAAUCUCUUCAGAUAAAGGUUUGAGGGAUAAGAUGUAUGUUGAUGUCAUAUCCUGCCCGGGGGUCAAGAUCACAAGAUGUGACUCGAGUAAGCAAGAGCGAAAAGAGACAUCAAAGCUUACUAUCAGACACUCCAACUCUUGAGAAAAGAAAGGCACCAUGAAGAAGAGGGGACCUAUAUUUCUCAGGUAAGUAUACAUGCAUAUCGAUCACGAUGCAUCCUCGACGUAUCGGUGUCUUACCAUCACCUCCUUUUUGAGCGGGCAUUGAGCCCCAUCAUUCAGAUAGUAUGCUUUCUAGCCCUAUCUUCUUCCUUUUUAGUGCGCCUUAGAGCCAUCAACCACCUUAGGUAGUGUGUUUUCCAACCCUGCCUCCCUCUUUAGUGCGCCUUAGAGCCAUCAACCACCUUAGGUAGUGUGUUUUCCAACCCUGCCUCUUUUUAAGUGCGCCUUAGGGCCAUUAACCACCUUAGGUAGUGUGUUUUCUAACCCUGCCUCCUCUUUUGAAUGUGCCUUCGAGCCCUCACCUCUUAGGUAGUGCGUUGUCCAACCCUGCCUCUUUUUAAGAGCUCCUUCGAGUCCUAACCUUUUAGGUAGUGUGUCUUUCUAACCCUACCUCCUUUCGAGUGCGCUUUCUAACCCUCAAGAGGAUUCAUCAUUCCUCAACAAGAUGAGCCUACCUCCUUUCGAGUGCGCUUUCUAACCCUCAAGAGGAUUCAUCAUUCCUCAACAAGAUGAGUCAAUCAUAUCUCAUCCUUGUUUUUCUUCUUUACAAUGCUUACUAUCUAAAGUCUCUUACGAGACUUUCUAUCAUAAGCAUUGUAAAGAGGGGGGCAAUUGUCAUAACCCAAUUCUGGGUUAUUCUCCAAAAUUCAUUUUUUUUAAAAUAAAAACAAAAAAACAAAAUAAAAAAUAAAAGCUGGCAAUGUGGAGAAAGCUGAUCAAGAAAAAUAGGCAAAAUAGGCAAAAAUCAAUCUGCAAUUUUCAGAGGAAAUUCAAGGCCUUUCGGCGACCCAUUGUGCCCAAAAUCGAAGAAAAAAAUGCAAAUUCAAGGUCAAAUUAAAUGAUUAUUGGAUAAAUUUGCAUAAAAAUUAAGUCCAAUAACAUAAUUAAAUUUUUAAUAGGCCAAUUUGAUUUAAUCAUGGGUCAAAUUAAAUUUUAGUUAUGUUUAAGAAUUAAUUUAGGUCCAAAUGAAGGAUUUAAUUAAGUGCAAGUACUUAAUUAUACUUUAAAUAGGUCAAAUUAAUUUUGUUUGGGGCUUAAUUGGUGAAAAAUUAAGUUUAGGAGCCUAAUUUGGGCUUAAUGGAGAAGAUUGGAAUUUUAAGAGACCAAAUUUAAUUUUUACCAAGUUAAUUGAUUGAAAUCAGGGGUCAAAUUGCAAGAAAAUUGAAGUUUUGGGGCCAAUUAGGGGUUAAAUUGACAAAAUCCAAAGCCAAGGGCUAAUCUGCAAAAGGCGCCAAACUAUAGGGGUCUAAUUGACAAAAGCCGGGGGUCAAAUUGAAGAAAUUGAAAGCUGGAGGACUCAAUUGAAAAUCAGCAAAAAUCCCUAGCUUUUGAUCCAAAACGGCGCCGUUUUUGGUGUUUAAGAAAAAACAAAGAGGGGGAAGGGACCAGGCGACGCGUCACCUGGUCACUGUUCAUCUUCUUCCCCACAAAACUGCCCGAGUAGCAGCUUUCCAGGCGCAUUUUCUACCUCGUUUGGCCUCCAAAUCCGACAACGCAUGCACCAAAAUGUCCACCUGAAACCCCUUUAUCCUUGAGAAUGGUCCGGUCGGGUAGAAAAACUUUGAAACGGCUUCGUUUAUUGGCCCAAAGUGGCCACCUCGUUCAGUCUGCAGCCUUGGAUUGCCAAAUUUGGCAAUUCGAGGUGCACACUUUGAACCAACGGAUUGGAUUCCUCGAGUCGAAUCAAGGGCUGAGACUUUUUCCCGUUGAAGACAAGAUUACCCUCUUUCCAGCCCUAUAAAUAGGAGCCAAUUUCAUGCUCAGGGGGAGGGGAAAAUUGAGCUCAAAAUUGGCAAAAAAUCAGCUUUUCUUGCCCGGUUUUCCUGCAACCAGCCUUCUCUUUCCUUUUUCUCUCCGCCGUGGCCUCCAGCCGCCACCACUGAUCUCGCCACCAUCCUUCCCACGAAACACCACAUCCCAUCCAUCACCCAACAACUUCACCACAGUCACAGUACCUCUCUUUCUCUCCCUCUCUUCUCUGCAAAAAUCUUAUCCUCUGCCACCGUGACUCCAACAGCGGCGGCGACAGCAGAAGUAGCAACCAUCUUGCCCAAAAGCUCUCUUCCACUCCUACCAGCAGCAGCCGGAGUAGCAGCUCCUUCCUCAGUCACACCAACAGCUCCAGCCGUGAGCUUUCCUUCUCCUCUGCAGGAAUCUGCUCCUUCUUCUUCCAGCCGGGACCAGUGCACGCCGCCGUCCUCGCCGCCUCUAGUCGCACCGCGCACCACCAGCUAGGCCGCCGACUCACUCCACGCCAGGUAAUUCUCUCCUCCCCGCUCCACCCUUUUCUUCUUCGUGUUCUUCGUAGCCGCUGCAUGCAAAAUUCAUUUCUGCAUGCAGUGGAUAAUUAAUUAGCCACCUGCUUGGGCCCGACCCCAAAAAAAAAAUUCAAAAAAAAAUUAAAAAUCAUUUCAAAAAAUUUGUGAUUUUCUUAAAUAUUUUUCUACCAAGUUUGCUUAAUAUUAGGUUGCAUACUUACAUUGUAAGAUAAAAGUCCGGUAUUAAAACAUCCGGUUUCCUCCGAAAUAUUUCAAAAAAAAAAAUUUUCAAAAAAAGAAAAAAAUAUUUUAUUGCAUACGGCCAAGUCCUAAAGAAUUUUCCAAGCAUGUUUUUAUGUUUAAGAAGAAAAAAAUGCAUCUUUCUCACGUUUUAAAAAUCCAAAAAAUGGAUAUCAUAACUAGUUUAUGAUCAUCCGUUAGGGUUUGGCCAAAAUAUCAAAAACCUUUUUCCAACUCUUUUUUUUUUUUUCAGGAUCCAGAUGUAGACUUUAAUAUUUGUGGGGUGUAAAAUUACACGAUAAAGUACACCCUCGGGUAUUAAACAUACAAGGUGUAAAUAAAUGCAAUCCUAAAAUUCAGACUUUAGAACGGUUAGGAUUUAACCCAAUAAGGUAGAGACUCCCUCACGAAGGGAGAUCUGCCUUGAACCUUAGAAAAGACCAACGAAUAGAAACUCGACCUAGAAAAACAAUCAAACAACAAUGCAGCUUACCUUAGGUAGGGUGCACUGGGGGUGAUGCGUCUUCCCCUUGCACAACCAGUCCCUUACUCAGACUCUCGCAGACCAUAGGUUCCUAGUGACCAUAAUACUAGGUGGCGACUCCAACGAACCAAGCAAAACACAAAUAAAAGAAAAAUCGCCAGCAGACGCCGUGCGGAUUUUCCGACGUGCGACAAUCAUCAAUCUCAGCAACUCAAUAAACCUGUCCAAGACUCCAGAUCUUACUGGAAUUCCAAAUCUCGAGAGUCUGAUUCUUGAAGGUUGUACAAGUUUGUCUGAGGUCCAUCCAUCACUUGGAAGUCACAAGAAUCUUCAAUAUGUGAAUCUUGUGAAUUGCAAAAGUAUUAGGAUUCUCCCAAGCAACCUCGAAAUAGAAUCACUCAAAGUUUUCACUCUUGAUGGCUGCUCAAAACUUGAGAAGUUUCCAGAUGUAGUAGGAAACAUGAACUGUUUGAUGGUGCUUCGUUUGGAUGAGACUGGUAUUACAAAACUAUCUUCAUCGAUUCAUCAUUUGAUUGGCUUAGGUCUAUUGAGCAUGAACAGCUGCAAGAACCUUGAAAGCAUUCCAAGUAGCAUAGGUUGUUUGAAAUCCCUUAAAAAACUCGAUCUGUCUGGCUGCUCUGAACUUAAAUAUUUAACAGAGAAUUUAGGGAAAGUUGAAAGUUUGGAGGAGUUUGAUGUAAGUGGAACUUUAAUAAGACAACUGCCAGCAUCCGUUUUUCUUUUAAAGAAUCUUAAAGUAUUAUCUUUGGAUGGAUUCAAAAGACUAGUUGUGCUGCCUUUUUUGUCUGGUCUGUGUUCUUUAGAAGUACUGGGUUUACGCGCUUGCAAUCUAAGAGAAGGGGCACUUCCUGAAGAUAUUGACUGCUUUUCUUCAUUGAGGUCUUUAAAUCUGAGCCAGAAUAACUUUGUUAGCCUGCCUUAAAGCAUAAAUCAGCUUUAUGAAUUGGAAAUGCUUGUCUUGGAGGAUUGCACAAUGCUUGAAUCAUUGCCUAAAGUUCAAACGGUAUAUUUGAUUGGUUGUAUAAGCCUAAAAACAAUUCCAGAUCCGAUAAAGCUAAGCAGUUCUAAAAUCUCAGAAUUCAUAUGUCUUAACUGCUGGGAAUUGUACUAUCAUAAUGGCCAAGAGAGCAUGGGGUUGACGAUGCUUGAAAGAUACCUCAAGGUCUUCUCUUAAUCAUACCCCAACCUUUUUCUAUCUCUCUCCCUCUCCCUCUAUCUAUCUAACACUUUUGUUUUUCAUGGUAAAGGGUUUGUCUAAUCCAAGACCUGGAUUUGGUAUCGCUGUUCCAGGAAAUGAAAUUCCAGGGUGGUUUAACCAUCAAAGUAAGGGAUCUUCAAUUAGUGUGCAAGUGCCUAGUUGGAGCAUGGGGUUUGUUGCGUGUGUUGCAUUCAGUGCAAAUGGUGAAAGUCCUCCUCUUUUUUGUCAUUUCAAAGCCAAUGGAAGAGAGAAUUAUCCUUCGCCGAUGUGUAUUAGUUGUAACUCUAUCCAGGUUCUGUCAGAUCAUAUUUGGCUAUUCUAUCUAUCUUUUGAUCAUCUUAAAGAGCUUAAAGAAUGGAAGCAUGACUCCUUUAGCAACAUUGAGUUGUCAUUUCAUUCUUCCGAGCAACGAGUAAAGGUGAAGAAUUGUGGUGUCUGUUUGUUAUCUUCUCUAUAUUUUACACCACGACCAUCUUCUGCCUUAUUGUUACAAGCAAAGAAGCAGCUUCUUCAUUUAAAGAUUCUUUAGCUUUUUCUUCGUCGUACCAUCAAUGGAAGGCCAACGUUUUCCCUGGCAUCAGAGUCGUAGAUCGGGCCCGGAGAUUCAUUGUCCCAGUCGGGAAGGAACCAGAGAAAGUAAUGGCAAUUAGAUCAAGACUCUUUGAAGCCAUUGAAGAAUCAGGGCUGUCAAUUGUUAUAUUUGCAGGAGAUUGUGCUUCUUUACCUUGGUGCUUUGAAGAACUUGUCAAGAUUGUCGGAUUCAUGGAUGAGAUGACAUCGGACAUUGUGUUUCCAGUUUCUUGUGAUGUCGAACAAUCAAAGAUAGAUGAUCAAAAAGAGAGUUACACAAUUGUCUUUGAUAAUAUUGGAAAAAAUCUUAGGGAAAACAAGGAGAAGGUACAAAGGUGGAUGGAUAUUCUUAGUGAAAUUGAGAUUUCAUCUGGAUCGAAAAGGUAAUAAUUACUUCUUCUUCUUUUUUUUGUGUAGCUCGACUUAUCAACCACUUCAAGUAAAUGAAACUGGAGAUGCUGAAAUAUCGACUUUCAGAACUUAAUGUUAACAAAUCUUUUUUCUUUUUUUUUUUUUUUUUUUUGCAUGGGAAAAACACCGUGCAAGGUUCAGUACACAAUGGGGUUACAAGUUUUUUUUUUUUUUUCAAGGUAGAUUAUGAAUUUAAGAAAAAUUAAUAUUAAACUUAGUUGGGUUUAUGCUCUAGAUUAAACCGACAUAUUUUACUAUGGACAAUAUUUUUUUUUUAGGUUUGUUAUAAAUUCAAAAGGAGAAAAAUAUUGGUCAGGUAUCCAGGUCACGAGUUUAUUUUAAAGGUUGAGUAUAAAUUUAAAAAAAAAAAUUUCAACCCAGUUGAGGUGUGCAUUUUUAAUUUUAGAAAUUUUUUUAGAAGAUGAAUAUAAAUUUAUGAAAAAACAAUAAUUGAACCUCGUUGAAUUCAAGGUUCGGGUCACAUUUAAUUUUUUUUAAGGUUUAAGGAAAAAAAUAUUGAACCUGGUUGAGUUUAUUAACUAAGUUACAGGUUUAACAAGUUAAGUCACAAUAACCGGAAAAUUAUUUUUUUUUCUAAUGUUGCUUUUUUUUCUAAUAUUUUUUUUUCUAUAUCCUUUUUUUAGAUAAUUUUCAAUUUAUGUUUUAAUUAAUAUCACUAAUAUGUGAUUCAUUUUGUUUAUUUAACCUUUUUUAAUAUAAAUUAUUUUUUGAUGGUGUUGUAUGUAUUUGUUUUUAAAUGUUUAAUAUAAAUUUAAGAGAAAACAAUAUAGAGGUUGAGUUCAUGAUCUGGGUCACAUGUUUAUUUUUAUUUUUGUUAAAGGUAACUUGAUUGAGUUCAUGCUCCGAGUUGUGGAUUUAACGAGUUAAGCCACAACAACAAAACAAUGUUUUUUUAUAUUACUUUUUUUUACUGAUAUUUUUUUAUAUAUCUUUUUUAAAAUAUUUUUUAAAUUUAUGUUUCAAUUAAUAUUCCUCAUAUGUGAUUAUUGUUUUAUUUAUUUUUGGAUAGUUAUUGUUUUUUAUGGUAUUGUUCGUAUUUAAUUUUUAAAAAACUUAUUAUGAUUCAUCAAUAAUGUUUUUUAUCUUUUUGUAUAAAAUAACUUUAUUUUAAAAAAUAAAAAAUAUUUAUUUUCAGAUAAUAUAAUAUGUACAACAACCUUAUAUAAUAUUUUUUAUAUUUUUAUUUUAUUUAAUCAAUUUAAUAUGUAUGUUUUUUCUAAAAUCAUUUAAUUGAAUAAAAAGAUUAAUUUCAAUAAAUAAAUUAAAAAAAAUAUAACUGGAUAAAUGUUCUGUUUAUUAACACAUUUGAAUUUUUUUAAUUUUAUUUUUAGUUAUUUUUAAUAUAUUAUUAUUAUUAUUAUUAUUGUUAUUAUUAAUUCCCAUAGUUAUCAAUUUAUUUGAUUAAAUGUAUGUAUGAGCUUUUUAAUUUACAGUUUAAAUUUUUUUAUGUAUAAAAUUGCAUCAGAAAAACAUGCAUGCACAACUUUUUUGUAAGAGAAAAAAAUAUCUAGUAUGUACAAGAGUAUCAUUUUACUUUUUUCACAAACAUCUUGCAACCAAAAAAAUAGUUAGUGGGUGUUGGCCCUAACAAAAUGCGGCCAUUGGAUUGGCUUAAUUUACUAAUCUCAACAAUGUUUGGCCUUUGCUUCUUCUUCUUUUUUUUUUUCUUUAUAUGUUUUUUAAAAAACAUUUAUAUUUAGAUUAACAUCCUUUUUUUUUAUGUUGUUUAGAGAUCCUCUUUGAAAUGAUGAUUGUUUUUUAGUUAUGUAUUUAAUUUUUGAGAAAUGUUUUUUUUAUGUUUUAAUCUUUUGUAUAGAUGAACUUUAUUCUUGAAAAUAAAAAAUUUUAUUUUCAAAUAAUAUUUAUAAUAUAUGCAGUCUUGCAUAUUAUUUUUUUUCAUUUUAUUUUAUUCAAUUAAUUUAAUGUGUAUAUCUAUUUUUAUUAUCGUUUGAUUGAAUAAAAAACUUGUUUUAAUUAAUAAAUUUAGUAAAUACAAUUGCAUAAAUAUCUCGUUUUUUAAAAUUAAAUAUCUUAAUCUAUAUUUGUUUCUCGAUUUUUUCAUUUUUAUUUUUAGUUAUAGUUUAUUGUUGUUGUUUUUUACUUGUUAACACACAUGAUUCUUAAUUUAUUUAAUUAUAUUUAUAUAUAUAUUUUUUAUUUUUACUUAGAAUUUUUUAAAUAUAAAAAUCUAUAAAUUUUUUAUUAAAAAGUUUUUUUUGACACCCAACAAAACAAAACAUGUAAGAUGUAACAUCGAUUCCAUGUACAGUUUGACUAUACCUGAGCAGGAGCAGCUGCUCGAGCAUCUGCAGUGGUGGCAGCAGCAGCUCGAGCAUAAGCUGAUGCUCAAUCAGCGGCAGUGGCAGCGGCAGCAGCUGCAGCUCGAGCAUAAGCUGAUGCUCGAUCAGCAGCAGCUCCAGCAAUGGCGGCAGCAGCAGCUCGAUGAGCUGCUGCUCGAUCACCAGCUGCGACGGCAGCAGCAGGUGCUCCAGCAGCUGCAGCAGCAGUAGGUGCUCCAGCAGCUGCAGCAGCAGCUCCCUGGGUUUGGAUUAGGAAUUUAACUUGCUUUAGCUUGAAGAACUUCGUCAGUUUUUGCUCAUGGUUUUGGUUUGGGGUAAUUAGAUUCACAUUUUACUAUGUAUGGAUUUUCUUCUUAAAUUUAGGAUAAUCUCAUGUUUGCGGAUGGAAGGAUUGUUUCCAUAUUAAAACUUUUACAUGGAAAGCCAUUAUUUUGGAAUCGCUAUUCUGCCUAUUUUUUAAACUCUGGUUUUGGGUGUAAGUGUUAGAUUUAAAUUAAAAACAAUAUAUAUUUCUAAAAGAUAAAACCACUAAUUUCUUAUCAAUAUAAUUUUUUUUCAUCAAUUUCAUUCAGAAUUCUUUGAAAUUAAUUUUUUAUUUAUCUAUAAUUAAUUUUAAGUAUUUUAAUAUUUCAUGUUAUAAUUAAUACUCAUGCAAAAAAAAUAUUUUUCAACAAAAUCUUAACAUAUUAAUUUAAUUUUUGAUUAAAAUUUAAAUACAAUAACUAUGUUUUAAAACUAAUUUCUCCUAACUGUCAAUAAAUCAAUUCAAUUCAAUAGCUUAAGCUAUUAGGUGAGGUCUCAAGAUAUGAUUUAUAUUAUUUCUAACACCCUCUCAAGUGAAAACAUUUUAAACUUGAAUUUAUAUAAGGUCACAUUACCUUGUGUUUAAUUUUUAUAAAAUAAAUAAGGAUGAUAUUGGGAUUUGAACCCGUGAUCGUUUGGUUAUCAAGGCUUUGAUAUAACGACAAAAAACAAGUUUAACUUAAUAACUUAAAUUAUUAAGUAAAAUUUCAAAAUAUAAUUUAUAUUAUUCACGUGUAUUUUACAUUCAAAAUACAUGAAAAUUAAUUUUACAUACGGCUGAGCUGUGCUUACGGAACAGGCACUCUGCACACAAAAUGAUAGUUCUUUAUUUUAAGAAGCCUCUUUAUUAUUAUGUAAUAUUAUUGUGUAAUAGUUAUUUUUUUCAAUAUUUUUUAUUUUAAAAUAUUUUAAAAUAAUAUUUUUUAUUUUUAAAAAAUAAUUUUUGAUAUCAGUAUAUUAAAAUAAUAUAUAUAAAAAACUUAAUUGAAAAUAAAAAAUAAACUUAAUUUAAAAAAAAUAUAUUUUUAAAAUCUAAAAACAAACAAAUAAUCUACCCGACAACCUAUUAGAUCAAAUCACGAGGAAAGGUGGCAUCUUUAACUUGUUACUUUUACGUAAAAAGUGUUUGUUUUUUUCUUCUCAAAAACAGAAAACCACCUUCGAUGUGCAAUGCAACAUUUCAUGCCCCAAGGUAGCUAGCUGCUGUCAAAACCCUGCGAUAUUGGAAAUUAAAGUUUGCUGAUAGUAAUUUUAGGUUAUAUCUUUGGUGAACAUCUUGGAUUCAAUUUGCCAAAUUCUCAGUUAUUCUUGAAUUAACAUAAAUCUUGCAACUCAAGAUAAAUUUUUUUUUUUUACAAAGACUUAUUUUUAUUAAUUUAUAUUUUGUAUUUUAUAUAUUUCCUUCUAUUUUUAGUUAAAUAUAUAUAUUUUUACUAAUUAAUAAACAAUUUUUAUUAUUAAUAGCUUUAUAUUUACAACUAUAUAAACACAUAAAUAUUAAUUUAUAUAAUCACUUACUCCAAAAUUGGACUUGCUUCGUUUGUAACUGGCGAAAUAUCAACCCAUGAAGAUUUUAUGGGAAAACCCUGUUAUUUCUAAGUGAUUGGUUAGCAAUUCACGAUGAAGAGAAAGACCACACCACUUUAUUGAAUGAAAGCUGGUUUAUAUAAUCAAACCAUUACAACAGAAAUCAGAAAAAUAAGCAACCCACGUUUGACUCUCCUACAAACGUGGUUAACAAACAAAGAAUAAAUCAAAUCUAAUCCUUUGAUCCUAUUAGCUAGGAUAUUAUUGACUGACUUAGUCCUAACAAUCCCUCCCUUAAACUGCAUUGCUGUCAGUAAGCAGUUUAUUCGUUUGGUACCUCACAAACACCCAGUAAGCUUCUUAGUUUCUCAAAUGCAUCCAUCUUCAAAGCUUUUGUCAUAAUAUCAGCAAUUUGAUCUUGUGUAUUGCAGUGCUUCAGCUCAAUUAUUCCUUCCUUGCACAGCUCACGUAGAAAAUGAAAUCUAAUAUCUAUAUGUUUGCUUCUGCCAUGCAUAAUCGGAUUCUUUGCUAAUUUAAUUGAAGACAUAUUAUCACAGUGUAUGAUAGUAUGUGUCCCUUGCUUGCAAUCUAUCCUUUCAAGUACUCUUCUCAUCCAUACUGCUUGACACGCACAAUGAGCUGCAGAUAUAAAUUCUGCCUCAGUUGUUGAUAAAGAGACUACCGGUUGUUUCUUGGAGCUCCAAGCAACUGCUCCUUCACUUAGCAUAAAAACAUAUCCCGAAGUACUCCUACGAUCAUCUUGAUCCCCGGCAUAGACACUAUCAGAGUAGGCCAUUAAUCUUUCAUCACUUGCAGCUUCUCUUUUAUAAUGGAUGCCCAAGUUCACAGAUCCCUUCACAUAUCUCAAAAUUAUCUUAAUAGCCUGCAUAUGUAGAGUUGUAGGUCUCUCCAUGUAUCUACUGAUCAGACCAAUCCCAAACAUGAGAUCUGGCCUGGUUACUGAUAAAUACAUGAGAUUUCCAACCAUUUGUUUGUAUUGAGUAACAUCCACUUGCUCGCCAUCUUCAUUUCUCAUCAGCUUCAUACCUGGUAUCAUUGGAUUGCGAACUGAAUUUGCCUUUUCUAGACCAAACCUCUCCAGUACUUCAAGUGCAUAUUUUCUUUGCUUAGAUAAAUUCCUUCAUCAUUCUGCACGACUUCUACUCCAAGGAAGAACUUCAUUUUACCUAAAUCAGUCAUAUCAAACUCUCGUUUCAUUGAAGCUUUGAAAUCAGCAAACAUCCCCUCAUCACUUCCAGUGAACACCAAAUCAUCUACGUAUAUGCAUACUAUCAGAAUUUUCUUGUCUUCUUGAAUUUUAACAAACAGAGUAUGCUCACUUGGACAUCGAGCAAAACCUUCCUUCACAAAAUAUGCUUCAAUCCUGCUAAACCAGGCCCUUGGUGCCUGCUUCAAACCAUAUAAUGCUUUCUUCAACUUGAGGACUUUGUGUUCUUCUCCUUUUUUUUCAUAGCCGAGAGGUUGCUCUACGUAUACAUCUUCGUCUAAUUUCCCAUGAAGAAAUGCACUCUGUACAUCAAGUUGAUACACCUUCCAUUUUCUUUGUGCUGCUAUUGCUAGAAUCAUCCGAAUUGUGUCCCAUCUUGCUACUGGUGCGAAUACCUCAGUGUAGUCGAUUCCAUGUUGCUGUGCAUAUCCCUUUGCUACAAGUCUGGCCUUGUAUUUGUCAACUUCACCUUUUUCAUUAAGCUUUGUCUUGUAUAUCCAUUUCACCCCAAUCUUCCUUGAAUUAUUCGGCAGCACAGUUAGUUCCCAUGUGUCAUUCCUUUCUAUCGCAGCAAUUUCAUUGUCCAUGGCUUCUCUCCAUUGGUGAUUUUUUUCAGCUUCUUCAUAGGUGUGUGGAUCUCCAGCAGUAGUGUAUAACACCAUAUUUUGUGUUUCCUCUUCUUUAGAUAAGCUUGCUCCCAUGACAUAAUCCUCCAUCCAGUGUGGUGCUCUUCGAUUUCUGACACCUGCAGCUUGAAUAUGCUCAUUUUGUUCUUCUGCUUCAAGUUCUUCAACAGCAUCUCCAGUACCUGCUUCAUCUCUAAUUUCAGCAUCUCCAGUACCUGCUUCAUCUCCAAUUUCCCUAAUCUGUUCUUGUGUCUGCUCCUCAUCUUUUUCUAUUCUUCUUCAUGUAUACUGUCAUCAUUAUCUCCCCAGCGUAGCAGUAUACUAGUGUUGUCUUCUGCCCAGUUCCAAGUUGCAUUUUCUUCAAAGAUGACAUCACGACUAAUUAUCAACUUCUUUGUGAGAGGAUUAAACAUUCUGUAACCUUUUGUUUCUUCACUGACUCCCAACAGUACACAUUUUAUGCUCCUUGAAUCCAGCUUUGUUCUUUUUUCAUGUGGUACAUGUACAUGACCAAUGCAACCAAACACUCGAAAAUACCCCACUGAGGGUUUGACUCCACUCCAUGCUUCUUCAUGUGUGACUUCUUUUACUGCUGCAGUAGGACUCCUAUUUAGUGUAUGUAUACACCAAUUUACAGCUUCUGGCCAGAAUUCUCUGGGAAUGUGUUUUUCAGACAAUAUGCUUCUAACUAGAUUCAUUAUUGUCCGAUUCUUCCUCUCAGCAACACCGUUUUGUUGAGGAGUAUAUGCAGCCGUUAAUUGUCUCUUGAUCCCAUUCAUACUGCAGUACUCAUUAAACUCUUUCGAAGUAAAUUCACCACCUCUAUCCGUGCGUAAACAUUCCACCAAGGAACCAGCCUCUUUUUCAACUAGAUUCUUGAAUUUUUUGAACAUAUUAAGAGCAUCUGAUUUUUCUGAAAUGAAAUACACCCAACACUUUCUACUAAAGUCAUCAAUGAAAGUGAUUAGAUACCUCUUGCCACUAUUGGAUUCCGGAUUCACAGGUCCACAGAUGUCUGAGUGGAUGAGUUGUAAUUUGUGUGCUGCUCUCCAGUGACUUUUCUUUGAAAUGUUGUCUCUGUGUUGUUUGCUGCUCAAGCAAUCUGCACAUACUUUGGUAGGAGCUUUAAGUAGUGGCAGCCCAUUAACCAUUUUGUUGUAAUACAGCAUCCUCAAACCUUUGUAGCUGAGAUGAGCAAAUCUGCUAUGCCAUAAUUGUGCUUCACUUUCUUCACUGGUUUGAAAGAAAGCCACUGAUUCUUUUGGAGGUAUUGUUGCAAGCAUUAUGAACAUUCUGUUGACUGUCAUGGCUAUCUCCAUGAUGAGGCCUCUACUUGGAUGAAAUAGCUUGCAUGUAUUAUUUUUAAUCAGUAUUGUUAAUCCUUUCUCCUGUAGUUGCCCUAUGCUGAGUAAAUUGUUUCUCAGCUCCGGAAUGUAAUAAACUUCAUCAAUCCUUUGUAUUGCACCAGCUACUUUCAACUUUACACAUCCCUUGCCCAUUACUGUCAUUCUCGAAUUGUUGCCAAGCUUGACUGAAUGUCUAAAUUUUUCAUCUAAUUCUGUAAACCAUAGUUUAUUCCCACUCAUAUGAUUGCUGCAACCGGAGUCCAAAAACCAUACCUCUUCUCUAGUUGAGUUAUGAAGUUCCACAUGUGACAUCAACAACAUUUCUUCUUCGCAAUCCAAUUCUGCAUAAUUUGCUGUUUUUUCAUAACCAGGACAUUCAUAAGAGAAAUGUCCUAGUUUAUGACAUCGAAAGCAUUCAAUAAUAGCUUUAUUGAAAGAUUGUCUUCCCCAGCUCCUGCCUCUGCCUCUGAAACUUCCUCUGAAUCCUCCACAGUUUCUACUCCUUCCUCCAAAUCGAACAUCUUCUCUUGCUUCAGACAUGACCUUAAGAACUUGCUCUUCCUCUUUGUGCCCCUUCAUCCUUUGCUCAUGUACGAGCAAACUACUUUGAAGUUCAUCAAUAGUCAUUUCAGCAAGGUUAUUUGAUUCUUCGAUUGAGCAUACGACAUAGUCAAAUUUUGUCGUCAUAGAUCUCAAAAUUUUCUCAAUAAUAACAAUCUGCUCCAUUCUUUCACCAUGUGUUUUCAUUUUGUUGACAAUGGUAAGAGUUCUCCCAAAGUACUCAUCAACACUCUCACCAUCCUUCAUUCCGAGUAGCUCAAAUUCUCUCCGCAACGCUUGUAGUUGUGCUCUUUUCACCUUAGUGGACCCUUGAUAUUUCUGACGCAUUGAAUCCCAUAUUCCCUUUGCAGAGUCUCUAUCCAGGAUUGUUUCCAUGAUAGUGCGAUCAAUGGAUUGAAAAAGAUAAUUUUUCACUUUUAAAUCUUUCAAUCUCAGCUCCUCCAUGUGUUUCUGUUGGACCUCCGUGUGUUCUGCUCCAGUUGUGCUUGCAGGAAUUCCACUCUCUAUUAAACUCCAGUAAUCUUUGGAACGUAGCAGAUUUUCCAUUAACAUAGCCCAAUGAUCAUAGUGACCAUCAAAUCUGGGAAUCGCUGGUUGAACAAAGUUUCCCUCUGCCAUGGCUUUGGCUUUGAUUUCACUCCUCUCUACAGAAUAUUUCACUCCUCUCUGUGUUUCAGAUGGUUACCACUCAACUCACUGAUUUCUCACACUCCUCUCUGUUUUUACUCUUCUCUUUCUCGAGAACGUUCACUCCUCUCUCUUGAUCAGACUCUUUUGUUGAAGCUCUGAUACCAAUUGUUAUUUCUAAGUGAUUGGUUAGCAAUUCACGAUGAAGAGAAAGACCACACCACUUUAUUGAAUGAAAGCUGGUUUAUAUAAUCAAACCAUUACAACAGAAAUAAGAAAAACAAGCAACCCACGUUUGACUCUCCUACAAACGUGGUUAACAAACAAAGAAUAAAUCAAAUCUAAUCCUUUGAUCCUAUUAGCUAGGAUAUUAUUGACUGACUUAGUCCUAACAAACCCAGUUUUGUUUUUUUGAGAAAUAGUGGUAGUACCAAUGGGAAUCGGUGUGGUGGAUUUUGUUCAAGAGGGUAUGUGAGUGUAGCUGAGGCAUUGUCAUCAACAGAUGUUGAAGAUAAUGUGUCUGGUGCCGAUGAAGUGCAAGAAUUGCAGCCAGAAAUGAGGAAAGAAGAGGAGCACUUUAGCCGGAGGAGGCUACGUGCUAACCCUGGAAUAGGAUCAAGGAAGCAUAGGGUCUUAAGGAGAAGGCAAGUGAAGAUUGAGGCGGAAGCAUGGGAACUGGCAACGAAAGAAUAUAAGGAGCUUUUGAAGGAUAUGUGUGAGCAUAAGUUGGCUCCUAAUUUGCCAUAUAUGAAGAGUUUGUUCCUUGGUUGGUUUGAGCCUUUUAGAGAUGCAAUUGCAAAAGAGCAGGAGUUGAUUAGAACGGGGAAGAGUAGGCAGGGUUAUGCUCUGUAUUUUGAUCUGUUGCCAGCUGACAAGAUGUCUGUUAUUGCAAUGCAUCAACUCGCAGCAAUGGUAAUGACAGGUGGGCAACAUGGAUGUGCAAGAGUUGUGACUGCUGCUUGUAUGAUUGGUGAUGCAAUUGAGCAGGAGGUAAGUAAUUUUUAAUGUUUUAUUUGCUUAUUUUUACUUGCAGUUUGAUUUGUAGACAGAGGAUAAUGAGUGCCCAUAUAAAAAUAUUGAAAGAUAAGGGAAAACAUAAAGUUUCUUAAAUUUACUUUUAGACAACCUUCAUCUGAGGUGAUGAACUAGGAAGAAAGAUGAAAGUUACUAUGUACAAUUAUGAGAUAAAAAUCAGCUAUGGAGCUAGUAGUGCCUGGAAAAUUAGAUUUUGAAGUUACGUUCCAUAAAGUUUUGUCGAAUGUUGAAUGGGGUUUUUCUGGAUUUCUUUUUUAUAUAUCUAUAGUUUUUACUUUCAGUCCAAGUUUUUCUGCUGUUCAUGGUUCCAGGGAGGACACUAAAUGUAGGUACGAAAAACAAUGUAGUGUAAGAUCGUUUAGAUACUACGUUUUUACAAUUUUUUCAUUAUGUGUUAAACUUUUCAUAUCACGGGCCUUAUUAGGCUGAAUAUUCUAUUACGCCUUUCUUUUUUGCGCUACAAUUUCUUCAAAGCAUGGGCAUGGUGGACUCAUAAGAGUGACAUUCAACUUUCCUUUGUCAGAGCUCAUCUCAUGUUUCGACAUUGUUUCACUAUGGAUUUAUACUUUUGCAUUUCCCUGUUGGGGACAGCAAUUAUCUUUAUCAUUUCAAUUAUGUGUGUUCUUGUUUGUGCCUUUCUUUUGUAAGUUGUUUAAGUUUUUCUCUUAGUUUAGACUUUAAAGGCACGCGUGACACUUUGCUCUACUGUCUCUUCUGAUUAUGGGAGUUGCUUCCUCUUUUCUUUUCCUUUUUUUUUAAAAAAAAAAACUAUACAAUGAAGAGAUAUUUAGAUGUACCAUUCUUAAUCCAUUUUUUGGACCUCCUACCUCUUCAGUCUUGUUCUCUUUCUUUGAACCGAGGACUGAAUCUGUAACAGUUUCUGUGAUGAAACAGAUUAGAAUACACAAUAUCUUGGAGAAAACAAGGAAGAGAAAGGAAAAGGCUAAUGAGAGCAAGAAUGGUGUAGAAGGUGAAUCCCCUGCUGUCAAGAAAAAAGGUUACUGAUUUGAUUAAAAAACAAAAGCUGCCAGCUGUGAGGAAGAUUGUGAAGGGGAAGGAUGAUUCAAAACCAUGGAAUGCAGAUGCUAGGGCUAAGGUUUGUGUGCUUGUAAUCAUUGAUAAAGGCUAAUUUUCUUGAACAAAUGUAUCGUGUACGAAUUUGAUUUCUGUCCUUGCACUUUGCAGGUUGGAAGCCGUCUAAUUGAAUUGCUGUUACAAACAGCUUAUAUACAGCCUCCCUGUGAUCAGUUAGCUGAUACUUCAUCUGAACCUCGACCUGCAUUUGUACAUACAUUCAGAACUGUGUCAUAUGAAAAUAAGUAUGGAGUUAUUCUUUAAUUGACUCGAUGAGCUUAAUUUAUCUUUUCUUCCUUGUAAGUGCUCCUAACUGAUGCACAAUGGCCUUUUCUUAAACAGGAAGGGUGCGAAAAAAUACGGUGUUAUUCAAUGUGACCCACUAGUCCUCAAAGGCCUAGAGAAAACUGUGAGUAACCCUGUCAUAUUUUGUUCUUCUAGUGAUAUCUAGUUUUCAUAUUUUAUCAUCCUUUAUGACAUGAACUUGUGUCGGGGUGCCAUAUACUUUCAAAGCAGAUAGGUUAGUUUCUAGAUUUUAGAGCUGAAACAGAUAAGAUUUGUAGCCAAUUUCCAUGGUGCCUCUUAAGUUGCAGAUGUUUGUCUUUCAUUCUUUUUUCUUGCACAAGAAGUCAUAAAAAUGUUGUUUCUCCAAACAGGCUAGGCACAUGGUGAUUCCUUAUAUGCCAAUGUUGGUGCCACCACUUAGAUGGAGAGGGUAUGUUAACUUGUUUUAUAUUUACAGUUUUUCCACGAUUGUCUUGUUUUAAUUUAAUAUUUUUUAGUUGGAUAUAUUCCAAGUUCAGAAAUAUUAACAUAGUGUUUUGGUUACUUCUGCUUGAUGCCUGGAGCUGUUUUCAAUUUUCAUGUCAAGUUAAAUGCUUAAAAUGGUAUAAUAGAUGAAGGGAUGAAUCUCUGAUUAUAAAGACUGGAAUUCCAAUCCCAAUUUCAGUGAAUUGAAAUUUACAUUUCGGCAUGUUUCAAGGCUCUGCCUCUCCAUUUCUGUAACCUCCAUUGGAAGGGAAACUAAUUGUCUUGCGGUGAAGUGCAUCUUGGCUUCAAAGCAGCUUUUCCCCCAAUCAGUCUUGGUGAUGUGCAUCUUUCCUACAUUCAUUCAGAAGCAGUUGCACGAUGACGUCUGUCAGGAGUCAUGGCUAUGUUUCAGAGGAUAAACCAAGAUGAUAAUAUGAAAAUGUCCUUCAUGUAAUCUUAACUCUCAAUUGAUGCCGGGGUCUACUGGAUCAUGGACAGUCUUUGAAUAACAUUAUCCCCAGUAUGAUCUGAAUGUGCUCCUUCAUUGAUUAUCUUUCUUUGAACACUCAUGUUCUCAGUUUACCGAUUCAUUAUUUAAUCAUCUUUAUUUGCUCCCGGUUGAUCUGAAUACUGUUUGUUUUUCCUUUUCAGAAUCCACUAUAUUGCCCCCAAUGCCCUUUGCAGUUAUGAUAAAGGACCUGGCAUUUAAGUAGCUUUUUGGUGUGUUCUAAGCUCAUCUUAGAUAAUUGUGUCAUAGCUUGUGAUAUUUACCUCUCUCUUACUCGUGUCGAGCAUAACCUCAAUGCCCUUUGCAGUUAUGAUAAAGGAGCUCACUUGUUCUUACCAUCCUAUGUCAUGAGGAUACAUGGUGCUAAACAGCAACGUGAAGCAGUUAAGAGGGCACCUAGGAAGCAGCUACAACCAGUUUUUGAGGUCUGUACAUAUUAGAUGCAUUGCAUGGUUACUGAUGCGUAUUUUAUUGUUUGAACUAAAUCAUCUUUUGGUACUAACAUGUGAUGUUCUUUGAACACAAUCUUAUACUGAUUAUUGUGUAUACCUUCACAUGCUAUCACAUGUGUAGAUUUUACCAGCUUAGCUUCUGGUUUAACAAGGAUUCUCUUUUGUUUGAAUUAAUUUUCCAGGCCCUGGAUACACUAGGGAAUACCAAAUAGAGGGUAAAUAAGAGGAUACUUGGUGAUAGAAUAUGGAGUAAUGGAGGCUGUCUUGCUGAUUUGGUAGACCACAGUGAUGUGAGUAUCUUUUCUAACUUUCCUCAAUGUAACUCUUUUACCUUUGUGUUCCAAGAAUUGAUCAUGAUGACUAUAGCAAUUAAAAAACCUUUCUCGUUUAAUUUCUUCAUUCAGGUUCCUUUACAUGAGAGGCCAGAAACAGAGUUUUUCAAUUUUCCUUCUUUUGAAAAUGAUUUGUAAAUAAGCUGAAUGUUUUUCUCUUCCCCUAUAUUUAGCUGCUUCUCCCACUACAUACCCUCCCCCUAUGUCAUGUUCUUUUUGUGGUUGGAUUGCUCCAAGUUCACUCAUUAUUUUUAAAUUCAAUAAAAAAAGACAGAAAAUAUAUCACAAUAUAAUUUAUGUUUUGAAUUCUAUAAUUUUCUUUUAUCUUUUUAGUUAAAUAUAUUUUUAUCUUUUUUAUAUUCAAAAUACUAAACAAACACAACAUGCAUGUAAAUAUGAAUACACAAUAUCCAUACCCUAACAAAAAUAUUAAUUUAGUAAUAGUUUUUUUUUAUAAGCCUAACAAAUUGUCGCUUUGGUAGGCAUGCUUUGAAAUAGAAUAUGAAUUUGGGAAGGUAUUUUUUUUUAAUUAAUUGAUAAACUUCUAUAUUUUUCUCUUAGAUGCGCCAACAAUUUUUAUUAUUUAUAUUUACAACUAUAUUAACACAUAAAUACAUAUACAUCAAUAUAUAUAAUCAAUAUCAAUAUUUACACCAAAAUUGAACUUGCUUAGUUUAUAAAUAGCAAUGCGCCAAGCCCAAACGUAUUGAGUCUGGUGUUAGCCAAAUCUAGACGCGGUGGUUCUAGCAUUAGCUAGACCCAAAAAAUGAUUAGGUCUAGCCACUGUCAGACCCAAAUCUUGAUAGGUCUAGCGCUAGUUAGACCUAGCCAUGAUUAAGCUUGGUAGUGUGUCAAGCCGACGCGUGUUGGACAUCCAUCAAGUCUUUUCAAGCAAUAGAAGUUCAGAAAAACAAAAGAGAUGAGAGUUAAAAAAAAAAAAACAUGUGAGAAAGCAUGCGAUAAAAACAAAAAAAUACUAUUAGAAUUCACAGUAAAAUAAAAAAAAUACUAGUCAGUUUUUCUAUUGAUGUAGAAUAGGAAAGAAGACGAGGGAGAGAAUAGAUGACGGAGGAAAAUUGUGUUGAAGAAUGUGGGGAGGAGAGCAGUAGGAGUUGAUAUUCAGAUUUUAAAUGUCGAUUGUCAAAAGCCUUUCUAAAACAUAAUAUAUAUGCGUUCUCUUCUUAUGAGGUUUGAUAAUUGGUAAGAGUGUCCUAUAAAAUAAUUCCUAAUAAAUGCUAAAAAGUCAUAAUAAAACUCUUAAUUAAUACUAAAAAUCUUGUUAGUGUAAAUGAAGGAAAAUAGAUUUGGGUAAUAUUAUUUAUAUAUUAAUAAAGUAAUAUAAGAAAAAAAGAUAAAAAGUUAUAUCCUGACAAUAACCGUUAUAAUUAUUCACCACUCUUCAGCCUUGUAAUUAUGUCUGUUAUACAGUAUUAAUAGACAAGUAAGAAAAAAGAAUAUUGAAAAGAAAAGAAUGUAGAACAAAAUAGACUCUCAAAGAAAAUUCUCGGCCAAUGAUCCCAUUAAAAUUGUUUCUGCAAAUAAGGUAUACUUAGAUAGUACAAGAAAAUGAUGAUUAUUUAUUAUUUAAUGUGAUUGUGCUUAACUAGUAAUACUGAUCAAAAGAGUAUAAUUUGAAUGAAAAAGAACUCAAGGGAUGCACAAAUGUGCAGGAUUGUUAUCCGCUUUACAACCUUACAUGUUUCAGUAUAAUAAGCGUUAGGGAUAUUCAAGGAAACUGAAAAAUUGAUUAAACCAAAAACAAAGCAAUCCAAAAAAUCAAAUUAAGAAGAAAAACUCAAUAAACUAAUUAGAAAAUAAAAAUACUUUCCAUCCAGUUUAGUUUCAAUUUUAAAAUUUUAAAACCAAUUGAAUCAGAUCAAGUCGUAGACUAGUCAUUAUUAUUAUAUUCCCAUUAUUAUUUCCUAUUUUAUAGAUUUUUCUACAUUGAAGCUUUUGAAAAGAAAUAUUAACAUUGAUCAUUCAUGCAUGCACUUUUGACCAAAUUUUUCUCUUGCUUUUUUAUGUUGUUCCACUGAGAUGACUUUUUUUUUUGUUUUUUUUUGUGAAUUGAAAUUAUAUUAGAUGUUUGUAAUUGUUUCAUCUCAUUUAUAUUUAUUUUUUUAUUUUUGAAAAGUAAACUUCCUUUAAUUAAAUUUUUCUUUUUUUUGCUAUUUUUUUUUGUAGGGUUUACUCUUUUUUCUUCUUUGAUUAUUCUUAUUGUAAUAUCAAAUUAUCCCUUUGUUUUUUGCAGGUCUUAUCAAGCUGUUUGGUUUUUUUAUUUUGAAUAAAUCGAACUGAACUGAUUUAAUUUAAAUUGAUUUUUAAUUCAUUCCGGAUCGGAUAAUAAACACCCCUAAUAACCAUCAAAUCAUUUUCUCACGAAAUGGAACCGGAGAAUAAACAAUUAAACACCCCUAAUAAUCAUCUUGGCUUCCAGCUAUCUCCAAAUUGCAAUCACAUCAGGCACAUGUCGUUGCAUUCGCAUUCACCCCCUGACUAUGAACAGGAACCCCAAUUAAGUGAAAUGGUCCACAGCGUUUUCGGUCAACCAAGUCGGCUACCACUUGCAGCACAAUUAAUCAAAAAACGAUGUGAAUUAUGAUUUGAUGUCGAACCAGGUGGACUAUCAGCUGCAGCCACAAUUAUUUGAUGCAUAGCAAAAUAAUUAUUCAGAAUCACAGUACCUUGGCAGUCCUUUCCAGCCAACUUGAUGUGUUGUGUGGUAAUCCGAUGAAAAUCAAGAUCCCAAAGAGGGUGAUGCCGCUGAUGUAGUAGUUGCAGUGCCGAGGACUUUUAUGUAUAUAUAAUUAUGUAUACUGUGUUUUUUAUUUUUAUUUUACUCGGUCUCAUAAUUAAAUUUUUGUUGCAUAAUUUUUAAUUAAUAAACAUGUAAUUAUAAAUGAAGGAAAGAAAAAAUUGGAUGGACUUGUUUGUUUCAAUUUUAUUUUUUUGGUUUUAUCUUUUUUAUUUGUUUUUUAAAGCCUUUUUUAAGUCUUAAUCAAUUCUUUAUUUUUUAUUAUUUUUUGAGGUAUAAAAGUAUUUUCCAAAGAAUAUUUUAAAGUUAUUGGGCAAAUAACAUUGUUAGCCACGGAGAGAUCAAUGGUAUAAUGAUUGGACUCAAAAACUUUCAAAGACAAAAUCAAUAGUAUACUAUACGAUCCCUCAAACUCAUUAACCCCUCACAACUACCUCAAAAUUGCAAUCACAUCAGGCACAUGGCGUUGCAUUCGCAUUCAUCCCCUGACUAUGAAAUGGAUUUCCUGGAAAUUGAUCUCCUUGGUCUGCAGGAACCCUAAUUAAAUGAAAUGGAUUUCCUGGAAAUUGAUCUCCUUGGUCCACAGCCUAUUUUCUCCGAGACCGUCCAACCUGUUGAAAACUUGCAGUUUGGUGGUGGGUGUUUAGUAACAAAUCAAAGUGGGGUCCAUUAAAAAAAUUAAGUUUGAAAGAUAAUUUUUUUUAACAGUUUUUACAUGUUUUUUAACCGAGUUUCGUAAAAAUUUCUAAAACCUGUUUGUUUUUUCAUUUCAAAAACGCUUUUGAAAAAAGUUUAUUUUUAUUUUUAUUUUUUUCUUUGCUUCAAAUUAAUAUUUUUUUGUGUUUUCAAAUCAUUUUGAUGCGCUGAUAUUAAAAAUAAUUUUUAAAAAUUAAAAAACAUUAUUUCAAUUAAUUUUCAAGUAAAAAACACUUUGAAAAACAACCGCAACCACACUCUCAAACAAAACUACCAAACAUUUUAUAGAUGUUUUUUACUAUACAUAAACUUCAACUAUAAUUUUUACUAAAAUAUAUCUAAAUCCAACUAAACAUAACUAACCAUAUUUUUUUAAAUCUUAUUUUUUUCAAAUCAUGAUUAUAAAAGCUGUCUAAAAAAUAAACACGCUCUCAAGUCAGUUGGACCAGUUGUAUGAUGAGACCAUGUUUCUGUGCGACAAUAUGGCUUUUUAUUUUUUUAUGUGAAUAAAAAGAACAAAACCCUCAAAUAUCAAAUCUUUAUAUGUUUGAAUAUCUAAAAAGAUGAAAAAGCAAAAAUUUUCAAACUUUUUUCCUCUAUUUUUUUAAAAAAGGGGAAAAAAAGCAAUAUAGGUCAUGGAUUUCUUUUUUUACAUGGAGAGUAGUUAGAUCUCAUUAAAGCAAAUAAUUCAUCAAUCAUAAUCAAUACUCAAAACAAAGCAUGCAAGUACACCAUGAAUACUGUUGAUGGUAAAAAAUUAAAAAUGAUGUGUAAAUUGAGAUGGAGAGCUAAAUAUAUAAAAAUACAAAAAAAAACGAAUGCUAAAGUCAAAUUAUGAACAUCUAAAAGGCAUCUUGUGUGCGACUAUUUUCAUGUCACUAUGCACGACAGAAAAAAGAGAGGAUGCUAUAUUCAUACAUCAAUCAAAGAAUGUGUGGAUCCAAGGAGAACAAUGAACAUCCAGAAGGAGUCUGAAAGUGAUGAAUUAAGAUUUUAUUUGUAUAUUUUUAUAAAAAUUCAAGAAAGAUUUAUAAGUUUAAAUUUCCAGAAAUAUAAGCAUGCACCAAUGAAAAUAUGUUAGGUCUGACGCUAGUCAAAUCUAGACACAUUAGGCUUGGUAGUGUACCAAGUCCCGGACAUGCUAAGUCUAGUAGUUUGAAAUGACUUUUUUUUUUGGACACGCUCAAGAUAAUGAUCAUCCUUUCUUGAGUCUAAUCUAUGAAAAUAGCUCAUUCUCUAUGAGCAUUAGCUAUAAAAGUCAUUCAAAGACCUAUUAUAUUUCAUUAAAUAUUAAUAUAGAUGUAAGAAAUAUUUAUCUAUCAUUAAAUGUUAGAUAGAUCUCUUCAUAAAAAAACAAGAUUUAUAGGUUAUAAAUACACAAUGAAACUUUUAGAAUAGAAGUUCAUAAUCUUUAUUUUUUACUGCAUAUAUAAUUUCAAAGCAUCUCUCUAAAAUAUUAUUAUAUUUUAAAAAAAAAAGAUAUUUAUUUAAGUAUGGAUUUCAUUAUAAAUCAAAGGUAUUAAUAUGAUUUUUAUUAUGGAAAGAAAAAAGCAAAAAACUAUUUGCUAUUAUUUUUAAUUUUAACAAUUCUAAUUAAUAGAAUAGCUAUUUGAAUAGCUAAAAUACAUUUCUUCUACUAAAAUACUAUUUUUACAUACAAAAGCCAACGUCUCUUUAUCUAUGGUUAGCUUUUGUUUUUCUCUUUAAAGACACAACAAGAAGAAGAAAAGAAGCUUGCAAACCUAAAAAUUUUAACAUUAUUAUAUAAAACUGAAAACUGAAAAUAUUAAUAUAAAUAAAUUUUGAUUUUGAAAGUGUAAAAUUUAAACCUUAAAUUAUAUCUUUGAAUUUUCAUAUUACUUCAUUAAUUUUAUAAAUUUCUCAUAUUAAUUAUAUAAAAAAUAACAUGAUUAUAUUAUAUAAAAAAUAAUUAAACUAGUUAUAUAAUUAUAUUAAAAUUAGUUUAAUAUAAAAUAUAUUAAAAUAUAAUUAGCUUUUUCUAAAUGGUUUUUUACCAUUGGAAUGCACAUAAAUAAAUAAAAUUAUAUUUAUAUUAUUUAAAAAACUAUUUUAUCAAUUUAAUUUCAACUUUUAAAAAUAGCAUGUUUUAUAGGAGUUGCUCGUGUGCAGAAUUAUACAAGGGAGAGAGGAAGGAAACAAUGGGAAAGAGACAAAAGAAGUCCAAACAUAAUAUAACCCCUGCUCUUGACAGGAAGGUGCCUCUGCUGCCCAGUGCGCGUUCGAUAUCCCUAUAAUUUCUGGUUUGGGAAAGUGGUUUUAGACCCGUUUGGAAAUUUGAUUUUUUUUAUAAUUAUUUUAUAUAUAUAUUUUUAAUUUGUUUUGAUGUAUGUAUAUUAAAAUUAUUUAAAAAAUAAUAAUAAAUAAAAUUAUUUUUAUAUAUUUCUAAAAAAAAUUACUUUUAAAAAAUAAUUACUACUAUAUUUUUAAGCAUCAUGGUAUAAGAUUUGAGAUGAGAUAUUAGUAAUGGUAGAAGAAUUGGUGUUUGAGAUUGGGAAAAAUCAAAGUUGGACUGUUUGUCAUAAAAAUAUUAAAGUUGGAGAUUCUAAACUCAAUUUAAUAUGAAUUUUUUUACUUUGUUUUUCGUUAAUUAGUUCCAGUUAAUAGGUUGGUGGCUAAGUUUAUUUUUUAAAAAAAUCAAUGGGAAUUUAUAAUAUUUAAUAUAAGAGUUUCAUAGUUAAUAGUUUGAAAAUUCAUUAAAAAAUACUUUUCAAUUGUGAUGUGUGGGGCCAAUCCCUGCUCUUGACAGGAGGUGCCUCUGCUGCCCAAUGCGCGUUCGAUAUCCCUUUCAUUUCUCUUUUCACUUUUUUCUCCACCGAAACUCCAUCUUCUUUACAGUGUAAGAAAAGGAUCCGUAAGGAAACUUACCAGUACGAGUGAGUUCUUGACCUAAAGGAACCGGAAACAAUUCGAAGUCAUUGGAAUAAAAAGAAAAGGAAAGGGCUUUCGAAGUUGGUUACUAAGAUACCAGAAGAAUAAACAUUAUUAUUAUUAUUAUUAUUAGAAUUAAUAAAGAAAUAAAAGACCAUGAUGUUUUACUAUAGAUAGAUCGAAGCCUAGAUCAUAUAUUUUUUUUCAAAACAUUGAUUUCAAUUUAAGACCGAUUAAAUUGGAUUGUACUAGAUUUUGAAGUUAGAAGUAGGUCUCCGGAAGAUAUUAGGACGAGUUUGAGGAUUUGUUUUUACUGGAAAUGAAGAAAAAAGGUGUUAGGAUGCACAUGGAUAAUAUUGGUGGCCCUUGAUUUCCUGACUAUCGAAGCAUCCUCGAGAAAACAUAUAUAGCACCACAUGUUCUUCCAAUAAAUAACGUGUUUUUUUUUUUUUUAGAUUAAUGUGAAUAAUUGGAUCAGCUUACGUGUACCUCGACUAAUCCUAUAGGCCAUGAAGUUAACGACCAUGUAAGCCUCCAGUGGCCAUCAUAUGAGCAACCACAAGGCUCGAACCUGAGACCACAGAAAAAGUAAAUCCCUUAGUCCCAAGUUCUUACCACUGGACCACCACCUAGAUAGUUCUAAAUAUUCUUUGUUACUUCUUGUUGUGGAUAUCGGAUUAAAAGUUAUUUUUCAAUAGAAAAAAAAAAGAUGUGAGCACUGUCAACUUUUUUUAAGUUGAAGAAAUUUUUUAUUUUGCAAAAAAAAUGCAUGUUUUUAAUCAAAGCAAUCAGAAUUAUAUACAAUAAAAAAAUGUUAAAAUGCAAAUCAAAGAAUAAAUCUAGAAACUAGGUGAUAAAUACGGUUCAAAAUAUAUGAUUUCAUGUAGCCAAAAAAAUAUUAACAAUUUAAGUUCUAUCAACAUAAAAUAAUUCCUUAGUCCUUUUUUUAUUAUUUAUUGUCAAUAAAAAAUAUGUUUGUGUUUGAUAUUAUGUUUUUAUCUUGCGUUUGAAUACAUUUUAAAAAUAUGUUUGUCUUGUAAAAAUAUCAAAUUAAUAUUUUUUAAGUAUUUUUUAAUGUGUUUAUAUAAAAAAAUUUUAAAAAAAUUUAUACCGCAAUAUUAAACGCACACUAAAUAUCUAAUAGACUCCAAAGGUUCGAAAUAACCAUAAAAAAACAUAUUCAUAAUUAAAUCCUCUUUAUACUAUUAUUGUGAUUUUUUAAAUUUUAUUUAUUUAUUUAUUUAUCAGAAUAUUUAUUUUUUGAAGAAAAAAAAUUACGAGAGUCAUAAAAAAAUUAAUUAAAAAAAUAAUUAAUGGUUUUAUAAUUAUGCCAUGAAUGUAUAUUUUUUAUGUAAUCAUGCAGUAAUAAAAAAGUUGUGCGGAAAGCCAAAAAUCAAAAUUUAUUAUAGAGCCAACGGAAAUAAAGGUCGCGAAGAGGGUGAUGCCGCUGAUGGUUGGUUCUCUUCCUCCUUGUGAGCUUUUGUGGACACGUUCGGCCUCGGACAUUAAAGUUGAGGCAGGUAAUUGAUGGUACUGCAAUUGUGAGGAACGUGCGGUAGAAGAAAUAUUGGAUUAUCUCUUGGAGUCUUCGUCUAUGGUAUGUUAACUAUGGGUAGAAAGUGUCGGGAGAUGAGUGGCUGGGAUUCAUUAAUGAAUAGCGGCGUUACGAAUUUUCAUUAUUGGACGGAAAACCAUUUUUAUGAGUUUGCAUUUCAGGGUGUAGGCUGACGAAAAGCAUGGUUGAAUAGUAGCUAUGGGGUGGCAGCCCGCAUGACAGUAACUAUUUGAAUAUCUAAAAUACAUUUUCUUCUACUAAAAUAUUAAUUUUACAUAUUUACAUAUAAAAGCCAAAAACAAGGAGAAAAUAUAUACAGAACAAGCCUUUAGCCAACUUCUCUUUUAUCUGUGGUUGGCUUUUGUUUCUCUCCUUAAAAACAGAACAAGAAGAAAAAAAAGCUUGCAAACCUCAAAACCUAAAAUUUUUAACAUUAUUAUACAAAAUUGAAAAUUAAAAAUAUUAAUAUAAAUAAUUUUGAUUUUAAAAGUUUAAAGUUUAAAAUUUAAACUUUAAAUUAUAUCUUUAAACUUUCAUAUUACUUCAUUAAUUUUAUAAAUUACUUAUAUUAAUUGUAUAAUUAAUAACAUGAUUAUAUUAUAUAAAAAAUAAUUAAACUAGUUAUAUAAUUAUAUUAAAAUAUAAUUAGCAAUUUUAAAUAGCUUUUUACUAUUGAAAUUGCACAUAAAAAAAGCUAUAUUUACAUCCAUUUUUUCAAUUUAAUUUUUAACUUUUAAAAAUAGCAUGUCUUAUUGAAGUUGCCCUUAUGCAGAAUUACAAGGGAGAGGAAGACAAAAGAAGUCCAAAAAUAUUUAAUUUUUAAACAUAGAUGCUUGACUUGAGAAUUCAUUACAAAACAUGAAUCAACUCAAUUGUGAUGUGUGUGGCCCAACCCCUGCUCUACUGCCCAAUGCGCGUUCGAUAUCCCUUUCAUUUCUUUCUCUACUUUUUCUCCACCGGAAGUCCAUCUUCUUUACAGUGUAAGAUCCGUAAGAAAAUCAUUGGAAACUUACCAAUACGAGUUCUUGACCUAAAGGAACCGGAAAAAAAUCGAAGUCAUUGGAAUAAAAAGAAAGUAGUGAGGGCUUUGGAAGUAUGUUACUAAGAUACCAGAAGAAGAAAAAAUAUUGAGCCUGGCUGGAUCUUGUGCCUCUUUAGCCAACACUGACCACACUGUUUGUUUCGUCUAGAUUCGUGUAAUACUUGUAGAAAUUUGGUGUUUUCUGAUUUAUAAGUAGAAUUGUACAUGUUCCAGCUUGAAAUUGCUAUUUGGUAGAUUUAAUUGCCAUAUUUCUUGAUCUUACCUUCUGUUUCGUGUUUGAUCACAAGAGCAGGCCUUACACAAAAUAGCGUGGAAAGCAAUUUCUGAACCAAGCUAGCUAGUUGAGCCUAGAAGGAUCGGUACUAAUUUAUCGCUAUAGGGAUUUUCAUGGCUUCCACCAGCGUGCAAGGAAUAACCUCAUCUUCAUCUUCUCCUCCUCCACUAUAUAUGCAUGAUGUGUUCCUUAGUUUUAGAGGCAAAGAAACCCGGAACAACUUUAGUAGUCAUCUAUAUUCUAAUUUGAAACAGAGAGGCAUCGAUGUAUACAUGGAUGAUAGGGAGCUCGAGAGAGGAAAGGCCAUCGAACCUGCUCUCUGGAAGGCCAUCGAAGAAUCAAGGAUUUCAGUCGUUAUAUUUUCAAGAGAUUACGCUUCUUCACCAUGGUGCCUGGAUGAACUUGUCAAGAUUGUUCAGUGCAUGAAAGAGAUGGGGCACACAGUUCUGCCAGUUUUUUAUGAUGUGGAUCCCUCAGAUGUAGCCGAGCGGAAACGGAAAUAUGAGAAAGCCUUCGUUGAGCAUGAACAAAAUUUCAAGGAAAAUAUGGAGAAGGUCCGGAACUGGAAAGAUUGUCUCUCUACAGUGGCCAAUCUAUCAGGCUGGGACGUGCGGCAUAGGUAAAUCAUCCAUCCACUUUUAUUCACAAAUCCACCCUUUAUUGUUUCAAUGAUGAACAUAGCUUCUUUCUUUUAAUGUUUUUCAAUUGAAACAUGUGAUUAAACAUCAAAAUAAUCACAAUUAAACAAGUAUAUCACUACUAAUUCUUGAAUAAAUAAUUGUUAGUAUAUAUUUUUGAUCCAUUAAAUAGCUAUUCCUAGCUUUUGUUCUUGUGUGCAUGCUUCUUUAGUAACCGUGUGAUUCUAUAGGCAAUAAGAUAGCUAUUGUAAGGAUCAUUCUUAGCAUCAAUACAAUCCUAGUUCCGUUUGCAGUUUAUUCUUUCCUUUUCCUCUCUGUUCUUGAAGCUAUAUAUUGUCAAGCCCUAUCUUUCUCAAAGAUUGAUUUAUUAAUUUCCGGCUAACAGCCAUACAUUUUCGAGCUAAUAUUUAUUUUCCCAUUAUCACUAUCUGAUUUGAUUUGCACACAGCAUGAUUAAUGUUUUCCACCACCAUAUGCAGGAAUGAGUCGGAAUCAAUUAGAAUAAUUGCUGAAUACAUAUCGUACAAACUAAGUGUCACUCUGCCAACAAUUAGCAAAAAAUUAGUUGGAAUAGAUUCUCGUCUAGAGGUAUUAAAUGGCUAUAUAGGUGAAGAAGUAGGCAAAGAAAUCUUUAUAGGGAUCUGUGGAAUGGGUGGCAUAGGUAAGACGACUGUUGCAAGGGUACUAUAUGAUAGGAUUCGUUGGCAAUUUGAAGGCAGCUGCUUCUUAGAAAAUAUCAGAGAGAUUUUGCUAAGAAAGAUGGACCACGUCGUUUGCAGGAGCAACUUCUUUCUGAAAUCUUAAUGGACGUGCUUCUGUAUGGGAUUCUUAUAGAGGGAUUGAGAUGAUAAAGAGGAGGUUACGACUUAAAAAGAUUCUUCUUCUCCUUGAUGAUGUAGAUGACAAAGAACAACUAAAAUUCUUGGCUGAGGAGCCUGGAUGGUUUGGUCCAGGGAGCAGAAUUAUCAUAACAAGCAGAGAUAAACAAGUGUUGACUAGAAAUGGUGUUGAUAGAAUUUAUGAGGCUGAGAAAUUGAAUGAUGAUGAUGCUCUUACGUUGUUUAGCCAGAAAGCUUUCAAAAAUGACCAACCUGCUGAAGAUUUCGUGGAACUAUCCAAGCAAGUUGUGGGUUAUGCUAAUGGCCUUCCACUGGCUCUUGAAGUUAUAGGUUCGUUUAUGCAUGGAAGAAGUAUCCUUGAAUGGAGAAGUGCGAUUAAUAGAAUAUAUGAUAUUCUUGACCGUGAAAUUAUUGAUGUGCUUCGCAUUAGUUUUGAUGGCCUCCAUGAAUUAGAGAAGAAAAUAUUUUUAGACAUUGCCUGUUUCCUUAAGGGGUUUAAAAAAGAUCGAAUAAUAAGGAUACUUGACAGCUGUGGAUUCCAUGCACAUAUUGGAACACAAGUUCUUAUUGAGAAAUCUCUCAUAAGUGUCUCUCGGGAUCGAGUCUGGAUGCAUAAUUUAUUACAGAUAAUGGGUAAGGAAAUUGUUCGUUGUGAGGACCCUAAAGAGCCUGGAAAGCGCAGUAGAUUGUGGACAUACAAGGAUGUCUUCCUUGCACUGAUGGACAACACAGUGAGUAGCUGAUAAAGAACAUUAUCCAUAAGAUUUCAUAACUUUUAUUUUAAUUUACGCUCAAUCUCUACUUUGUAUUUGUUUUUAACUUGUAUUCCCUUUUGGUUGACAGGGAAAAGAAAAAAUAGAAGCCAUUUUCUUAGACAUGCCUGGAAUAAAAGAGGCACAAUGGAACAUGAAAGCCUUCUCUAAAAUGAGUAGACUAAGAUUGCUCAAAAUCGACAACGUGCAGCUUUCUGAAGGACCUGAAGAUCUUUCCAAUGAGUUACGAUUUAUUGAAUGGCAUUCUUACCCUUCAAAAUCAUUGCCAUCUGGUUUACAGGUGGAUGAGCUAGUUGAACUUCACAUGGCUAACAGUAGUCUUGAGCAAUUAUGGUGUGGGUGUAAGGUGAGAUCACCUAAUUUAAGGGCCUUUGUAUUUCUUUUUAUCGUUUUCCUAUAUAUGAUUGAUAGAAGUAUCCAUAUUUCUUCUCCCCUACCUGAUUGCAGAGUGCAGUUAAUUUGAAAAUCAUCAAUCUCAGCAACUCACUAUACCUGACCAAGACUCCAGAUCUUACUGGAAUUCCAAAUCUCGAGAGUCUGAUUCUUGAAGGUUGUACAAGUUUGUCUGAGGUCCAUCCAUCACUUGCACAUCACAAGAAGCUUCAAUAUGUGAAUCUUGUGAACUGCAAAAGUAUUAGGAUUCUCCCAAACAAUCUAGAAAUGGAAUCACUUAAUGUUUUCACGCUUGAUGGCUGCUCAAAACUUGAGAAGUUUCCAGAUAUAGUAGGAAACAUGAACGAAUUGAUGGUGCUUCGUUUGGAUGAGACUGGUAUUACAAAACUAUCUUCAUCGAUUCAUCAUUUGAUUGGCUUAGGUCUAUUGAGCAUGAACAGCUGCAAGAACCUUGAAAGCAUUCCAAGUAGCAUAGGUUGUUUGAAAUCCCUUAAAAAACUUGAUCUGUCUGGCUGCUCUGAACUUAAAUAUAUACCAGAGAAGUUGGGGGAAGUUGAAAGUUUGGAUGAGUUUGAUGCAAGUGGAACUUCAAUAAGACAACUGCCAGCAUCCAUUUUUAUUUUAAAGAAUCUUAAAGUAUUAUCUUUGGAUGGAUGUAAGAGAAUAGUUGUGCUGCCUUCUUUGUCUGGUCUGUGUUCUUUAGAAGUACUGGGUUUACGGGCUUGCAAUCUAAGAGAAGGGGCACUUCCUGAAGAUAUUGGCUGCUUAUCUUCAUUGAAGUCUUUAGAUCUGAGCCAGAAUAACUUUGUUAGCCUGCCUAAAAGCAUAAAUCAGCUUUUUGAACUGGAAAUGCUUGUCUUGGAGGAUUGCACGAUGCUUGAAUCAUUGCCUGAGGUUCCAUCUAAAGUUCAAACGGUAUAUUUGAAUGGUUGUAUAAGCCUAAAAACAAUUCCAGAUCCGAUAAAGCUAAGCAGUUCCAAAAGCUCAGAGUUCAUAUGUCUUAACUGCUGGAAAUUGUAAAAUCAUAAUGGCCAAGACAACAUGGGGUUGACCUUGCUUGAAAGAUACCUCAAGGUCUUCUCUUAAUCAAACCCCAACUUUUUUUUAUCUCCCUCUCCCUCAAUCUAUCUAACAUUUUGGUUUUUCAUGGUACAGGGUUUGUCUAAUCCAAGACCUGGAUUUAGUAUCGCUGUUCCAGGAAAUGAAAUUCUUGGCUGGUUUAACCAUCAAAGUGAGGGAUCUUCAAUUAGUGUGCAAGUGCCUAGUUGGAGCAUGGGGUUUGUUGCGUGUGUUGCAUUCAGUGCAAAUGGUGAAAGUCCUUCUCUUUUUUGUCAUUUAAAAGCCAAUGGAAGAGAGAAUUAUCCUUUGUUGAUGUCUAUUAGUUGUAACUCUAUCCAACUUCUGUCAGAUCAUCUUUGGCUAUUCUAUCUAUCUUUUGAUUACCUUAAAGAGCUUAAAGAAUGGAAGCAUGCAUCCUUUAGCAACAUUGAGUUGUCAUUUCAUUCUUAUGAGCCAGGAGUAAAGGUAAAGAAUUGUGGUGUCUGUUUGCUAUCUUCUGUAUAUAUUACAUCACAACCAUCUGUCCAUUUUAUUGUUACAAGCAAAAAAGCAGCUUCUUCAUAUAAAGCUUCUUUAGCUUCUUCUUCAUCUUACCAUCAAUGGAAAGCCAAUGUUUUCCCUGGCAUCAGAGUCGCAGACACUGGUGAUGCUUUCACCUAUUUAAAGUCAGAUCUAGCCCAGAGAUUUAUUAUCCCAUUCGAGAUGGAACCAGAGAAAGUAAUGGCAAUUAGAUCAAGACUCUUUGAGGCCAUUGAAGAAUCAGAGCUCUCAAUUAUUAUAUUUGCCAAGGAUUGUGCUUAUUUACCUUGGUGCUUUGAAGAACUUGUCAAGAUUGUCGGAUUCAUGGAUGAGAUGAGAUCGGACACUGUGUUUCCAGUUUCUUAUGAUGUCAAACAAUCAAAGAUAGAUGAUCAAACAGAGAGUUACAUAAUUGUCUUUGAUAAGAACGUCGAAAAUUUCAGGGAAAACGAGGAGAAGGUGCCAAGGUGGAUGAAUAUUCUCAGUGAAGUUGAGAUUUCAACUGGAUCGAGAAGGUAAUAAAUCUGUGCUCUUUAUAACAUCGGUUCCAUGUAUAGUUUGACUAUGCGGUGGGGAUGGGAAAAAUAAUGUUUAGUUCAACCAAAAAGCAUUAAUAGUCCUUUUUAUCUAAUCUAUUUUUUUGUGACAAUUUUACCUGAACCAAAGAUACCUGCUUUACCAAAUCUGAAUAUGGAUAUAAAUUAUUUUUAUUCAUUUGGGUUUGGAGGGAUUAAUAAUUUUAAAGUUUGAAAAAGUUCCCAUUAUGCCACAACACUUCUGACUUCUCCUUCUCACUCUUAGCGGCAUGGGAGCUCCAGCAACGCAGCAGCAGCAGCAGAUCCAGCGGAUCCAGCAGCAGAUCCAGCUCCAGCUCCAGCUCCAUCUCCACCAGCAGCAGCGGAUCCAGCUGCUCAAGUGGAAGUGGCAGCCCCAGCUGCUCGAGCCCCCGCUGCCCCAGCUGCUCGAGCCCCCGCUGCCCCAGCUGCUCCAGCGGCUGUGGCGGCAGCUCCAGCAGCAGCUCCAGCAGCGGAUCCAUUGGAUCCAUUGGAUCCAGGACUGCGACAACUUGCGUGAGCAGCAGGUGCGUGAGCAGCAGCUUGAGCAGCUGUCUGAGCAGCAGCUGCUUGAGCAGCAGCUUGAGCAGCUGUCUGAGCAGCAGCUUGAGCAGCUGCAUGGGUUUUCGGGAAGAAUCUAACUUGGUUUAGCUUGAAGAUCUUCGUCAGUUUUCCAUGGAUCUAAUUUCUUAUUAGCUCUUGAUUUCUUUCCUUGUUAAUUACCAUCAAAGUACAGUGAGCAGUGAUUGCAAGACAUCCUGUGAUCUUCCUUCUUGUUUGCAUGUUCAUCAAAGUAGCCAACACGAGGGAAAAAACAUGGCAAGGAUUUUCAUCAUGCUAGGACGGGUCCUUGUUUUUGCUCAUGGUUUUGGUUUGGGGUAAUAAGACUCACAUUUUGCAAUCUAGGCUAUCGGUAUAUUUUUAUUUUGGCGUCUCGGUGUUUCUGUGACCGUAGAUUCCAAGAGGUUUUUCCAGCUACUAAUUCUAUAAAUCUAAUGAAAACAGAAAUGAGAAACUCGUCAGUUUUUCUAUUGAUGUAGAACGAGGAAGAAGACGAGGGAGAGAAUAGAUGAAGAAUAGAAAGGUGACGUAUAAAGGAAUGUGGGGGGUGGGGGGGGGGGGGGGCGUGCAGAUUUUAAAUGGAUAUGGGUAAUAUUAUUUAUAUUAAUAAAGUAAUAUAAAAAAAAAAAGAGGAUAAAGAGUUACAUCCUACUAAUAAAAAUCAAAUAUCAUUAACUCUUCAUUCUUAUAAAUAAAUAUGUCUGUUAUACAAUAAUAAACAGUAAGAAAAAAUAUUGAAAAGAAAAAAAUAUAGAACAAAAUAGAGGAGAAUGGAUUCUCAAAAAAAAAAAAUCUAAUUUAAUUUUCAGAAGAAUUGUUAAAUAAAGUAGGCUUACUGAGUAAUGUGAUGUGAUAGUAAUUAUUUUUUAAUUUAAAAAUAUUUUUAAAAUGUAAAACAAUAGUAUUAAUUAAUUGUCAAAUUAUGUGCAAACAUUAUAUAUAUUGUCAAAUAUAUAUAUAUAUAUAUAUAUAUAUAUAUUAUUGCUUAUGUGUAUUUAUUGUUGUGCAAUUCUUUUCUCCUCUGUCUGUCUUGUUGAAACAAACUAGAAAGAAAAAUAAUGUGCCAGUUAGAAAUUGAGGGUUGAACACCAACUUGGUGAGAUUGUCUGAAACUUAAAAAGUAAAAAUGUAAUGGCUGGGAGUCGAACUUGGGUAGGCCAAAUACGCAAGAUUUAAGUCUCAUUCACCGCUGGGCCGUUGCUUGAGUUUUGUCACGCAUACAAUAUAAAUAAUAAUCAAACCUAAGACCUUAAGAAGGAACUACUGCAUUUAGUUGUGUUGUGGAUGUAUACAUUAAUAAUAUAUAUAUUUAGAAACAAAGGGUAUAAUUCUGCGUUGGUGAUUUAUAUUAAUGAUGUGGACUAAUUUUUGUGCAUUUUAUUUCCAUGUGCAAUUCUAAAUUAAUGAUAUGUGCAUUGAUUAGUUAUGAUAAAUUAAUUUAUAUAUGUUAUGACUACAAAUUUAUUAUUCACAUAUGUUUAUAUAUAUAUAUAUGUAUACAUGUUUUCCAAACACAGUGUAAUUCCAUGUUUAACCUAGUAGAAUUGUGAAUUUAUUGAAUUCUUAAAAUAUAUGUUAUUUUAAAUAUAUGAUCCUUACGUAAUUAAUUAUGAUAUUAAUAAUAUGAUUAUGAAAAUAGUGAGCUUUCGAUUUUUGAUUUUAAAUAUGAUGUGAAAUCAUUGUUGGCAUAAUUAAUUGAUAUUAAGGAUAUGUAUAUAUGUUUUAGUCAUCUAUUAAAUGUGAACCUCUGACUAAUAAAAUAAUUUUUUAUGUGAAAAAAAAUAAGAAAUGACUAUUGCUACCAGGAAUAUUGUGGCCGAGCUCAAUAUGAUCUUCUUAAGCCAACAAGCCUAAAAUUAAUUAAUAUAUACAUGGUUGUUUCUAGUUCACAAGGUACAAGAAGAAAGAAGCGUAUGCAUCAAAGUGAAUCUCAAUAUAAGCAAGGUAAAGAGAAAUCCAUGGAAAAGGAAAACAUUCUUCUAAGAAGAAAAGGAACAAUCACCAAGAGGUUCCUCUGGUCCACAAAGGGAUUUGAGCUUUCGACAUCUGCUGAUCUCAAGUUGCAUAACCCCACUCUUCAAUUUCCUGACAUAUAAAAUUGAUGAUGGAUCGACUGUGAGACUUGCGAGUCACAAGAGGUUNNNNNNNNNNNNNNNNNNNNNNNNNNNNNNNNNNNNNNNNNNNNNNNNNNNNNNNNNNNNNNNNNNNNNNNNNNNNNNNNNNNNNNNNNNNNNNNNNNNNNNNNNNNNNNNNNNNNNNNNNNNNNNNNNNNNNNNNNNNNNNNNNNNNNNNNNNNNNNNNNNNNNNNNNNNNNNNNNNNNNNNNNNNNNNNNNNNNNNNNNNNNNNNNNNNNNNNNNNNNNNNNNNNNNNNNNNNNNNNNNNNNNNNNNNNNNNNNNNNNNNNNNNNNNNNNNNNNNNNNNNNNNNNNNNNNNNNNNNNNNNNNNNNNNNNNNNNNNNNNNNNNNNNNNNNNNNNNNNNNNNNNNNNNNNNNNNNNNNNNNNNNNNNNNNNNNNNNNNNNNNNNNNNNNNNNNNNNNNNNNNNNNNNNNNNNNNNNNNNNNNNNNNNNNNNNNNNNNNNNNNNNNNNNNNNNNNNNNNNNNNNNNNNNNNNNNNNNNNNNNNNNNNNNNNNNNNNNNNNNNNNNNNNNNNNNNNNNNNNNNNNNNNNNNNNNNNNNNNNNNNNNNNNNNNNNNNNNNNNNNNNNNNNNNNNNNNNNNNNNNNNNNNNNNNNNNNNNNNNNNNNNNNNNNNNNNNNNNNNNNNNNNNNNNNNNNNNNNNNNNNNNNNNNNNNNNNNNNNNNNNNNNNNNNNNNNNNNNNNNNNNNNNNNNNNNNNNNNNNNNNNNNNNNNNNNNNNNNNNNNNNNNNNNNNNNNNNNNNNNNNNNNNNGCACUAAGCCAGCCCUCAUCUAUAUAUUAGAAAAGUGUGCUUAAUAGUCAUAUCUCUUUUCUUUCAAGUGUGUUUUGUAGCCCUUAUAUACUAGAUAAUGCACUUUAUAGUAAUAUUCAUUUUUCUUUUGAGUGCACUUUUUAGCCCUUGUAUACUAGAUAAUGUGCUUUUGAGCUCUAUCCAUUUUCCUUUUAAGUGCGCUUUCUAUCCCUCAUCCAUCAAAUAGUGCACCUUUUAACCUUAUUUUUUUUCCUUUUGAGUGCGCUUUCUAGCAUUCAUCCAUCAGAUAAUAUAUUUUCAAGUCCUAUCCUUUUCUUUUUAGUACGCUUUUUAGUCAUAUCAUUUUCUUCCCAAGUGUGCUUUAGAACUCUCAAUUCUAACACUCUUGGAAAGAUUAACUAUUUUUUUAACUGUAAAUCUAUGAUGUUGUGUCUUUUCUUAUUUACAACUUACUAUUUAAAGUCUCUUAUAAUUUUUUUUGUCAUAGGCAUUGUAAAGAUGAAGCAACUGUUAUAACCUAAUUUUGGGUUCCCCCAAAUUACAAGUUUUUUAAAUGAAAAGCAAUAAAAAAAUUGAAAAUGAAAAAGACUGAUAAAUUAAAAAAAAAAACAGGUUGAGAAGGGUUUCAAAUGCAUGGAAGAACCAAGCUGGAGUUGUAGACAAAAUUGAAAUCCUAAUUGUACCUAUUUGUACCCAAGAUCAAAAGACAAUGUAGAUUAAAGGGCAAAUUCAAUUAUUAUUGGAUUAAUUUGUAUUUUAAUAGGUCAACUUGAGUUAAUCAUGACCCUACUUAAAGGUUUUAUUAAGUUUAAAAAAUAAUUUGGGUCAAAUUAAGAGAAAUAAUUAAGUGUAACGACUUAAUUAGACUUUUAAUAGGUUAAAGUUAUUUUUAUUAGAAAUUUAAUUGGUGAAAAAUUAAGUUUGAAAGCUUAAUUUGGGCUUAAUUGAGAAUAUUAAAAUUUUAGAUGAUCAAAUUUAUUGUUUUUAAGCUUAAUUGUUUGAAUUCAGGGAUAUAAUUGUAAGAAAAUCAAAGUUUAGUGGUCAAUCAAGGAUCAAAUUAAAGAAAUUCAAGAUUAAAAACCUUUAUGCAAAGGAGCAAAAAUUUAGGGCUCAAAUUCGGUUGAAAACAAGGAUGAAAUUUAAAAAAUUAAAAGUUUGAAAUUCAAUUAAAAAUAAAAUCAAAGAACCUUUAUGUAAAAGCAACGUGUUUUUCGAAGCCAUCUCUCCCCUCCACAUCCCUCACACCAUGACACUAAACAUACCUCUCUUGUGACCUGCUAUUGUACCCCCAUCAAGAGCAGAAAAACAAGUCCUUUGGCAGUACUAAGAACACUGCCAAUCCGGCUUUUGUGGCUUUGUUUGGACAUGAGAAGGGUGGUCCAACACGUCCCUCACCCUCUAUAAAUGCCAACCUCAUGGCAACCAUAUGGCAGGGGGGGUAAAAAAGAAAAGAAAAAAGAAGACCAAACACUACACUAACACUAAACCCUCUCUACACCGACGACCUCACAAAAAUCAAACAACCUCAUCUCUUCCUGUCCCAAAGAACAACAACUAGAGACCAUUGAAAGAGCUAUCACAUCAACAAUUGUUUUUCUCUCCUAGCAUUCAUUCCUCCAUCGAUACUCUCUUGUGCACCAGCAACAGCCUUGACAGACCAAAAUUCAUUUUGUUAUGUUUCAAUUCGUGAGUUUGAGAGAGAAAAAAGAAAGUCACUUACGUACUAUUGGGUGAGGUCUUAGUUUUUUCACCGGUUAAAAGUUGUUUUGAUAUUUGAUAUGGAUUUAUUAAGAAGUGUGGGGUGUUUAUUAGGUGUUUUCAAGUUAAAAAUAAAAAAAAAAGUUAUUUAGGUUCAAGAAAAUGAAACCUAACUUUGAAGACCAAACACCUAUCCUUGACCCUUCAGGAAACACCAUCCAAGAUGUUGUGUCUACCCUUAUCCUUACCAUCUCCUUGUAUUUUGUUGGAGAUUCUUCCCAUUUGAAAGAUAAAAAUAUUGAACUUCUCUCCAACCUUCGGUGCAAGAAACUCAGUGACUUUCAGUGGUACAAAAAUACCUUCCUUACUCGUGUUAUGCUUCGAGAAGAUUCAAACCAACCAUUCUGGAAAGAAAAAUUCCUUGCAGGCUUACCAAUUCUCUUAGGAGAAAAGGUCCGCAACAAGAUCAAAGAUACCUUUACAACCAAAACCAUACCAUAUGACCAGCUUACAUACGACGAACUUGUAAGCUUCACACAAAAAGAAGGUCUUAAGAUCUGCCAGGAUCUCAAACUUCAAAAACACCUAAAGUGGGAAAUAAGAUGUACCAGGUAAGAACUUGGUAGUUUCUGUCACCAGUUUGACCUUUCCACCAAAAAACCCUCCUACAGUGGAACCUGUUCACAACCCAAAAAAUAUUCGAACCACAAGCCUCCUUAUAAACAAUCGGCCCAUAAAUACCGACAACAAUUUUAUCCCAAACCAGAUCAACCUUACUACAAAAAGCUCUACAAAUUCAUCAAACCCCACAAACCUUUCCAGUCAAAACCCAAACCAAAAUUUGACCUAAAAAAUAUCACCUGUUACAAAUGUAACCAGAAAGAACAUACAGCCCGUUUCUGCAAAGUCAAUACCAAACUUCAUGAGCUCCAAAUAGACGAAGAUACCAUCAACCAAAUACAAAAUCUUUAUAUUGAAGCCACAUACACUAACCACUCUCCUUCAGACACUUCUGAAGAAGAAUUUCAAAUUGAUGAAAUAGUAACCACCAAUGUUACUUCAGAUUCCUCUACGGAUUCCAAACAAAUUAACCUCCUAACCCAAGACCAAGAAUUCAUUCUUGAGGCUAUCAAGAGACUUGAUGAUCCCCAUCUUCAAAAAACCUACUUGGAUAGACUGUUGAAAGAUUUUCACCAACCAGAACACCCUCCAUAUAAUCCUCCAAACCGCUCUUUAUUACCCUUUACCAGCAUCAAUACAUAUGACCUUAAGAAGAUUCUUAACAAAAAGAAGUCCAAAACCACAGUAACCAUUCCAGAAUUAUAUUAUGAGAUCUAAACCCUUAAAUCCGAAUUACAAACCUUGAAACAAGCCCAACAGAAAGACUCUGCCAUAUUACAACACCUCCUGUCUAAAAUUAAAAGCCAGUUUGACACUGAAUCUGAACCAGAAGAUCAAACCAUUGAAUCUCAUGCAUUGCCCCAUACACUUACAAACAUUGAGCAUAUCCCAGAUGAUUUCCUAAAUGUAUUAACACAAAUAUUUUCAAAAAAAUAUUUGAUUAAAAUUACUCUGAUUUUUUCAGAAGAUUUUAAACUGGACACUAUCGCCUUAUUUGACACAGGUGCAGAUUUAAACUGCAUCAAAGAAGGCGUAGUUCCAAAAUGAUUUUUACAAAAUACCUCUGAAAAACUCUCUGCUGCUAAUAAUUCAAAAUUGCAUAUUGCAGGAAAAACCCAAGCCUCUGUUUUCAACAUGAGCAUUUCUCUUAAAACAUUCUUCGUUGUUACAAAAGAUAUAAACCAUACCAUUAUUCUUGGCACUCCAUUUAUUGACAUGAUCACUCCAUAUCAAACACAUCAUGAUUGUAUUACUACCAAAAUCAAUAGCAUCAAACUUGUUUUCCCAUUCUUAGAAAAAUCUAAGACUAGAAAUUUAAAUUUAAUUAAAGCAUGUUCCAUACAUACAUAUCAUAUCAAUGCACUGAUUCAUGGAAAACAAUUCCAUUUACAUGAUUUACAACACCAUGUUUCCUUUUGUCGUAUCAACAAGCAAUUACAAAACUCUGAUUUACAAAAGAAAAUUAUUGAUUUACAAACUAAGAUUGAACAACAGAUUUGUUCAGAUUUGCCUAAUGCUUUCUGGAAAAGAAAAACANNNNNNNNNNNNNNNNNNNNNNNNNNNNNNNNNNNNNNNNNNNNNNNNNNNNNNNNNNNNNNNNNNNNNNNNNNNNNNNNNNNNNNNNNNNNNNNNNNNNNNNNNNNNNNNNNNNNNNNNNNNNNNNNNNNNNNNNNNNNNNNNNNNNNNNNNNNNNNNNNNNNNNNNNNNNNNNNNNNNNNNNNNNNNNNNNNNNNNNNNNNNNNNNNNNNNNNNNNNNNNNNNNNNNNNNNNNNNNNNNNNNNNNNNNNNNNNNNNNNNNNNNNNNNNNNNNNNNNNNNNNNNNNNNNNNNNNNNNNNNNNNNNNNNNNNNNNNNNNNNNNNNNNNNNNNNNNNNNNNNNNNNNNNNNNNNNNNNNNNNNNNNNNNNNNNNNNNNNNNNNNNNNNNNNNNNNNNNNNNNNNNNNNNNNNNNNNNNNNNNNNNNNNNNNNNNNNNNNNNNNNNNNNNNNNNNNNNNNNNNNNNNNNNNNNNNNNNNNNNNNNNNNNNNNNNNNNNNNNNNNNNNNNNNNNNNNNNNNNNNNNNNNNNNNNNNNNNNNNNNNNNNNNNNNNNNNNNNNNNNNNNNNNNNNNNNNNNNNNNNNNNNNNNNNNNNNNNNNNNNNNNNNNNNNNNNNNNNNNNNNNNNNNNNNNNNNNNNNNNNNNNNNNNNNNNNNNNNNNNNNNNNNNNNNNNNNNNNNNNNNNNNNNNNNNNNNNNNNNNNNNNNNNNNNNNNNNNNNNNNNNNNNNNNNNNNNNNNNNNNNNNNNNNNNNNNNNNNNNNNNNNNNNNNNNNNNNNNNNNNNNNNNNNNNNNNNNNNNNNNNNNNNNNNNNNNNNNNNNNNNNNNNNNNNNNNNNNNNNNNNNNNNNNNNNNNNNNNNNNNNNNNNNNNNNNNNNNNNNNNNNNNNNNNNNNNNNNNNNNNNNNNNNNNNNNNNNNNNNNNNNNNNNNNNNNNNNNNNNNNNNNNNNNNNNNNNNNNNNNNNNNNNNNNNNNNNNNNNNNNNNNNNNNNNNNNNNNNNNNNNNNNNNNNNNNNNNNNNNNNNNNNNNNNNNNNNNNNNNNNNNNNNNNNNNNNNNNNNNNNNNNNNNNNNNNNNNNNNNNNNNNNNNNNNNNNNNNNNNNNNNNNNNNNNNNNNNNNNNNNNNNNNNNNNNNNNNNNNNNNNNNNNNNNNNNNNNNNNNNNNNNNNNNNNNNNNNNNNNNNNNNNNNNNNNNNNNNNNNNNNNNNNNNNNNNNNNNNNNNNNNNNNNNNNNNNNNNNNNNNNNNNNNNNNNNNNNNNNNNNNNNNNNNNNNNNNNNNNNNNNNNNNNNNNNNNNNNNNNNNNNNNNNNNNNNNNNNNNNNNNNNNNNNNNNNNNNNNNNNNNNNNNNNNNNNNNNNNNNNNNNNNNNNNNNNNNNNNNNNNNNNNNNNNNNNNNNNNNNNNNNNNNNNNNNNNNNNNNNNNNNNNNNNNNNNNNNNNNNNNNNNNNNNNNNNNNNNNNNNNNNNNNNNNNNNNNNNNNNNNNNNNNNNNNNNNNNNNNNNNNNNNNNNNNNNNNNNNNNNNNNNNNNNNNNNNNNNNNNNNNNNNNNNNNNNNNNNNNNNNNNNNNNNNNNNNNNNNNNNNNNNNNNNNNNNNNNNNNNNNNNNNNNNNNNNNNNNNNNNNNNNNNNNNNNNNNNNNNNNNNNNNNNNNNNNNNNNNNNNNNNNNNNNNNNNNNNNNNNNNNNNNNNNNNNNNNNNNNNNNNNNNNNNNNNNNNNNNNNNNNNNNNNNNNNNNNNNNNNNNNNNUAUUUCUAAAUUUGAUAUGAAAUCCGGGAUUUUGGCAAAUCCAGAUGAUCCCAAAGAUAGAUACAAAACUGCUUUUACAGUUCCUUUUGGUCAAUAUGAAUGGAAUGUCAUGCCUUUUGGUUUAAAAAAUGCCCCAUCUGAAUUUCAACGCAUCAUGAAUGACAGCUUCAAUGCACAUUCAAAAUUUUGCAUUGUUUAUAUUGACGAUGUACUUAUUUUUUCACAAUCCAUAGACCAACAUUUCAAACAUCUACAUACAUUCUUUCAUACUGCAAAACAAAAUGGUUUAGUUGUUUCUAAAACAAAAAUUUCUCUUUUCCAAACCCGUGUCUGUUUCCUAGGCCAUUAUAUUUGUCAAGGUACUGUCACACCAAUAGCUUUAACCUUUACAAGUAAAUUUCCUGAUAAAACCCAAUUGCAACGAUUUUUAGGCAGUCUAAAUUAUGUUCUGGACUACUAUCCCAAUAUUAGUCGUCUAGCCAAGCCUUUACAUGAUAGAUUAAAAACCAACCCCAUUCCUUAGUCUGACCUCCAUACCGAUCUAGUCAAACGAAUUAAGAAACAGGUUCAAAACAUUCCUCUCCUUCAUUUAGCUAAUCCUUUAGCUCCUAAAAUAGUCGAGACCGAUGCCUCUGACAUAGGAUAUGGUAGGAUUCUUAAACAAGUACAAGAUAACAAAGAACAAAUACUCCAGUAUACAUCCGCCCACUGGAAUGAUUGUCAAAAAAAUUACUCUACUAUCAAAAAGGAAAUCCUUUUAAUUGUUCUUUGUAUUACAAAAUUCCAAAGCGAUUUAUUAAAUCAAAAAUUUCUUUUACGUGUUAACUGUAAAUCUGCAAAAGAAGUUUUACAAAAAGAUGUCCAAAAUCUUGCUUCAAAACAGAUUUUUGCCCGAUGGAAAGCUAUUUUAAGUAUUUUUGAUUUUGAUAUUGUUUACAUUAAAGGAGAUUCAAAUUCUAUCCCUGAUUUCCUAACCCGAGAAUUCCUCCAAAACAGGUCCUGAUGCCACCUAAAGCAAGGGCUAAAGACAAGGGGGAAGCCCCCCAAACACAGCCUACAAAACCAGAAAGCCCCAAGCCUUCUGCAAAACUCGUGUCUUUCGCCAUCCUUUCUGUCAAACCUGUCAAAUCAUGGUAUGAGGCAGUUCUUGAAGAAGAAGAACCUACAAAAUCACCACAGGUCCAACCCGACACUAUUCAACAUUGGGUUGACACCAUCUCCAAAUCACCAGAAUUACUCAUGGCAUUACAAAAAGUGUCCCAACAGGCCUAUAACGACUCCGUAUCUCCAACAGGUAGUAUUUCCAAAUCCCUUUCAAAACCCCAAGGAGGUUUUUCUACUUCAAAACCCCUCCUUUCUUUACAACAAACCAGUUUUCCAAAAACCAAAUCCAAAUAUAUUUUCAAAACUACUUUCCAAAAUAUUUUAACUAUAGAAGAAGGAUUUUAUCAUGAAAAUCCUUCCAUUGUUGCUUCAAAGAUUUUCCCUCCAAAUUGGUACUACAAACCCUGGAAUUUAGCCAAACCACAAUCCUACUAUGCCACCAUCCUUGAGAUUACCAAUUCUGUCAAAUUCAAACACUUCAAACUAUAUUCUGAUCAUAUUGAACCCGCAUAUUCUACAUGCAUCAUUCACAAAGUUAUUCACCCUAAAGAUUGGGGGCAAUCCUUACAUCAACCUCUCUCCUUCCCCAUGCACUUUCGUACAAAUCCUCAGGAUUUCAAUACUACCUAUACGUAUUGGGAUUACCAACAGCCAUGGUUCAGUGCCUUCCUCCUACAAAAUCAAAACCAUAGCCACUCUUGGCUUUUCUACUUCCAUAAUACAAUGAAUACUACAAACUUUCCCCUCUGGUUCCUCCAAUGGUGGGACUACUAUGGUUGUCACGUUGACUACCUCAAAGACCAUCCUCUGGUUGAAAAUGGUUACCUCCAUUUCAAAAAUAAUUUUCAACAGCCCCUUCUGAAAGGAAGUUUUCUUCCCUUCUCAUUUUCUGUACAAAGUUUUUUGUUCCAUGGGUAUGUUCCUGGUUCUAUGACUAUAAUCUACAAAACGGACACCCAGUACUUGUUCGGAAAUUCAAAAUUAAAUGGUGGGAUUCCUUUGCAACUGAGUCCAAAAGUUCCAAAUUAGCUGUUACGGAAUGGUUACAAAAAUAUCAAAAGACUCCCAUUAUUGAUCAUCAUCCUGAAUCAAAGUUUCUAGCCCGAAAGGCUCAAACAGCAGCUCUCCUUGCCUUUGCCAGAACUGAAGAGGAAUACUUACAAAUAGUACAAGGCAUUAUACAAAGCCAAGAUCCAAAAACAGUCUUGUCACACUCUAGCUCAUCUGGCUCGAUAUCUCCUGCCAUUUCCCUUGGAGAUGAUAAUGAAGAUGACUGCUUUGGUAUCUUGCCACCUAUCAAGUGACAUUAAAAAAAAAGUAUUUCGAACUUUCUCAGGCUUAUCUGUUUAGAGCUCAUAUCUUUUUGACUCACCUGUUUUGAGUCUCUUUGCUAAAGCCCAUUUGUUUUAGGCUUUUCCUACAAAUAUUACCUGCUACUAUAAACAUACAAAUCAAGUGUCGGUAGCAAGAAGACAACAAAUGAAAGUCCCACAAAAAACGUGGGCAUCCUCCAUUUUGUCAUCACUCAAUCAUGGCAGGCAAUACCACAUGGGUUCACAUGGGUUCUGAAGGCAUCUCCAAACUUUUCAACAAGAUGUUUUGGCCUCUUCUAGGACAACUCGUCUAUAAAAAGGAGACUCCUACAACCUCAGGAGACAGACUAAUUUUUUCCCAGAAAAUUUUACUCUCCCCUGUAAGUCAUAUCUGUAACCCAUUCUCGUAACCAAUAUCUCCUGUAUUAAUUUUCAUUACAAAUUUAAGUAAGAUAAUCUUAUUUUUAUCUAUAUUUUGUUAUAUCUGUUCCUGUUCUUUUUAUUCUUAUGAUAUUUAUCUUUUUAUUCUUGUUAUAUUUAAGUAUGCUCUAUGUUUGAUCAAGGAUCCUGACAUUGCUGGUCUUGCCUUGUUCAUUCGCAUCAGAAAUCUGUUUAUAUUCUUCUGUUCUUGUUCUUUUAUAAAAUCAGUAUAUAGGCUGGAAACCUGUGACCCGAUCUUUUAAAUCAUUCUCAGGUAUAACAACGCCACGUACUGAACCCUUUGUUUAUAUUUAAAUUUGCUUAUAUAUAUGGCCACCUAACGUUGAGAAGGAAAGAUGAACGAAUUAUUCUCACAAUAUUACUUUGUUUUAACAUGGUAUCAGAGCAACAAAUUUGAUACCCUUUUUCUCUUUUAUUUCCCGAAGUUUAAAUUGUUAGAGUACAGUGCAUUAGAUUAUAACAAGUGUCUAUAGUUAGUUAGUUAGUUAGAAAAGUUACAUGCAGUUAAGCUGUUACAGCUACAUGUGUGUGUGUGUGUGUAACUAACUAACUAUAGACAAAUUAAGCAAUUGAAUAACAGAAAGAAGAAGAUUAAUAAGUUUUCAUUUUUCUCAUCUCUCACUCAAUCUCUCUGUAUAUUACAACUUGAUAUACAUGUUAACAUGGUAUCAGAGCUAUCAGCUCACGCUUGAAGAUCCUCUCUAUUGCUUCCACAUUCUCUCUGCUUCUUCUCUAAAUUCUGAUCUCUGUUUGAUAAUCUUGAAACUUUUCAAUAGUGAUUGCUUCACAACUUCAACUUCUGCAUUCUCCAAUCACAGCUCUUCUCUCCUCUAUUCCCACAUCUAUUAAUGUCAAGCUAGAUGAUUCAAACUACCUCAAUUGGAACUUUCAGAUGUGACUUCUUCUUGAAAGCAAUGGCAUUAUGGGGUAUGUUGAUGGAUCAAUUCAUUGUCCACCUCAACUCAGCUCAACUUCAAGUGAAUCUGGUAUCACCUCUUCUUAGAAUGAUGAAUACAUAGUCUGGAAAAUGCAUGAUCGAGCCAUCAUGCAAUUGAUCACUACUACAUUAUCACCUGUUGUUAUGUCUUGUGCAAUUGGUAGCACUAGCUCCAAGGAUUUGUGGAAUCGAUUGAAGGAACAGUUUUCAAUUGUGUCUAGAACUAGCAUUUUUUAGAUGAAAUCUAAUCUACAAACAAUCAAGAAAGGGCAGAUUCGAUUUCACAAUAUCUUCAUCGUAUUAAAGAAGUUAGGGACUAUCUUUUGGCUGCUGGUGUAUACUUUGCUGAUGAAGAUAUUGUUAUUCUAGCUCUAAAUGGCCUGCCUACUAAGUAUAACAUGUUCAGAUGUGUUAUAAGGGGGCGUGAAAGUGUGAUCACACUGUAUGAUUUUCGAUCACAGUUGCUUGCAAAGGAAGUGAUUGUAAAGGCAUCGGCUCAUGCUCCUCUAAUGACAGCUGUUGUUACUCAUUUUUGGACCCCAUGUGCUGGAGACGGUGUAUACCUCUUUUGAACCAAGUGUAGGAGUUUAACUCAUGUUUGCUGGAGGAUUGAUAAAAGUAGAGAAAGAAAUAUUUUUUUCGAAACCCUGUUUAAGCUGUUUUCUGCUCUCUUUAUCCUUCCCCUUUGCUGCCAAAAUCAUCAGGUUUUCUUAGACUAACUAGGGGUCUUCAUAAUGCUAAAUUCAUUCCUUCGUUAUCUUGUUUUUUAAGGUUGGAUAAAUCCCUUAAAUUUUGCACUAAAAAAAAACUGAUUCUGCUGCUAUCGCAAUUUUUUAUUCCAAAUUAGGCUCUGAUUCUGACUUGGUUUUGUACAUAUCUAACCAUCCUAGCUAUAUUCUGUCACUCAUGACAUGUUGAAAAAUUGACCUACACCUUUAUUGGGUCCUAGGGAUCACUGAUCUUAGGGCAGACUCUUAGUCAGAUUUGGAUGCUCGGCAUUGUCAAAUCAAGAACCUUUCUGACCAACGAGAUUACUGCCAGAUUCUGUUCUUUAAAACGAUUUUAUCUCCCUUUGACUCCUUCAUCAAAGUUGUAGUUCUAGACGCGUAGAUAAAUUUGGGCUUUUGAAUCACUUGAUUUCAAUAUCAGAAGCUCAAGAUAUUCCUGUUUGAAUAUCUAGUGUGAAAGCAGGGAUUCCUGCCACAAGAAGGAUUUUUUGCCCAAGUUCGCGGGACUGAUUCGAAGGAUUUUUUUUGGACCAAAGACUGAAUCGAAAAGUGCUAAAAUGAGGGAUUGAAUUGAAGAAGGAUAUUGAAAGCUGGAGAGGGGGGUUGGAUCAUCAUAAAUGACAGGAUUUUUACCACAUCAAAUAAGGAAAAUAAGACUUUGCCGCUGCACCCUCCAUCUGAUUUCUUUCCUUCUCUGUAAAUUCUAAUGUUUUUCCUUUAUCAUCACGCCUGAUUUUUAGAGCUGCAACCACGUUUUUAUUGCCUCAUUUUAAAGGGAGCAGCUGGCUCUAUGGAAGGAAAGAAAAGAGCCGCACCAUCCUCUAACUAGGAAAGAAAUCACUGGUGAUCACAGAAUCAGAAUCAAAUAUUCUGGUUUCCUAUUUCUGCUCACCCGAUAUUACACCCUAGAGUUAAUGUAAUAUUUGUUUCCUAAACAAAGCCAUGUAUAGGCUAUAUAGAAGCCUCGGCUGCUGACCUAAAGAAAAAAAAAGAAACACAGAAAAAGAAAGGAAAGAACAGAAAAAAACGAGAAAAGAAAGACAAGAAGAAACGAGAGAGAGUCAAGGCAGAGAAAGCCAUAAGAAGGACACCGUCGAAAGUAAGGAAAAACACAGAGACAAGGGCGACAACUCCACCAGCACAACACGCCUUCAUCGCCAUCAUCUUCGUCAUCUCGCGAGAAAGCAUCAGCAGAAGGAGAGAAAACGAACAGAGACCAAAACCGGCGUAGCCUAUCUGUUUCGCUGUCCCCAGAAGCAGCAACCAUUGGCUGAGCGCAAAAGCUUCAGCACCUGUCGUCUUAGUUCGUCUCAGCGCCAGCUUUCAAGAAAAGGAAAGCAGAACAGAGAAGAAGGGACAGAGAUAAAAGGAGGAGAAAACCGGAGAGAAAGGAGCAGAAAAAAAACAGCAAAGAGAAAGAUAAGAAAAACGCAAGAGAGGUAGAGUAAAAAGAAAAAAUAGAAGAAAAAACCAGUGAGACCUACAGUUCUAGAUGUUUUAACGUAGAGGAAAGAAAAACUAGAGAAGCAGACAUAAAUACAGAGCAGGAGGAAAAUAUUUGAAACAGACGAACACCGGAUCAACCAUCACGCUUUCAACGUCGCUGCAGCUUCUUCCCUUCCGUUCCCAGGUCUGUUUUUUUUCUCUUCACCUCCCAGCAUGCAUGUUUUUUGUUUUGUGUUUGCACUGUUCAAGUAAAUUAAUUCACUUGAACAGUGCUCGCCAGCUUUCUUUGAACUUUACCUGCGCCCCCCCUUUUUUUGUGUCCAGCCGGGUCACUGGCUUGCGCAAGUGACCCAGCCGGACUUCCUUACUUUUUUUUUUAAAGAGGAAGAGAUUUAUUUUCUGAAUAUUUAUUUUAAAGUCUGAAUUUUUUUUAUGUUGUAAAAAAAUAUAUACCAAUCUCGUAAUUAAAAUACCCGGUUUUCGACGCAACUGCGGCAAAUAUACAUAUAUAUCAAAAUUUGUUUUCUUGUGUGUUGCAUACGGCUAAUACCCUAACAUCUUUUUGAAUUUCCUCUUAAAAAAACAAAUAUUUGAAGUUUUGAAAAUGUGUUUUGGCAUGAAUUUCUUAAACACAAAAAUUAUUUUCUUGCAUUUAUGGAUUUUACAACAUGUUUGUAAAACUCCAAAGGGUGUUGGCCAAUAUUUUAAAAAAUAUAAAAAUCUUAUUUUGGGGGGAAUUCAUCUAUUAUUCACCGCUAAUGUUUGGAUAAAGAAAUCCUUAAAGGACGAAUAUCCAAAAUAUUAUUGGGAAUAAUUUGUUAUUAUUCACUGUUAAUAUUUGGAUAAAGAAACCUUGAGUGGUAAAUAUCUGAAAUAAUUUUUUAGGAAUAAUAAAUCCUCACACAUCCUUGAAAGAAGCCUUGAUUAUAAUCGAGGACAUUUCAAUUUUUUUUACUCCACGGUUUACGAGCCGUGAGAGUAUAAAACACUAAGGCAAAAAUAGGCUUUUAAAGCGCUCUAGAUUUCUAAAUUUUUGUCCCUCCUUGCGAUUUACGAGUCGCAAACUCUUGAAAUACCAAGGGAAAAUGAGCUUUUAAAGCACAUGGAAUCUCCUUGGAUUUCUAUCUUAAUAAAUAUAGUUAGAAUCAAACCUAGAAAAAACUGAUGGAAUUAGAAAACACCAACACCAUAGCAAUUAUAAGACAAACCAAACACCAAGCAACUUAUCUUAGGUAGGGCGUACUAUGGGUGCUAAUACCUUCCCUUUAUGCAACCAGUCCCUUGCCUUAGAAUCUCUGAAAGACCAGUUAGGUUUCCUAGUGACCAUAAUACUAGGUGGCGACUCCUUUAUUCACAAAACAAAAAAAAACCCCCCGAAAUCAAUCGAGGGUCGCCACUCCGCCGCGAGGGUGCGACAACAUCAAUGGCUGCUGAUACAGGUUUUCUUGUGAAUCAUGGUCCAUCUCAGGCUGUUAACAGAGGUUUUAAGCCUUAUAGUGGGAACAUAAACAAUGGUAGAGGUCGAUUUAUUCAGGGAGCUAGAUAGUUUCACUCUAGACCAGUGUUUUCAUCUAUGGCACAUAAACAUCCACACUCUAAUCCUGGAGUUCUUGGCCCUUCCCCUGGUCAGCAGUUUCACAGUAAUUCUGCAUCCAUGAUGCCAAUCUGCCAAUUAUGCAAUUCUAAGGGACAUACUGCCCCGUUCUGUGAUGCUUCCUCUUAUAAGAAAACCAAAUGUCAUAUAUGUGGUAGAACUAAUCAUACUACCUGGUUUUGCUUUUAUAAUGACAAAGGACCAAACUAUAUUGGCAUGCAUACUUCUAUUACUUACUCUUCACAACAGUCUUAUCCCACACAACCACCAACUAUGCAGCAUCCCUCAUACCGAGCUCCUUCACCACAUCUCUCAUUCUCAUCUUUUUAGUUUCCAGACCAACAGCCCACUAUGCAAGCCAUGCACACCAUGCUCAACUCUGCAUCUCCAUCAUCCAAUUCUUCAGGAUCAUCUCAAGUAUGGCUCGCUGAUUCUGGUGCCACCAAUCAUACGACGGCAGAUUUGAAUAAUCUGAUAUUGGCCUCACCAUAUCCAAUAGCUGACACAAUUCAUACUGCCAAUGGUGAACGUUUGAAAGUAUCUCAUGUUGGUCAUUCUAUCAUUAAUUCAUCUAUGUCUCCACUCAAAUUGAAUUCUGUGCUACUUGUUCCUCAAUUAACUCAGAAUCUACUGUCAGUCCAUCGGCUCUGCCUUGAUAAUAAUUGCUGGCUUAUUUAUGAUGCAUUUUGCUUUUGGAUUCAGAACAAAGCCACAAGGAGGAUUCUUUACAGAGGCUUGUGCAGUAAUGGACUGUAUCCUAUCCAUGCUUUUUCACCUUCACAUUCCACGACAUCGCCAACUCAGGCAUUUCUUGGACAACUCAUUCAGUCCAAUCUAUGGCACCAUAGGUUAGGACAUCCCACAAAUUCUAUCGUCUCCCUCAUGCUAAAUAAAGCUCAUAUUCGUGUUCCCAAAACUUCUUCCCCUAUGUUGUGUCAUCCUUGUCUUGCAGGGAAAGUUAGCAAACUACCUUUUCCACAACAUCAUUAUAAAUUUACUUCUCCCUUUGCCAUUAUCCAUACUGAUUUGUGAGGACUCGCACCAUGUAUAUCAGUGGAUGGUUAUAAAUAUUAUACUAUCUUUAUUGAUGAAUGUACAUGUUAUUGCUGGCUUUUUCCCCUAGUCAAUAAGUCUGAUUUGUUCUCUAAAUUUGUUGCCUUCUAUUCCUUUCUUGUUACACAAUUUUCUGCUACUGUUAAACUCUUCAAACUGAUGGGGGGGGUAUACUUGCAAUCAUUUGAAACAUUUUUUUCUUGACAAAGGCAUUGCACAUCACCUCUUUUGUCCACACACUCUUAAACAAAAUGGGGUAGCUGAGAGGAAACAUAGACAUAUUAUGGAAACUACAAUCACUCUAUUGCACACAACCAAAUUACCAUAGACAUAUUAUGGAAGCUACAAUCAUUCUAUUGCACACAGCCAAAUUACUAUCUCAAUUCUGGUCCUAUGCAUGUUUAACAGCUAAAUACCUCAUAAAUCGUAUGCCAACUCCUGUCCUUCUUCACAACUAUCCUUUAGAGAUGUUAUUUGGGUCUUCUCCAGAUCUUAAUCACCUUAGAAUAUUUGGUUGUGCCUGUUUUCCUCUCCUUCACCCUUAUAAUCAUAACAAAUUACAGCCCAAAACUACCAAAUGUGUGUUUCUUGGGUAUGCCAUCAAGUAUAAAGGUUAUUUGUGCUAUCAUGUGCCUACACUGCGAUUGUUUAUUUCUAGACAUGUUAUAUUUGAUGAACAUCAAUUUCCCUAUCCUGAAUUCCUACAUAUCUCUUCACCCACAGUUCUGUCAUCACCGUCCUAUUCCUCUUCCACAUGUCCUAUGAUUCUUGUUAAUACAGAGAACACAGUUAUUCCUUUCUUCUAAUCGUUUACAAUUUUUAGCUGAUAAUUCGCUUAAAUUUAAUUUUGAUUCCAGUCAUAAAUGUGACGUUUGUCCAUUGGCAAAACAAACUCGUCAACCUUUUCCUUCUAGUUCAAUUUCAACUUCGAAGUGUUUUUCUCUUAUUCAUUGUGAUAUUUGGGGUCGUUAUAAAACCCCUUCUAUUUCUGGUGCUUUUUAUUUCUUGACCAUUGUGGAUGAUUUUUCUCGUUUUACAUGGGUUUUUUUAAUGCGUAACAAGAGUGAGACACAAACUCUACUUCGUCAGUUUUUUCAUUAUGUUCACACUCAAUUCAAUACAAAGGUUCAAAAACUCCGUUCUGAUAAUGGGGCUGAAUUUCUUUCAUUAAAAAAUUUCUUUCUUGAGGAAGGCGUCCUUUUUCAACACUCUUGUGUAUAUACACCUCAGCAAAAUGGUGUCGUUAAGCGCAAACAUAGACACAUCCUUAAAACUGCUCGCGCUUUAUGUUUUCAAUCUCAUUUACCCAUUACUUUCUGGGGAGAAUGUAUUCUUACUGCCAUCCAUAUUAUUAAUCGCCUUCCUACUCUGUUGCUUAACAAAAAAACACCAUUUGAGAUUCUUUACAACAAACUUCCUGAUUAUUCUCGCAUGCGAGUUUUUAGAUGUGUUGCUUUUGCAACUAUAGUCAAUCCAUCCUCAAAAUUUUCUCCCAGUGCCACAAAAUGCAUUUUUCUUGGUUGCCCUAUGGGACAAAAAGCUUACAAACUUUACGAUAUUGCAACUCAGAAAAUUUUCACCAAUCGGGAUGUAGUAUUUCUUAAGGACACCUUUUAUCAUCCACCACAAGUCUAUCUUCCAGCACAUAAUCCACCAGGCUUGCCUAUUCCUCUUCCUAUUGUGUCUGAUUCUUAUUCCCAUCUUCCUCCCUCAUCAGUCAUCAUCGACCCCUUUGAUCCCCCCAUAUCCUCUUCACCUGCACCAACCGACCCAGUACCUUCUCUUCCUGAGCCACCUUCCUCUACUCCAUUAACUCCACCAGCUGCACAACAAACCCCUGUUUAGCCGGAUGACCUUGUCCUUCCUGCACCUACUCUGGUUAUUCCUGAUCAGCCACUUCGCCGUUCUCAACGCCCUAGAGAAGCCAAUGUUCGCCUCAAGGAUUAUGUUUGCUCGCAGGUGAUUCUGCCUCCACACCAAUUGUUCUCAGCCUCGUCUGCACCUACACCAGGUACGAAGUAUCCUCUCUGUCAUUUUAUUUCUUAUAAUCGGUAUUCUCCAUCACAUCUCUGUUAUAUUGCCAAUGUUAGUCGUGAUGAGGAACCUCCUUCAUAUGAACUUGCUAUGACUGAUCCUAAGUGGCAGGAAGCUAUGAAUUCUGAGCUUCAAGCUCUCAUUGACAAUCAGACAUGGAGCCUUGUUCCUUUGCCCUCUGGCAAACGCCCGAUCAGUUGUAAAUGGGUGUAUCGCAUCAAACGCAAGGCUGACGGGUCUGUUGAGCGCUAUAAAGCUCGCCUGGUCGCUCGGGGUUUCACACAAACUGCUGGAAUUGAUUAUCAUGAUACUUUUUCCCCCACUGCAAAAAUGGUCACUGUCCGCUGCCUCCUUGCUAUUGCUGCCAGUCUGAACUGGCCUUUACAUCAGCUAGACGUUAACAAUGCUUUCUUAAAUGAUGAUUUAUUGGAAGAAAUAUAUAUGUCUCCUCCUCCUGGUCUUCGGCGACAGGGGGAGAACAUUGUGCGUCGCCUCCACAAGUCACUAUACGGCCUUAAGCAAGCAUCUCGACAGUGGUUCUCUAAGUUCACAGAAGCUGUUCUUGCUGCUGGUUUUUUUCAGUCAAAAGCCGACUAUUCCUUGUUCAUCAAAAGAGAUGGCACAUCUCUUACUAUCCUAUUGAUCUAUGUAGAUGACAUUUUGAUAACCGGGAACAACAUUGAAUCCAUCAAAGGUUUAAAGCAGUUCCUUCAUACUCGUUUCCGCAUCAAAGACCUUGGUGAUCUGAAAUUCUUCUUAGGCAUUGAAAUAGCCCGUUCCAAGAAAGGCAUUUACAUUUCCCAGCGCAAAUAUGCUUUGGAAAUUAUCAAAGACAGUGGAUACUUGGGUGCCAAACCAGUUGAGUUUCCUAUGGAAGAAUGCAGACUUUCAAAUACAGGAGAAUUGCUCAAAGAUCCUUGUAUAUACCAGCGUCUAGUUGGUUGAUUAAUUUACUUAACCAUCACUAGACCUGAUAUCACAUAUUCAGUUCACAUUCUCAGCCGAUUCAUGCAUGAACCACGACAACCUCACAUGGCUGUUGCUCUUCGAGUUGUUCGUUAUUUAAAAUCAGCUCCUGGUCAAGGUUUGCUUCUUCAUUCAAAUAACUCAUUACACUUAACGGCAUUUUGUGACUCUGAUUGGGCGGGUUGUCCUGUCACUCGCCGCUCCACCACUGGGUAUUGUGUAUUCCUUGGCAAAUCUUUAAUUUCAUGGAGAACAAAAAGGCAAAAGACAGUUUUCUUAUCAAGUGCGGAAGCUGAAUAUAGAGCAAUGGCAGGUACAUGUUGUGAGCUUACUUGGUUAAGACAUUUAUUAACAGAUUUACAUAUGCCAGUUUCAGAUCCUGUUACUCUGCAUUGUGAUAAUCAAGCUGCCUUACACAUUGCAAAAAAUCCUGUAUUUCAUGAGAGAACUCGGCAUAUUGAAAUGGAUUGCCACUUCAUUCGGGACAAAAUUUUACGAGGUGAAAUUGCUACUCGAUACGUGAUUUCUUCACAACAAUUAGCAGAUGUGUUUACAAAAGCUUUGGGAAAAGAGAAGUUCAAAUAGCUCAUGUGCAAGUUGGGAGUUAUUGAUAUUCACUCUCCAACUUGAGGGGGAGUGUUGGAAAUUAUAUUAAUAGUGUUUUGAUGUAAAUAGGAAAGUUAUAUCUUGAGAUAAGUAGGAAAGAUACGUAAGAAUAUUUUGUAUCAAUCUGCAUUCAAUUAGCUGUCAUUUCUUAUCAGUCUCUGAUGUAUAAGGGAACCCUAAUGUAUCUUGUAUAUAAAUUGAACUUAAUCAAUACAGAAAAGCAUUCCGCUUGAAUAGUUUUUUACUUAUAAAGUUUUGUUUGGACAUUGUUUCACUAUGGAUUUAUACUUUUGCAUUUCCCUGUUGGGGACAGCAAUUAUCUUUAUCAUUUCAAUUAUGUGUGUUCUUGUUUGUGCCUUUGUUUUGUAAGUUGUUUAAGUUUUUCUCCUAGUUUAGACUUUAAAGGCACGCGUGACACUUUGCUCUACUGUCUCAUCUGACUAUGGGAGUUGCUUCCUCUUUUCUUUUCCUUUUUUUUUUUAAAAAAAAAGAACUAUACAAUGCAGAGAUAUUUAGGUGUACCAUUCUUAAUCCAUUUUUUGCACCUCCUAGCUCUUCAGUCUUGUUCUCUUUCUUUGAACAGAGGACUGAAUCUGUAACAGUUCCUGUGAUGAAACAGAUUAGAAUACACAAUAUCUUGGAGAAAACAAGGAAGAAAAAGGAAAAGGCUGAUGAUAGAAGAAUGGUGUAGAAGGUGAAUCCCCAGCUGUCACGAAGGAACAAGAAAACCUAAGAAAAAAGGUUACUGAUUUGAUUAAAAAAACAAAAGCUGCCAGCUAUGAGGAAGAUUGUGAAGGGGAAGGAUGAUUCAAAACCAUGGAAUGCAGAUGCUAGGGCUAAGGUUUGUGUGCUUGUAAUCAUUGAUGAAAGCUAAUUUUCUUGAACAGAUGUAUCGUGUACAAAUUUGAUUUCUGUCCUUGCACUUUGCAGGUUGGAAGCCGUACAAUUGAAUUGCUGUUACAAACAGCUCAUAUACAGCCUCCCUGUGAUUAGUUAGCUGAUAGUCCAUCUGAACCUCGACCUGAAUUUGUACAUACAUUCAGAACUGUGUCGUAUGAAAAUAAGCAUGGAGUCAUUCUUUAAUUGACUCGAUGAGCUCAAUUUAUAUUUUCUUCCUUGUAAUUGCUUCUAACUGAUGCACAAUGGCCUUUUCUCAAACAGGAAGGGCGCCAAAAAAUAUGGUGUUAUUCAAUGUGACCCACUAGUCCUCAAAGGCCUAGAGAAAACUGUGAGUAACCCUGUCAUAUUUUGUUCUUCUAGUGAUAUCUAGUUUUCAUAUUUUAUCAUCCUUUAUGACAUGAACUUGUGUUGGGGGGCCAUAUACUUUCAAAGCAGAUAGGUUAGUUUCUAGAUUUUAGAGCUGAAACAGAUAAGAUUUGUAGGCAAUUUCCAUGGUGCCUCUUAAGUUGCAGAUGUUUGUCUUUCAUUCUUUUUUCUUGCACAAGAGGUCAUAAAAAUGUUGUUUCUCCAAACAGGCUAGGCACAUGGUGAUUCCUUAUAUGCCAAUGUUGGUGCCACCACUUAGAUGCAGAGGGUAUGUUAACUUGUUUUAUAUUUACAGUUUUGCCACGAUUGUCUUGUUUUAAUUUAGUAUUAUUUAGUUGGAUAUAUUCCAAGUUCAGAAAUAUUAACAUAGUGUUUUGGUUACUUCUGCUUGAUGCCUGGAGCUGUUUUCAAUUUUCAUUUCAAGUUAAAUGCUUAAAAUGGUAUAAUAGAUGAAGGGAUGAAUCUCCUAUUAUCUACACUUGACUUUUGUUUUUCUAUUUGAAAACAGAGCAAGAAGAAGUAAAGAAACUUGCAAACCUCGAAGUCUAAAAAUUUUAACAUUAUUAUAUAAAACUGAAAAUUAAAAAUAUUUAUAUAAAUAAAUUUUUAUUUUAAAAGUUUAAAAUUUAAACUUAAAAUUAUAUCUUUUAACUUUCAUAUUACUUCAUUAAUUUUAUAAAUUACUUAUAUUAAUUAUAUAAUUAAUAACAUAAUUAUAUUAAAAUAUAAUUAACUUUUCUAAAUGACUUUUUACUAUUGAAAUGCAUAUAAAUAAAAAAAACUAUAUUUAUAUUAUUUAAAAAGCUAUUUUAUCAACAAAAAAAAUUAACUUUUAAAAAUAGCAUGUCUUAUUAGAGUUGCACUUAUGCAGAAUUAUAUAAGGGAGAGGAUGGCAAAGGGAAAGAGACAAAAAAUAAUUUAAAUACUCAUUAGCCAACGUCUCUUUAUGUACAGUUAACUUUUGUUUUUUUAUUUGAAAACAGAACAAGAAGAAGAGAAGAAACUUGCUGUGACGUUUUGAAAAUCAAAAAGAUUGGGAAAGGCAACAAAGCCCUUGGAGGUUUAAAAGUGGGUAUAAUAAAUAAGGGGUAUUGUUGUAAUUGAAUAAAACAUGGUAAGAAUAAAAAGAAAAAAAAAGAAGAAGAGAUCUGAAAAUUUAGGGCGAGUGCCGGCAGGAGAGAAGGGAGAAACAAGAAGAAAAAGAGAAAAGAGAGAAAGAUAAAGGAAGAAGAAGAAGAUAAGUAUAAAGGUACGAUGUAGGCUUUGAAAUGCAUAAAUGUGCCUUCUUUUAGCUUUAAAUUUCAGUUUUGUUGAAUAUUAGCAUUUUGAGAUUUUGUUUUGGGUUUAAUUAAUGAAUUGAUUUGAAUGUUAUGGGUUGAUUAUUAUGAGUAAUGAUGAGUUGUUUAGUUGAUUUUGGAAGAUUUUAGGUAAAGAUGAUAAUUUUGAGUUAUGAUUUGUUUAAAUGGUGAAUUUGAGUUAGAAAUAUUGAUAUAACAGUAGAUGAUCUAUGGAAAUUCUGGGUUUGAGGUUGAAGAUGACGGAAAUUAAGUUUGGUCCCUCAAUUUGUGAAAAUUGCAGUUUAGUCCUCAAACUUUGAAAAAUUAAAGACUGGUCCCUGAAGCAUAAUUAGAGAUUCUGGACAGAAAUGAGGAUGAAUUAUGGGCAAAAUUCCAGUAUAGUCAUGAAUUUAUGAUAUUUUUAGUUUGGUCCUCCAAUUUGACAAAAGUUACAAUUUGACUCUAAAAAUAUGAUAAAAUUCCAGAUUGGUCCCUAGCUGUAAUAUUAGAUUUUCAGAUUGGUUUGAUGAAUAAAUGAAGGUUAUUUAGUGAAUUAUUAUCAAGUCUUAUUAUUUGUUUUAUUAUGGGUUAGAUUUCGGGAAAGUCCGUUUAAUUUUUGGGUUUUUGGAAAAAAUAACUAGUUUAGUUUAAAAACAUAUGGGGUUAUGGAAUAUACCCUUAGUUAAGUGUAUUAAAUAGGCUGUAUGUUCUUUCAAGUUAUUUUUGCUUUUUAUUAAGAUAAUCCUGAUAUUCUACUAGUGGAACAUUAGUAGAAUUUUCUUCGGUAUUUGCUUCCGAGUUCUGUUUGCUUUCGAGUUAGAUGAGUGUAUAAUUUUUCAUAUGCAUAAGAAAUAUUAUAAAUAUUUGAGUUGUUAAUAUGAAUUGGAUCAUGCUUCUUGAUAAUAUAUAUGUUGAUUAUUAUUCUUGUUACGAUAAAGCAUGAUCAAUUUUUUAAUCUGAAUUUUUGAUAUGAACCAAUAUAUAUUUUGAAUUGAUAGCUUCCCAUUUGAUUAAUGUCAUGAGUGGAGCCUUGAAAUAUGAAUAUGUCUAUUUGAUUAUGAUUAUGAACUUAUUGUAUAUGCCAGUCAGAAUACCCAUGCUAACAUGUUAGUGUUAGUAUUUAUGCACAUCAUAUAUGAACCCUAGUUGGCUAGGGGAGUCACCAACCUGUGUGGACUGAUCAUCCCACAAUACGGAGCCUCAUGCUCAUUGCAUUUUGAUUUUCUGACGAGCUUUACCUUAUGAUAUUCUUGUUAUGACUUAUUUGAGAAACCUUCCUAUAAGAACCUAGAGCCAUAAUUGUAUAUAUAUUCCUCAUUCUUGUAUUACCUUAUGUGUGUAUAUUGAACGUUAUCUACUUAAUGAGUUGUUGAACUCAUCCUCUCAUUAUUUAUCUUUUCAAGCUUAUAGCUUGUUAGCGGGUCACUUUUGUUGGACCUUUAGGAUCUGUUCUUUUGGUUGUUAAUUAUACUUUCCUUUUUAUAUAUCUAGGUAGUGCUCCACAACUAUAAAAUUGUAUUAACUCUUGUAUUAAAACAAUUAAAUUAUAUUAUGAAGUUAGUUUUGUUGUUAUUGUUGCGUUGAACUCUGAUUUAGUUAUUUAAACGAUAAGUUGGUAUGUAAGUUUGGGUUCGCAUAGAUAUGAAACCUUGAAGAGGAACCUUGUCUAUGUGCCGGUCAUGGAUUCGGGAAUCAGGUCGUGCACUUGCAAACCUCAAUGUCUAAAAUUUUUAACAUUAUUAUAUAAAACAGAAAAUUAAAAUUAUUCAUAUAAAUAAAUUUUUAUUUUAGAAGUUUAAAAUUUAACUUAAAACUAUAUCUUUUAAUUUUCAUAUUACUUCAUUAAUUUUAUCAAUUACUCACAUUAAUUGUAUAAUUAAUAAUAUAAUUAUAUUAAAAUUAGUUUAAUAUAAAAUAUAUUAAAAUAUAAUUAGCUUUUCUAAAUGGCUUUUUACCAAUGGAGAGCUAAUUAUAAUGCUAAUUGGUUUAAUUUGUUAAUUACUCACAUUAAUUGCUAAAUGGUAGAUUUAAUUGCCGAAUUUCUUGAUCAUACCUUCUGUUUCAUGUUUGAGCACAGGAGCAGGCCAUAUACAAAAUGGCGUGGAAAGCAAUUGCUGAACCAAGCUAGCUAGUUGAGGCCAGAAGGGAUCGGUACUAGUUUAUCGCUAUAGGGAUUUUCAUGGCUUCCACCAGCGUGCAAGGAAUAACCUCAUCUUCAUCUUCUUCUCCUCCACUAUAUAUGUAUGAUGUGUUCCUUAGUUUUAGAGGCAAAGACACCCGGAACAACUUUACCAGUCAUCUAUAUUCUAAUCUGGCUCAGAGAGGCAUCGAUGUAUACAUGGAUGAUAGGGAGCUCGAGAGAGGAAAGACCAUCGAACCUGCUCUCUGGAAGGCCAUCGAAGAAUCAAGGUUUUCAGUCAUUAUAUUUUCAAGAGAUUACGCUUCUUCACCAUGGUGCUUGGAUGAACUUGUCAAGAUUGUUCAGUGCAUGAAAGAGAUGGGGCACACUGUUCUGCCAGUUUUUUAUGAUGUGGAUCCCUCAGAGACAUAUGAGAAAGCCUUCGUUGAGCAUGAACAAAAUUUCAAGGAAAAUUUGGAGAAGGUCCAGAUCUGGAAAGAUUGUCUCUCUACGGUGACCAAUCUAUCUGGCGGGGACAUACGGAAGAGGUAAAUCAUCUAUCUACUUGUUCUUAUUCUCAAAUCCUCCCUGUAUUGUUUCAAUGGUUGUCAAGGAACCAUCUCAACCCAAUAGCUUAAGCUAUUAGGUGAGGUCCCAAGAUAUGAUUUAUAUUAUUCUCUAACACACCCCCUCAAGUGAAAGCCCUUUAGGCUUGAAACUUGCACAGGCCCACUUUACCUUGUGCUUAAUUUUUAUCAAAUAAAUGGGGAUGGUGAGAUUCGAACUCGUGACCGCUUGGUCAUCAAGGCUCUGAUACCAUGUCAAGGAACCAUCUCAACCCAAUAGCUUAAGCUAUUAGGUGAGGUCCCAAGAUAUGAUUUAUAUUAUUCUCUAACAAUGGUGAACAAAGCUUUUUUUUCUUUAAAAAAAAUGUUUUUCAAUUGAAACGUGUGAUUAAAUAUAAAAAUAAUCACAAUACUACAAGAAUAUCAAAACUAAUUCUUGAAUAAAUAAUUGUUAGCAUAUAUUUUCGAACCAUUAAAUAGCUAUUAAACGACCCUUUUGUCUACGAUCAAACUAAUUUUUCUCUAAUUUUGACUUUUAAAAUAAAAGAGGAGCACAUCUCAAAUCUCAAUUGUCACAGUUUUUAUAAAAUAAAAAUUGAAAACAAGUUAAAAAAAUUCUUGAACUUUUUGCUAAUUUCUAUUAUUUAAUAGAUUGAAUAAUAAAAUUUGAAUUAUCUAAAUUGAAUUUAUUGAGGCAUCUUUAGAAAAAGUCAAUAUUACAAAGACACUUUUAGUAUCACUAGAAUAAUUUUUUCUGAUUGUAUUAUGGAAUAAUAGAGGAUAACUUUAUCAAUUGUAUUAACAAAAAUUUAAACCCUUGGGAAAUUUCUUGUUUACUUAUGGAUUGUAAGAAUGAAUUUACUAAUUUUUCAUUCUAAAAGAUAAGAGGAUCUUUUUAUAAGGGCUAAUUGUCAUUAUAAAAUUGAUAGGGAUAGUUAGGUAUUUCUAAAAAACAUUUGUACAGUAUAAUUAAUUAGUUGCCCUUAAAAUAAUAAUAAAAAAGAUUAGCUAUAAAGAUUUUUUUAAGAUUUCACUUUUCACCGUACAAUAAAAUAACUUAUUUCCUUUAAAAUAAAAAAUUAUUACCUUGUCUUCAAGAGCUUAUUCAUACUUUAUUUUUUGUGAUAAAAAAAGAAGAAAAGUCAUCCUGCCUUAUUUUAAAAUAGAACAUACAAGCGAGUAAGUCGUCUCGCCUUACUUAAGCAGCACGAGUAACGAUUUAUGACACCUAAAAAGUGCCUUUAUUGAUGAUUUCUAAUUCAUCACGACAUGACCUACCUCCUUGAGUAAUUCUCUCUGGAUUGGCGCUAGAAGACUUUUUUUCUUUUCUCUCACUUCUUGAGUUUCGCAUCCAACCUUCUAAAAUUUUCUAGUAGCUUUUUAAUUUUUUUGUUUUAUAUUUAAUCUAUAUUUUUUUAAUUAAUAUUUUUUUGUAUUUGAAUUAUUUUAUAGAAUUGAAAUUUGUUUUCAAUUCUAUACCUUUUAAUUUUUUAAUCUAUUAGAUUUGAUUCUCAUUUUUUAAUUAUAAUUUAUUUUAUAUAAGAUUAUUUUUAAUUUUUUUUUUGAUUUCAUCCUUCAUUUUUUAUUGUUAUGUUCUUUUAUGUUGGCAAAUUUUUAAAAUAUAUAUAUAUAUAUAUAUAUAUAUAUAUAUAUAUAUAUAUAUAUAUAUAUUAUUGAUUUUCAAGGUAUGACAGAUAAUAUAUAUAUAUACACACACGCAACUUGACAUGUAGGUCUCACAUGUCAAAAACAAUUUCCUAUCUUUUUUUGUUAGGUUAUUAUGAUCAUUUCAUUUAUUAUUUUGCACAAAAAAAUAUGUGAACUAAAGUUAAUAUUUAUUUCAAAUGAUCGCUAAAAAAGAGUUAAUUUUUUGCCUAAAAUAUUGUUAUUUUUUUCCCAAUUUAAAUAAAAAUAAGUUUAUAUUAAUGAAAUGAUCAUUAUAUUGAAAUUAAUAUUAAUAUUGUAUAAAAAUUGAAAGACCAAAUAAAAGAUUAAAUAGAGAAGAAAGACAAAGAAAUGGGUUGAAACAAUAAUCAAAGUAAAAGAGAAAAUUUGAGUUGCGUGUGAUACAUGUGUAUCUUAAGGUGUGUGGAUUGGAUUUGCGCAACCAAUUAAAUUAUGUGAAAAAUUAUUUUCGGGCUAUACUAGUAUGAGAAAAAACUCGAAAAUUAAUAAAUUUAAAGUUGUUUUUUUAAAAUUUAUUAUGCAAGAUAAUUGAAUUUUUUGUUAAAAAUAAUUAUAAAAACAACUUAGUGGUUGACAAAAAGUAUGAUAGAACUUCUUUUGCUUUUUGGUCUGUUAAAACCAAACUUCAUGGAUAUUUUAUUUCCUACCUUUUGUUCUUGUAUGCAUGCUUCUGUAGUAUGUGUGAUUCUACAGGCAAUAAGAUAGCUAUUGUACGGAUCAUUCUUAGCAUCAAUACAAUCCUAGUUUCGUUUUCAGUUUAUUCUUUCCUUUUCCUCUCUGUUCUUGAAGCUAUCUAUUAUCAGGGCCCUAUCUUUCUCAAAGGUUGGUGUAUUAAUUUCCGGCUAACAACCAUACAUUUUACAGCUAAAAUAUGCUAAUGUUUAUUUUCCUAUUUCAACCAUGAUUAAUGUUUUGCACCCUCCUAUGCAGGAAAGAGUCGGAAUCAAUAAAAAUAAUUGCUGAAUACAUAUCGUACAAACUAAGCGUCACUCUGCCAACAAUUAGCAAAAACUUAGUUGGAAUAGAUUAUCGUCUAGAGGUAUUAAAUGGCUAUAUCGGUGAAGAAGUAGGCAAAGCAAUCUUCAUAGGGAUUUGCGGAAUGGGUGGCAUAGGUAAGACGAUCGUGGCAAAGGUAUAUUAUGAUAGGAUUCGUUGGCAAUUCGAAGGCAGCUGCUUCUUAGCAAAUGUCAGAGAAGUUUUUGCUGAGAAAGAUGGACCACGUCGUUGCAGGAACAACUUCUUCUGAAAUCUGAUGGAACGUGCUUCUGUAUGGGAUUCUUCUAGAGGGAUUGAGAUGAUAAAGCGGAGGUUACGACUUAAAAAGAUUCUUCUUAUCCUUGAUGAUGUAGAUGACAAAGAACAACUAGAAUUCUUGGCUGAGGAGCCUGGAUGGUGUGGUCCAGGGAGCAGAAUUAUCGUAACUAGAAGAGAUAAAAAAGUGGUUACUGGAAAUAAUAAUUAUAACAUUUAUGAGGCUGAGAAAUUGAAUGAUGAUGAUGCUCUUAUGUUGUUUAGCCAGAAAGCUUUCAAAAAUGACCAGCCUGCUGUAGAUUUCGUGGAACUAUCCAAGCAUGUUGUGGGUUAUGCUAAUGGCCUUCCACUAGCUCUUGAAGUUAUAGGUUCGUUUUUGUAUGAAAGAAGUAUCCAUGAAUGGAGAGGUGCAAUUAAUAGAAUGAAUGAGAUUCCUGACGGCAAAAUUAUUGACGUGCUUCGCAUUAGUUUUGAUGGUCUCCAUGAAUCAGAUAAGAAAAUAUUUUUAGACAUUGCAUGUUUCUUGAAGGGGUUUAAAAAAGAUCAAUAACGAGGAUACUUGAAAACCGUGGAUUCCAUGCAGGUAUUGGAUUACCAAUUCUUAUUGAGAGAUCUCUCAUAAGUGUCUCUCGGGAUCAAGUCUGGAUGCAUAAUUUAUUACAGAUAAUGGGUAAGGAAAUUGUUCGUUGCGAAUCCCCUGAAGAGCUUGGAAGGCGCAGUAGACUGUGGACAUACGAGGAUGUCUGCCUUGCACUGAUGGACAACACAGUGAGUAGCUAAUAGAGAACAUUAUCCAUAAGAUUUCAUAAAGAUUAUUUUAAUUUAAGCUCAAUCUAUACUUUUGGUUGACAGGGAAAAGAAAAAAUAGAAGCCAUUUUCUUAGACAUGCCUGGAAUAAAAGAUGCACAAUGGAACAUGGAAGCCUUCUCUAAAAUGAGCAAACUAAGAUUGCUCAAAAUCGACAACGUGCAGCUUUCUAAAGGACCUGAAGAUCUUUCCAAUAAGUUGCGAUUUCUUGAAUGGCAUUCUUACCCUUCAAAAUCAUUGCCAGCUGGUUUACAGGUGGAUGAGCUAGUUGAACUUCACAUGGCUAACAGUAGUAUUGAACAAUUAUGGUAUGGGUAUAAGGUGAGAUCAACUAAUUUAAGGGCCUUUGUAUUUCUUUUUAUCGUUUUCCUAUAUAUGUAUGAUAGUAGCAUCCACAUUUCUUCUCCCCUGCCUGAUUGCAGAGUGCAGUUAAUUUGAAAAUCAUCAAUCUCAGCAACUCACUAAACCUGUCCAGGACUCCAGAUCUUACUGGAAUUCCAAAUCUCGAGAGUCUGAUUCUUGAAGGUUGUACAAGUUUGUCUAAGGUCCAUCCAUCACUUGGAAGUCACAAGAAUCUUCAAUAUGUGAAUCUUGUGAAUUGCGAAAGUAUUAGGAUUCUCCCAAGCAACCUUGAAAUGGAAUCGCUUAAAGUUUUCACUCUUGAUGGCUGCUCAAAACUUGAGAAGUUUCCAGAUGUACUAGGAAACAUGAACUGUUUGAUGGUGCUU